CAACAAACUCAUUGCAGGCCGCAUGCAAUGGGGCUUGCUAACGCUCCCUUCUCUUUCACACUUCGAAAUUGGAAUGGACGAAAAUGUUGAAUCCUUCCCUGAAGAGAUGGUGCUGCCCUCAAAUCUUACAUCUCUUAGCAUCUAUGACCUCCAACACCUGAAAUCUCUUGACUACAAGGGGCUUCAACACCUCACCUCCCUUACACGUUUGAGAAUAAGUCGCUGCCCUCGGAUUGAGUCAAUGCCAGAAGAAGGGUUGCCCUCCUCCCUUUCUACUCUUGCAAUUUACAGGUGUCCUAUGCUGGGUGAAAGUUGUGAAAGGGAGAAAGGUAAAGAUUGGCCCAAGAUUUCUCACAUUCCUUACAUAAAUAUUUCCCAAGAUUAAAAGAAGGUUUUCUUUCAAUCGUCCAACAUAUUGAGGUAUUGCUACUAAAUAGUUUAUUUUCCUUUCAGUAAUCAAAGGCAAUUUCAGUUAAAAUUUGGAUGAAUGAAAUACAGAUAUUGUCCAUUUUGUCUGUUUUUAUUUGUUAAAUGUUGAAAUACAGAUAUUUUCUUCCUAUUGUCUCUCAUUCAUCUUCAUAUAUAAUAAUCAUUCUAUUGCAAUAUCUUUUUUGCUAUAAUUAAUGCUACUAUCAAAUGCGGCAAAUGCGGCAAAUAAACAUCACAUGCUUCAGAUUUUGAACUGCCAGCGCCACCCUUAAAAGACAACAGAUUUUUCACAAAAACUGACAAUGGCAAGGGCAGUAAUGGACUCGUUAAUCCAUCGAUGCUUCUCGAGAAGAUGACCAAUCAGAAUGCAAGCACAAAGGAGUGCCACAAACAAGGUAAUUGAAUGGAUUGGGGCUUGAUCAGGUUCCAUACCAUCCUCAAACCGAAAUUCAUCGUAUCAGAAUUGGACCCAACCCUAUAACUAUACAAGGAAAACGAAAACAAAAACAAAAACUGUCAAACAAACUGAAAUCAAUCAAAUUCAAGGUGAUCGAUCACGCAAUUAAUACACAGAGUAACUAGGGUUCCAAAUUACUUCUACAAAAGAAAUUAAUAAAAAAAAUGAAGUGAGAACCUAGAAAGACUCCUUCUCUGAUCUUUUUAGUUUUUACCUUGCAGUUGCAGCCUUGAGAUUCUCUUCAGAUAAAAAGGAAAAGGAAAGCGUUUGGAAUAAUAUAUAUAUAUUUGGUUCGAAGAAAGAGGGAGAGAAAACUUAAAAGCCAAGCAAGAGAAUAUGUUGUCCUUUCUGAGAGAAAGCCAAGUGUGAGGAGUGGAAUGGAGACGACGUCAACGUGUGUGGGCGUGUGUUCGCCUGGAGAGAACGAUUUUAAGUAUAUAUUCCCCCACUUCUGCUGCUGCUGCAUCUGACUAAACGAGAGAUAACCCGGAUUUAUUUGAUUUUGACUUGGAGAGACAGUUUGGCCGUUUGGGGGAUGGAGGGAAUCUUAAUGCAAGCAAAAACCGCGAAACUGCUUCCCUUCCUUUAUUUAUUUAUUCCUUUAUUCAUAUCACGUGAUUUCGAGGGUUCCACACAGGAUAUCACGUGAUUUCAAGGGUGCCGGAAUGUCUUUAAAAAGAUUGUUUUUUAAAAGUAUUUUUAAAAAACAAUAUAUUAAAAAUAAUUAUUUUCAACAUUGAUAAAUUAAAAUGAUAAAAAAAAACAUCAAAAAAUAAUUUUAAAUAAAAAAAUAAACUUUUGUGAAACGUUUUUUUGUACCUUGUCCCUAAACCUCAAUUUUCAUUGCCUAGCAGAGCUGAAAAGGAUUAAAAAAUAUUUAAGUAAUCUGCAACAGAUUUUUCAUUGUUGACGCGGCAAAAUCAAAAUUCAAAAUUUAAGUAAUCAAAAGGAUUAAAAUCUCCAUUCUCUCCUUUUCUCCUUUUCCGCAUCUCCAAAAAUUCAAAAAAUUUUCCCCACCUCUUUCUCUACAAAAAUUCAAAAUCCAAAAACUUUUGAUUUAUCUAUUUUAUUAUUACUUAACUUUGAUUAAAAAACUUUUCUUGAAGUUUACUUUCACCAAAGAUCUUUUAUAGAUAUAAAAAGAAGAGAUAAUAUAAAACAAGUAGAUACGUAGCUAUAUUAACAACAAUACUUCAAGCAUGCACAAAUGCGACUUCUUGAUGGUUACGCUGCUAAAGACAUUUACAAAUCCCCAUCAAUACUGGUGUUUAUUCCUCAUGAUGAUCCAGUGAGCUGACAAUAAAAGAAAACCUCGGCAUUACAAGUAAAUCGAUCGUCACUGCAAGCAUAAUGCAAGCAUGGAAGAGAUUCGGGUAGGAAUUACCCUUGUCUUCAUUGAGAGGCUUUAACCUCCCUAGCUCCUUCAUCAGCAGGCCCAUUGUUUGAUGCAUCCUCUGAAGCGUCUAAGCAAGGAUUGCUUUUACACUAACUUACAGUGUCACGACCCGAAUCCCGGAUCCAUGACCGGCACAUAGACAAGGUUCUCAUCCAAGGUUCCAUACCUAUACGAACCCAAACUUACACACAAACUUAUCCUAACUCAAUCAGAGUUCAACGCAGCAUUAAUAACAAAAUCAACUUCAUAAUAUAAUUGAAUUGUCUUAAUACAAGAGUUCAUAUAAUUCAUAGUUUUGGAGCACUAACUUGACAAAAAAAAAAGGUACAAAUUACAACCAAAAAGCAGGUUUGGAAGGUUCAACAAAAGUAACCUGCUAUCAAGCAAUAAGCCUGAAAAGAAUAAUAAUGAGAGGGUGAGUUCAACAACUCAGUGAGUAGAUAGCGUUCAAAAUACACACACGAGGUAAUACAGUAAUGAGAAAUAUAUAUACAAGUAUGACUCUAGGUUCUUAUAGAAAUGUUUCUCAAAUAGGCCAUAACAAGAAUAUCAUAUGGUAAAACUCGUCAGAAAAUCAAAAUGCAAUGAGCAUGAGGCUCCGUACUGUGGGAUGAUCAGUCCACACAGGUUGGUGACUCCCCCGACCAACUAAGGUUCAGAUACGAUGUGCACAAAGACUAACACUACCCUGUUAGCAUGGGUAUUCUGACUGACAUACCAUAGGUUCAUAAUCAUAAUCAAACAGACAUAUUCAUAUCUCAAAGCUCAACUCAUGACAUCAAUCAAAUGAGGAGCUAUCAAUUCAGAAGUCAAUUCAGAAUAUAUAUACUGGUUCAUAUCAAUAAUUCGGAUUCAACAAUUGAUCAUGCUUAUCAUAACAAGGAUAAUAAUCAACAUAUAUAUUAUCAAGAAGCAUGAUCCAAUUCAUAUUAACAAAUCAAAUAUUUAUAAUAUUUCUCAUGCAUAUGGAAAAUUAUCCACUCACCUGACUAGAAAGCAAACAGAAGUAAAAAUAAGACACCGAAGAAAAUCCUACUGACGUCCCGCCGAUAGAAUAUCAGGAUUAUCUGAAUACAAAGGAGGCAUAUUCAAGAACGACUCGAAAGAAUAUUUAACUUAUUUAAUACACUUAACUAGGUGUAUUCCGUAAUCCUAUAUGUUUUUGAACUAACUAGUCAAUUUUCUCAAAAACCCAAAACUCUAACGGUUUUUCCGAAAUCUAAUCCAUAACAAAACAAAUAAUAAAAUUGGUAAUAAUUUACUAAAUAACCCUCAAUUAUUCAUCAAACCAAUCUGAAAAAGGUAAUAUUACAGCUAGGGACUAAUCUGUAAUUUAUCAUAUUUUUAAGGCCAAAUUGUAAUUUUCGUCUAAUUAGAGGACCAAACUAAACAUAUCAUAAAUUCAUGAAUAUAGUGGAAUUAUGUCCAUAAUUCAUCCUCAUUUCUGUCCAGAUCAUCUCAUUAUACUCCAGGGACCAUUCUGGAAUUUUACCAAAUUUUUAGGGUCAAAUUGUAAUUUUUGUCAAAUUGGAGGACCAAAUUGAAAGUGUUAAAUUCUCUUAUCUAUACAGUAAUUCUGUCCAUAAUUCAUAUGUUAUUCUGUUCAGAAUACCGGAAUAUGCUCCAGGGACCAAUUUGUAAUUUUCCAAAGUUCAGGACUAAACUGUAAUUUUCGCAAAUUGAGGGACCAAAUUGAAUUUUCGUCAUCUUCAACCUCCAAUCCAGAAUUUUAACAGAAACCUACUGUUCUCCCCUGAUUUUUAACUCAAAAUUCACCAUUCAAACAAAAUUAUAACUCAAAAUCAUCACAAUCUUCCAUAAUCAACUAAAUCAUCAAUUAACCACAACAAUCAACCCCUAACAUUCAAUUUAAUUCAUCAGUUAAACUCAAAACACAAAUUUCAUAACCCUAACAUUUAUCAAAACCGAAAUUAAAGCUAAAGAAAACAUAUUAUACACAUUAAAGCAUAAUCUUACCCCUUUUUACUUAUUUCCUCCAACUCCUUUUCUUUUUCCCUUAUUUUCCUCUCUUUUCUCUUCUUCUUCUUUCUCACUUCACUCCUGUGGUUCUCUCUAAAUUUCAGAUUUCUCUCUUUCUUUUUUUUCGUUUUUUUACUUUGAAUUUACACUUUUUCAAGUUUUUAUUGAAAUUACCACUAUACCUCUCAUUUAUUUAUUCUAACUUUUAAACCUUCAAAGGUUUUAUUGUAUUUUUCAUCUCAUUAAUUCAAGACAUUACAUACAGGCUGAGCAUUGGUCAAGAGACUAGAAAGUUGAGACCCCUUUUGCGAAAAGUUUGGUUUACCUUUCGGAGUCUCAGACAGGCUUCCCGUUGACAGCUUUGCUAGGCCCAUUGUCUUGUGCUCACACGGGAGCUUGGUUGAAAAAGGUGAUUCAGGUGUAUUAGGAUGCUUCCCAGGAAUAUCCAUCGGUCUAUGAAACAGCAAAUGAGCCACAGUCCGGUCUACAGGAUUGGUCUCUGUUUCCACCUCAGGCAUCUUAACUACCCUGCAGAAUACUCAUAAAAUCCAUGAGGAAAAUGACAGGAAAGUUUGAGAUUGCCAUACUCUAAACAAAUUGAUAAAGACUUGAUUAAUAAUUUUGUGCAAACAAAUUGAAUAAUUUGAAAUGGGAAGGACGAGAUGUAAAUGAACAAACCCAUUGGAACAAGAAACAAUCACAUUGUCGCUUACAACAAAAAAUCGAGUUUCAGCUCAAAAGAGCUUAUGGUUUUGGCUGGAAGUAUCCCAUUUAGAUAUAGAUGAGCCCCAGUGGCGGAGCCACAGUGGGUCAAAAGAGAGCAAUUGUCCCCUUAUUUUUUUUAAAUAUUAAUAUAUUAGUGAGAGUGAAUUAUUGCUACAGCCUACAGGUAAGGAAAGUUUUUAACUUUUAUUAUUGUUGACUAACUUGACUUAUAUAUACAUAUAUAUAUAUAUAUAUAUAUAUAUAUAUAUAUAUAUAUAUAUAUAAUUACAGCUCCCCAACUUUUCCCCUUUUCCUUUUUGUUUCUCCUGUCUAACAAAACAAGGGUUUUUUUUCAGCUGCCGUUCUUGCCUCUCCUCGUCUCCUGAAUGCAAAUUUCUCAUGGAUUAAUUUUUUUUUGCGUUUUACUUUAUACUUUAUUUUUUCUAUUUAUUUUAUUGUUUAAUUUUAGUUUUAUUCUUUUAUAAUUAGUUAUUAAAAAUAUUAGGGUUUAUGAUAAUUUAGGGGUUUUGUUAUAAAUAUGUUCAAAAUAAAUAUUUAAAUCUGCUAAUUUAAUUAAUUAAAUAUUUAUUUUCUUAUUAUAAAUAAAUAAAUUAAUAUUCAUGCAAAACCACUAUUCUUGACAUCUCUUGCAUUGAUAGAGUAGUUUAUUGAAAUUUAAUAUUUUUACAUGAUUUGUUUGUAAGUAAAAUAUCAAGUAGAAAACAUGUUUUUCAAGCAUUGUCCCUCUUAUACAUACACUAGGCAUUGUUCCUUAAUUAAAUGUCUAGAAAUGAUUAAGUAUAAUUUAAUCAACAUACUUAUUAUAUGCAUAUAAAUAUGAAUUGAAAUAGGUUUUGAUUUUGAUGAAUUGACGUGUAUUUUGCUAUUAAUUUUAUAUGAAAGAUGUAUAAUUAUUGUGUAACUCAACUGACUUUUGUUUAAUAGUGAAUUAUUAUGUAGUUGUGUUAAUUAUUAUGUAGACACUAAUGAUAAAAAAAUCCAGCAGGUUCAUAUUAAAUUAACAUGUUACUAGACAAAUAUUUCAAGCGUAAAUCUAUUGAGGAUGAAGAGUCAAUCAAAGCUUCAAGUCAUGUAACUCAAUCAAGUUCAAAGAAAAGUCAUAUUGAAAUCAACCCCGACACUCUCCUUGUUGACCCUGGCUUAAGAAGACCAAUUUAUAAGUACCAUAUAAAUGAUAGGGAUGCAAUCCGAAGAGCUUAUCUACAAAAAGAUCCUUGUCAACCUUCACACUAUGAUUUUCCAUAUAUGUUUGAAUUGAUUUCUAAUGCAUGUCUAUAUAAUAUAGUAUUUGUUAAUAAUUUGCCUCCUCAUUUAAAAAACUCUGGCUCCGCCACUGAAUUGAGCCGAUUAGAAGAUGAUUUGAGUUCUUAAAUUUUCUUGCUUAAAAUGUAAUGUAACAUGAAUCUGCAGAUGAUCAUUAAAUUAGAAGGGAAAUUUAAUUUUGCCCUGUUUAUCUAAAGUUGUGCAAGUUCUCUGCAUUGAUGAUUUCAGUGAAUCUGUACAGAUCUUGUUUUCCUUCUAUUUGUCCUUGAAUAAACUUAUUGCACUUGUUUAACAUUCUUUGUCUCUCUCUCUUAGUUAAAUCUAGCAAAAUUUAUGAGGUAUGUUGUGCCACUCAUUUAGACUUGGAUGUGCGUGUUUAGCUCUCCUUUUUGGAUUAAGGUGAUUAUGCACAAAUUCAAUGGAAUCAACAUUGCAGAAAACUUGCAUAGAUUUUGUUAAUAUUGGAAAAAUUAAAUUUCCUUUUCUAAUUAAAUGAAAAUCUCUACUAAAUAAUAUGCUAUUUGAAUUGUCACUGCACUCAUGAAUGCUGCACCAGGGUAAAGCUACAAAUGUCAGUUUAAUAUCUGCCUCUACCUAGCUCGGCCUACAAUACCAAAGCUUCUCUCCUACAAAUGCCAGUUUAAUAUCUGCCUCUACCUAGGUUGGCCUACAUACAAUACCAAAGCUUCUCUCAACUAAACAUGAUGACCAGCACUCACAACCAUAACAGAACCAGUGGAAGCCAACUACUACAUAUUUGAUCAACAAGGUCAAAUUCAGUCAAGUUUUUAAGGAAAUCCAGUGAAAGAGGAACCUAAAAUUUUCUGUUUAGAUUUUCUUCUACUGCUAAGAACAAGCGCGGCCUUAAAUUGAAUUGUUUCAGUCACUACUCCUCCAUUGUAAAUAGAGGAUACCGCUUUCAAUAUUUAUUUCUAGAAGGAGAAUGGAAAACAGAAAAUGGCAUUAAAAGAUCCUAAUUUAACAUUUCCAUAGAGCAAAAAUGUUAAAAAAAGAGAGAGGAUAGAUUAAAUUUGAAAACAGAGGCAUGAGAAAUGCAUUGCCUUAACCAACCUUCUUUGACUGCUGGUUUCCUCUUUUGCAGCAACUUGUUCGUCCCUGCUACUAUUGUUUGUACUGCCAGUAUCACUAGCAUAAUGCCUUUGCAUUGCACUUUGAGCCAGCCGGAACAAGCUAUCCCGAAUACAAAGUCUAAUUCUGACAUCCAACUGUUGUAAAACAUUGGUUUGGAAUCGUAACCAAGCACAAAUUAUUUAGCAGGGAAAGAAUGCAAUAGUACGUGAAGCAUACCUUUGAAAUAAUAUCUUGAAGCCUGUAGAGUACUGUGUCCUCCAUUGAAUAAUCAUUAACCGCCAGAGAGACUGUAUUGGAAUCGUCUUGCUCAAUAGGUGAGUUUGGGUCAAAUGAAGCAAGUGUACUUAGAUCCUCUACUUCAAGGUCAGCUCCUUCAACAUGCUGAAUUUGAUUUUCUUGGGAACACUUUUGAUGAACAAGCUGCUGCUGCUGUUUCUGAAUGGCAAGCAUUGCCUGAAUUUGUUGCCGCCUCAAUUUUUCAAUCUUUUCCUGAGGUGUCAUUCUCUGGGGUUUCACUGGACAGUCAGCUAACUUGUUUAUAGGAUUUGCAUUGCCUGAAACUUCAUAACCAGAAAUUUUAGGUCGAUGAUUAAAUGACUAGAAAUUUUGUUGGGAAGUCAGAAAACUUUAACAGGAUUCGCAUUACCUGAAGAAACUUCAUAACCAGAAGCUAAAGGUUGAUGCUUAAAAUCCCCAGACUGAAUGUGGGACAACCCAGGCAUAGAAUAUGGAUUUGUAGUACUCCCGUAUGCAGAAGGGGCCACAAAUGGAUUGGAUAUCUGCUGGUACUGCAACUGCUGGUACAUCUAUAAUCAAAGUAAAAGGCCAAGAUUCAAAAUAUCCAAAAGAAAUAUUACCUACUUAUAUGCCAAAAAUGGCCAAAACUCUGAAUCCUGAAUAUGUGAAUCAAAGGUAUCUCUAACUGAUGCACCAUCAGCAGUCUCCUAUUUUGACUUGUGAUUAAUGACCUAGCAGUUCACUUCAACAACAUCAUUGAAAGGUCCCUAGUGAACAUAAGUUUGAAUUUCAGACCCAGCAAGAAGAAGUUCAUUUUCCAGUAGGCAUGCAUAUCACCUUUUUAUCAAUAUCCAUGGAAGACAAAAACCAAGCAAUAUCAAGUUUUUUUCUGCUGGAUAUCCAAUAAAAAAUACCUCAAAGUGUGAACAUCUUUAAGAAGGAGGAUAUCGCAUUGCACCCCAUCAACUGAUCCACAAAUAAAUUGGCAUUUUUCCAUCAGUUCCAAGCUACUUUGUAAGGAAAAGGGAGGGAAGUGCCUUCAAAGAUACCUUCUUCAUAGCUUCUUUAGAUAUGAAUCCACACGACUUUCGUAAUCACCAAUCACUAUGCGCACCUUCUCUUAUCAUCACAAGUUCCCAAGAAAAAUUAUAUUCUUCCCUCCUCCAGCCCUUUCCCUACAUAUUUCCACCAGCUUCAUAGCAAUGCGGCCCGUGAAAACGACUCCCAAAUUAAAACACUUGAGAAGCUCUAAUAGUUUUCCACAAAGACCUACUUUUCUUAUUAUUUCUUCACUCUAUAUAUGUCAGUGUGCCAUAUUCAAAUACUACUGAUCGAUUCUUCCUCCUCACAACCACUCACUUUCCCCUAAAUCCCAUACCACAACCACUCCUUAAUCUUCAACUAAAUCAAUAUCUCUCAUCACUUAUGAAAACUCCAUCUAAUUUCCAAAUGAAUCACACCAUUUGAACACUUUGCCAAUUCCUAAUUCCUUCAAAAUUUUCAUCCAUUAAAAAAAAAACUGCAAGUCAUACUUUUUCACUUUAACACAGUUCUCCUUAUAAUCAAUCUUCCAAAAUAACCAUACUAUUGCCUCUAAAUCUGGCACGCAAAGCUUCUACAUAACCUUCCAACGUUACUUCUUGCCGCCCAACAAGGGCGGCGGCAUGCAUGGGCUAGGGUAGGCUCUAGUACAGGUCAAGAUUUUAUCAAUAUUUUUGUAUUAGUUUUAUGUAAAGAAAAUAUGAUGCUUUAGUUUGGGUUAAAAUUUCAGAAUUUUUAAAGAAAUUCAGAAAUUUGAUAAAAAAAAUCAUAAUUUGACCAGUUUUACGUUAUUGAGUGUAAUUUUUAAUCUGAUUAUCAGAUUGAGCUAAAAUUUUACGAGGGAUCUUAAAAUAUAUUGAAUAAAAUCUGGUUUAAAUUUUAGAAUGAACAGAGUUUGGUAGUGCUAACAAAAAAAAAACAUCAAAUAAAAGCAAAACGACUCAUUAAAGGUAAAAUUGUUAUUUGCCAUUAAAAAAUAAAACAAAUCAGUUCUUCCUUCCUUUAUAUGUUGCCGACUGGGCAGAAGCAUAAUAGAAAAUGAAAGAAAAGAAAAGGCGAGAGAGAAAGAGAGAAAAAUAAGGGAAAAACAUAAAAAAAAUCCUAGAAAAAAAGAUAAGAAAAGUGAGAAAAUAACCGUGUAAACUUACAAAGUCCAACUUAUAAAAUAUUAAUCUAAGUAAGAAUCAAGUGAAGAAAAGAGGAAUUGAGAGAGAAACAAAAUUUAAUUACUCUAUUUUUAAUUAAUAUAAAAUUAUUAUUUUAUCCCGAUUAAGAGAUUGCUACAAACUCCUCAAAGUACUCAAAGAGGGACAUAAAUUGGUUAAGCCAACAUUUUUCAUUCUUCUAUUUUCACGCUGGCAUUCUGUUACAAAUACUAACUGAAAGAGCGGAUAAAAGAACAACUUCCAAUUAUCAAGCAAUAGCCAACACGUGGCAAGAUUCUCAGCUAAAUAAAAGAAACACCAACAUUUAAACGAUGUGUCUGGGUGGUAAUUGAAACGGUGUGUUUUGUGACACAAUACCCCUACAAUCGUCUAACAGCCAUGCGGUGCAUUUAGUAGGAUUCAAACAUCUUGCAACGGUCACUAGAUUCAAAUGCUCUCCAUCCUCGCCUCCUCCCCUUGAUGAUUCUUUUGACCCUGCAAGUUCUGUGACAAUCUCUCUCUCUCAAUUAAAUCUAGCAAAAUUUAUUCUUUCCAACUUUAUUUGUUUUGACUGAAAAAUAAUCUUUUAUUUUUGUACUUCACAGGCAUGUGGUGGCAAAAGUCGAGCACUAUAUAUAUAUAUAUAUAUUCCUGAAGAUACAUAUGGCUGGUGAUUAGCGGAUGAUGGUGCCAUUAAGACUCUUGGUGUGUACCCUCAUCCUUUCUGCUUAUAGUUGAGUCCAUUUGCAGCUUCAAUGGCUACUAUCAGUUGCUUUGGAACCUGAUAUCACUAGUCUCAUUAUGGUACAGACAAGCUCAGGAUGAUCAAUCCUUGAGAAUCCACAUCCAACCAGAAAUAAACCGAAUUUCGAGCAUAAAUGACUCGAACUCGCUGGAAUGCUUUGGCACCUCCUUCAAUCCUAGUUUGGGAAACAGAAACACUAUCACCAUUAGUUUUCACCGAGGAAGACAGCACCCCCAUUCUCUCCUGCUGUGCUGAUGAUGGGGCAUGAGAGAUAGUCCAAAGGAUUUGCCUCCCUCCUGCCGCAAGCAAUUAGAAUGGUUAUCACCAGACCUAUAAGGAUCAGUUUUUCUUUUCGGACUGAAAAAAACAUGAAGAGAGAAGUCACCAUAUGUGUACCUAGCCGCAGAGACAGCUGUUUCAGUGCUGGGGAAAACUCCAGGCUCUGAUAAAUCUUUGGCAGAUCGUUCUGUGGCGAACGAGGGCGGUGGUAUACUGCAAACUCAAAAGCAAUUUGUGACACAGAUUACUCAAAAUUAUGCCACAAGUGUCAAGGGUGUAAAUCUAUCAUGAAAUCAUCACGUCGUUGUUUUCCACUCGGUAUAAAAAAGAAGUCACACGCCUUAGAGGUUAAAUAAAUUUAUGAAGUUCACCAGCAUAAUUCACACUAAUUCCCCUCUCCAACUUGCACCUCAUCAAUUUUUAUACCUUUACUCUCGAACGAAAAUAAUAAUAUCUAAGUUAUUAAACCCAACUUGAAUUAUAAUUCAAGCAGUGGGUUAACAUAAAUCAAUACAAAGUGAUGUGACUUUUAAGAGUUUUUUGAAAAAACAAAUUAAAAUGAUGUGAAUCUUUUUUAAAUUAAACUGAGUUUUAAUUGAUUAAAUAAGUUGGAUUACACCAGUCAAAUCCUAUCCGAUUUAAUUUAAAAUCCAAUCCAAUCUCUUAACUUACCUUGAGUUGGGUUAACACUAUUAUUGACAGACCAAAUUCUCAAUCUUUAUUUAUUAUAAUCACGAUCCAACUCAUUAAUUUUAAAUGGGCCUACAAAACCUUCAACUUGCCAUAAAAAAUAAAACUUCAUACUCAUACUCAUUAGCGGUUCUGCAUCCUAUUUUAUAAAAGACACUCCAACAUAAUUAAAGUAGUAUUUAAUAUUUUGGUAGUAAUUAUUCUUUAAAGUAUUUUUUAUUUAGAAAUAUAUAUAAAUAAUUUUUAUUUUUUAUUUUUAAAAAUUAAUAUUUAACAUUAUAUAUUAAAACAAUCUAAAAACAUAAUUUUUUUAAAAAACUAUUAUUAUUUUAAAAAAACUGUAUCACCAUACAAACAAAUCCAAAAACACAAUUAUUUUAAAAAAAUUAUAUCACCGUAAAAACAAAUAAUUUUUAAGAGUGACAGUGAGCAACAGAAAUAAACCAUGGCAGAAACUAAAAACACCUUUAAUGAAAAUUGCGCUUCGAUUCACAACGUUUUCAUCCUUGACCAAUGCUCGACAAAGUAGACGAUGGGUCAAAAUAGGGCUAAUAUGCUGUGUAUGUUUGAUAAUGCAGUGAAUAUAAUUUUCUAAAAAUAUUUUUCGAUUAAUAAAAUAUUUCUUAAAGAAAUUUUCAAUAAUUUUGUUAAGAAAUUUGCGUGGACAGACAUUUUAAAGAAUGAUGCUAAAUUUGGUGUUACAUAGGCAGCUGCUGGCUCCUCUUGUAUCUUUUGGGGUUUGGCAUCGUUUGUUUCCUGCCGUUGUCUAUUCUCCGGUCGUCGAAGCUGACUGCAAUCCUCUGACUCUGUUCUCAUAGUCAGAUGCUUCCUCUGUUUUCUCCUGGCAUUAAAAUUACAGCUGACCUUCAAAUCUUAUUGAUGAUAUGCCUUUGGUCAUUUUCAUGAAUGGUGCUUGGUGUUGUCUUCUAGUGUUUGCAGUACUGAAUAUGAAAUGAGCUACGCCUGGUUACUCAAUUCAUUAACCUCCCUACUUUUAAUUAUAUAUAUAUAUAUAUAUAUAUAUAUAUAUAUAUAUAUAUAUUUUCUAAUCCAAGUAAAAUGAAUUAUAUUAUUUUUUAAAAUAAAUUUAAUCUCAAAUAAAAAUUUUACUUUCUAAAAUAAAAUAUGAAUUAUAUUAUUUUAAAAAUUUGCUUGAGUUACAUGAGGUUUUAUGGCAGCCCAGUAACGGACUCUUAGCAGAAUACCAGGCUGUUAGGCCUCCCUUUUCAUCAUUUUGAGCUUUACCGGUUACGCUUUUUUUGAGGAUGAAUAUUCUUAUUUAUUUUAUUUUUUCAACUUAAGGAUGAACAGUAUGUUUAUUAAAGACUGCAUUAACAGCCGGCUGCUAUUUUGAGUUCUGCGGGGCUUUUUGGAAGUGCCUUCCGUUUAGGGAAAAUUUGGAUUUUUUAUUUAAUUUUUUUUUACAUAAUGUUUAAAAUAAUUUUAAAAAAUAAAAAAAUUAUGGUAAUGUAUUUUUACUUACUUUAAAAAUCAUCCACUUGAUUAAUGGGCAUUAGCUGUUUAACACCACAUGGUAAAAACUUCGGGUUCCUUCCCUACGUACCCUUUUCCUCACUGGUUCUACAAUGUCUCUGGGUGGGUCCAUCUGUGCAAGUGCCUUGUAAAAUUGCCUUAUUCAGUAGUAUUUGUAAUUUUGUGUAGAGCUGGUAUCAUUCUUUGAAAUCAUAGUUAUUACGUCAUUGAGUUAACUCGUGUGUUAAUUAUAGGAUCAAUCAUUUUACUUUGUUUUUUUUCUUUAAAAAGAACAAAAUUUCUUGUAUUGACCUCAGUGUAUUUAGAUAAGAUUUUAUCAGUACAGUUGGGUAAUUAAGAAUCUAGUUGAGUCAAAUGGUUUUUGAUCAUAUUAAUGUUUUUUCUAGUUGAAUUUUAAACAUGAUCUAGAUUAGACUCUAGAUUAUGAAUUCCAUGUAUUAACUCACCAUCAAAUUUAACAGCUUUGCUAUAUUUUGGAAUAACAUAUAUAUAAAUAAAAAAAUUAAUAUAUUUUGAAGUAAAAUAUAUUUUUAAAACAUAUUUAAAAAAACAAACAAUAUUUUACUCACAAACAGAUAAUCCUAUUGCAUCUUAAACUCCAAGUUUCCAACAAUGAGUACCCCCAACUAAACAAUAUCUACAUUCAAUUAGAACUUGUGGUAUAGUUACCUGACAGCGAAAUAAAAAAGAAGAAGUAGGAACCCCCCUGGAUCUAGGAAAUUUCUAUUAGACCUGCAAACUGAGGCCGUAACGAGCUUUGGAUCUACACACAGGGAAGAGUAAUUUCAAUAGACCAUGAUCCAAAUCAACGGCUGAAAUCUAAUAACUCAAGGGAUAGUGACACGUUGCCAGGAGUGGAAGACAGCUGGUCUCCAGUACGAAGAGAAACAGCAACGUUUUUGUUGUUUAAAAUGGAGUGUUUGUCUUCAUUGUUUCAUGGGAAAUGGGCUGAUGUCAGAUGGAGAAAUUUCUGUGCCGAUCCACUGGAGAGAGAGACUUCUUCAACCACCAAUCAAAUUAUUCUUAUUGACUUUCUGUGCAGUUUGGCACUUUCCUUCGCUCAUUCUCUCUUUGCACCACAAACACUUGGUAUUUUAAAAAGAGAAACUAAGCACGGUUUUGCUGUCAAAGUUGUUGUUUUCGUAUUUUAAAAGAGUUUUUUUAAAAAAUUAAUUUGUUUUUUAUUUUUUAUCAAUUUUUUAAUUGUCUCCAUAAUAGAAAGAUACCAUCCCCACAAUACAAAACUCUUAAAAAAAAAGAUACCUGUCGUUGUGCUGUUUUAUCGAUAUCACAAGCCACGCGAGUAGCGUGAUUAGAGUGAUUUUGUAUGGGACCCAGUUGUGACAUCAGCUGCUUUUGUGUUUUUUCUUUCAAUCACAGCUUGAUAGUAGGCAUGGCAUGAUUGAUGAUUGAUGGGGGGAGGGGAAAUGGGAGCCACACGAUCCAUUUCAUGGUUGGUUGGUUUUUUUAUUAACGUGGUUUUACUGUCGGUUUGCUUCUAUUUUAACUAAUUUUACAAAUCUAAAAUAUAACUAGUUAACCUGCUGUUGUAUUAUUUUAUUUCACGGUUGUUUCUUGCUUGUGGAAGAUCAUGUCAUAACGGAUCUUACGGGAUCGAUACCUUGCUCGGUGUUGAUUUACUACAAUGGCUGCACGUGAACCCGUCCACCAGAACAAAUCCCAACCAGUGUCCGUCUAUCACACUCAAAUUAAUUUGAGAUUUCUGUUCCAGUGCCUCCAGAGAAGAGUAUAGUUGUUAAUCAUCUUUUAUUUUUGUGUUUUAUAAUUUUUUUAGGGUAAAUUCUCAUAUAACUUAUCAUAAUAUCUAAUCUCUACAAACCGACUGCAUCAUUAAAUUUAAUUUUCUUGAAAUAUUUUUUAUGAACAAGCUCCCAUUGCUGUUUCUGAUGACAAGCAUUGCUUAAUUUGUUAUUGCCUCCUUGAUUUUAAAUAUAUAUUUAAAAAUUAUAAAUCAUUUACAUAUAUAAAUUUGGAUACCGAGGUUAAUCAUGUUGGAUAAUAUCACUUCCACCUCCAUAUCCAAACAAGUAAGGUUUUUUUUAUCCAUCAUUAUGGAACAAAAAUCCCUCCAUAUUCACUUUUAUUCAGGUAAAUGGAUGUGAACGGGUUCAAUUGUCAUUUCUAAAAUUAAUUAAGCCCAAGUUAUCGAUAAAUGUAUUAGGAAAUCAAGUUUUUAUUAUUUAUUAUGAUUUUUAAUAUAUUUAUAUAGUAAAAUCCCUCGUAUAUAUAUUGAAUGCUCUUUCUCCAUCAAAGCUAAUGGAAAUGUGUAUAAAUUAUCAUUUUCUCCCCCAUUUAAGUUUUUGACAAUCAAUCGAUGGUUUGAUAGCAUUUAAUAUAUAGAUCACUGACCUGCUGGUGAGCAUUACCAAGCAUGUUCUGCAGCCGAAGCUAGAAAGACUACCUGCUGAGCAGAAGCAACAACUGGUGGAUAAGUAUAAGAUGGAAGACAAACAGGUAUUAUAUAGCUCUGAGGUGUGAUGGCAAAGAUUGAAUAACAUUAUAAAGGGGACAUACUCUUGCUUUCAGCAUCCUCGUGUGGAUUUAACUAGCACUCAUCUCAUUUCACAUUCACAGGCCUCCCUGUUCCCAGAAAUUAGCUCAAUGCUCCUUUUAGUUCCUCAAGAUUUAAUUUUGGUGGAAUCUAAUUAAUAACAGAUAAAAGCAACAUUCAUAAGCAGAUUGUUUCAGAGCUCUUAACUGCAAGUUCAGGGGAAAUGCAUUUAAGCCUGGAACGGUGCGGGGCCUGUAUCUACGUUUAUGCCUAAGAAUAGUUUCUCUUAAGUUAUGAUUAGAAGUAUAAAUUUGAAGUCACAAGCUAGCAGUGAUGGUGAAUUGUGUUUGAACUCUUUGCAUUUCAUCAUCCUCUACUGCCAUGACACGUCCUAGAUGACUGGAUGCUGUGGAUGUGACCUGGACCAUAGCCAUGACAGUCUCCUUUCCUACCCUUUUCCUCGCUGGUUCCUUGACAUCUUCGGGUGGGUGCAGGUGCCUUGUUAAAUUGUCUGAGUCAUUAUCGGUAAUUUUGUGCAGAACUGUUAUUAUUCUUUGAAAUCAGACCGGGUUCGAGGAUCGAGUAUAAAAGAAUUUGGAAUCAUUUUAUUAAAAUGAUUUUUUUAAAAACAAAUUCCUUAGUAUUUAUUUAAUCAAGUUUAAAUCAGAUUUUUAUCUGGUCAAAUAAAUCAUUAAAAAUUCAAUUGAGAUAAUAAGAUUUUAUCAUAUCACCAUUUUUUCUAAUUCAAUUUUAAACUUGGUUUAUAUCAAUAUUUGGAGGAUGUGCUCUCCAUAUGAAAUCAGUAUGCAGGAAAGAGUUUAAAAACUAUACUAUAUAUAGAAAAAAUAUUUUGAAAUAAAAUGAUAUAUAUAUAAAACCCUCAAGGUCUAGGGUCCACCGGUGAAAGCAUGAAGUGAAGGGUUCUUCUGCAUUAUUAGCACAAGUGAAAAGAAAGAUUAUAUUGGGCAUAUAAUAAAGUUAUUCCAACCAAACCCUCUUUUUCGACCGAUGGGGUCUCUUGGCAAAUAAAUCAAGGACAGACCGAUGGGGUCUCUUGGCAAAUAAAUUAUAAUUAAUUUUUUUUUGGAGUGAUUUUUUAUCUUUUGAUUAUGUAAAAUUUAGUAUUUUGUUUUUCCUUUAGCUUCUGCAAUUUGAUAUUUACGUUCAAUUUCUAUAAUUUGUGUUGUGUUUUGGAGUAAUCAUAUAAUUUCGAGAAUAUAUUUAUUUAGUUUCUGCGAUAUCUAUUCACUUUCUGUAAUUUGAUACUUUAUUUUUCGUUGCUUUUGCUUUCUGUUUUUUUAUUUGUUAAUUAUGGCUACCGAAAUAGAUGAUUCGUUUCAGUCUGUGAGAGGUUGGAUGAAAAUAAUUAUUCGUACUAGUAAUGAGAAAUUUCUUUAAGGGUAAGAAGAUGUGGGUGUAUGUUAGUGGAACUUAUAUGAUACCCAAGAAUACCGAGAAAAGUGAUGUUAUUUUGAUAGAUAUAUGGGAAGCAAAUAAUACAAAGAUUAUUAUUUGAAUCAACAAUUCUGCCGAGCAUUCUAUAGGUAUAUAGUUGGCGAAGUAUGAGACAACAAAGAAGAUUUAAAAUCAUCUGCAAAGAUUAUUCAUGCAAUCAAAUUUUAUAAAGCAAUAUAAUACCCCCAAAAGUCAUGGUAGUAAUGAAUAUUUGAUUUUUUUUUAAUGAAAACUAGAGAACUAUAUUAGAAGAAAAAAACCUGCUAUUUAGGAUUAAUUAAUUGCUUUAAUUCAAUUCUUUCUAUUGACAUUGAUACCAAACAUGUUAAUUCAUAAUAUAAUCAAGUAAUUCAAUUCAAAUUUACUAAUACAAUUCAACUCCACUUAAGCCUUUGAAUAUAGCCAAAUGCAAAGGUUAUUAAAGUGAAGGAUCUUAAUAAUUUUUAUGCUUUGCAACCCUAGGAGCCACACAAAAUAUAAUGUGUUUAGACCAUAUUUAUUUGCUGAAAAGUAAUUUCUUUUUAUAAAGAGAUUUUAUCAUAAGUGAAUUAUUUUUUUAUAUUUGAUAAUACCAUGAAAAAUAAGUUGGAAAAUAUCUUUUAAUAUUUAAUUAUGUCAUGAAAGAUGAGGUGAAAAAUAAUUUUUUUAUUUUUUAUUUUUUUUCAAGUUUAUUAAAAGAAUGAGAAACAAGUCUUACAUAUAAAAAUAUUAAAGGAGGAUGAAAUUGGAAAAAAAAUUUAUUUUCAUAAACUAUUUCAAAUAAAAUAAAUAACAAUAAAAAGAAUUAGGACCAAAUCUGAUAAAUAAAAAAAUUUAAUUAAAAAAAGAUAAGAUAAAAGAAAAUAAAAAUAAAAAUAAAAAGAAUGAGAAUCAAAGUUGAUAUAAAAAUAAGAUUAAAUCAAAUUAUACGGGAUAGAAUUGAAAAAAAAACAUUCAAAACAAAAUGUAUAGCAAUCAAAAGAUUAAGGACUAAAUUGGAUACAAUCAAUAAAUAACAAGAUAUUUUUAAAUUUUUUACAAUUUCUAGAAAAAUUUUUCAGUCCAAAAUAAAUAUAAAAUAAUUUUCUAGAAAUCAAAUCAAAUUUAAUAUUUUUUAUUUUUAAAAAAUGAUUUUUAAUAUAAAAUAUCAAAAUAAUUAUAUGUAAAGUAAUAUAAAUAAUGUUUUUUUCAUUUUAAAAUAUUAAUAUAUUAAAAUAAUAUGAUAACAUAAAAAAAAUAUUAAAUUAAAAUAAAAAAAAUAAUUUUAAUAUUUUUAAAAUACGUUCAAAAAGAAAUUCCAAACACUAGCAAUAUGGGUGCUUCAUAAGAAAGAUCGAAGGUGACAUUCAUUAUAACUCUACUGCCCCACAUCUCUCUCCUACCUGCAGCAACCACUAAUAGAAUGUUCAUGGCGUCUUCUUCUUCUUCUUUGCCUAGACCUGGUUGGGUUUACGAUGUAUUUCUAAGUUUUAGAGGUGAAGAUACUCGCAAAAAUUUUACGGAUCAUCUUUACACUGCUUUACUCCAAGCAGGAAUCCAUACAUUUCGAGACGACGAAAAACUUCGUAGAGGUGAAGAAAUCUCCUUCCAACUCUCCAAAGCAAUACAAGAAUCCAAGAUUUCUAUAGUGGUUUUCUCUGAGGGCUAUGCUUCCUCCACUUGGUGUCUUGGUGAACUUCAAAAGAUUCUUGAUUGCAGACACACAACUGGGCAGAUUGUUCUACCUGUUUUCUAUGAUAUCGAUCCUUCUGAUAUUAGAAAGCAGACGGGGAGUCUUGCUGAAGCCUUUGGUAAACAUGAAGAAAGUUUUAAGGAAGAAAUGGAGAAGGUCCAAAAGUGGAGAAAAGCUCUUUUGGAGGCUGCAAAUUUAUCUGGGUUGGAUCGUCGCAGUAUCGCAAAUGGGUGCUUCUUUUCUUUCCCUAUAUCGAUAGCAAAUGCUUAUAACUUUUACUCUUAUUACAUUUUGCAUUUUAAAUUUGCAUUAAAUUCAAAAUAUUAUCUUUCAUCGAUGAGUGAUGACUUUCUUUUUCUAUGCACAGGCAUGAGUCAAAAUUAAUUCAAAAGAUUGUCGAAGACGUUUCAAGUAUUUUGAAUCCCAGAAACAUAAACGAUAGGUUGCUGAAGAGGUUGAAGACAACAAUGAUAUCUGGCAAUGGGCUGCUUGACGAUGCUGAGGAGAAGCAGAUAACAAAUAAAGCUGUGCGGGAUUGGCUGGCCGAGUAUAAAGACGCUGUCUAUGAAGCCGACGACUUCUUGGAUGAGAUUGCUUAUGAAGCUCUACGGCAGGAGUUGGAAGCUGAAGCACAAACCUUCAGAGAUCAGACGCAGAAGCUUCUUUCUUUCAUUAACCCACUUGAAAUAAUGGGGUUGAGGGAGAUAGAAGAAAAAUCAAGAGGCCUCCAGGAGAGUCUAGAUGACUUAGUAAAACAAAAGGAUGCCCUUGGUUUGAUCAACCGCACUGGUAAAGAACCAUCAUCGCAUAGAACACCAACAACUUCUCACGUGGAUGAAUCUGGUGUUUAUGGUAGAGAUGAUGACAGGGAAGCAAUACUGAAGUUGCUUCUAUCAGAGGAUGCAAAUAGAGAAAGCCCGGGUGUCGUCUCCAUAAGGGGAAUGGGCGGGGUUGGUAAAACCACGCUUGCUCAGCAUGUAUACAAUCGCAGCGAAUUACAAGAGUGGUUCGGUCUCAAAGCCUGGGUUUAUGUUUCAGAAGAUUUUAGUGUUUUGAAGUUAACCAAGAUGAUCCUUGAGGAGGUCGGUUCAAAGCCUGAUUCUGAUAGUCUGAAUAUUCUCCAGCUUCAGUUGAAGAAGAGAUUGCAGGGAAAGAGAUUUUUGCUUGUUCUAGAUGACGUUUGGAAUGAAGAUUAUGCUGAGUGGGACAAGUUGCUUACCCCCCUGAAGUACGGAGCACAAGGGAGUAAGAUUCUUGUCACAACACGCAAUGAAAGUGUAGCAUCAGUCAUGCAAACUGUCCCAACUCAUCAUCUAAAAGAAUUGACGGAAGACAGCUGCUGGUCCUUGUUUGCCAAACAUGCAUUUCGUGGUGAAAAUCCCACUGCUCAUGAAGAGUUGCUAGAAAUUGGUAGAGCAAUAGCGAGAAAGUGUAAAGGCCUUCCUCUAGCUGCAGUAACACUCGGAGGUCUGCUACGCACCAAAAGAGAUGUAGAGGAGUGGGAGAAGAUAUUGGAAAGCAAUCUAUGGGAUUUACCCAAAGACAAUAUCCUCCCAGCUUUGAGAUUAAGUUAUCUUUAUCUCCUGCCACAUCUGAAGCAAUGUUUUGCUUAUUGUGCUAUAUUUUCAAAAGACUAUUCAUUUCGAAAGGAUGAAUUAGUGCUCCUGUGGAUGGCAGAGGGCUUCUUAGUCCACUCUGUAGACGAUGAGAUGGAAAGAGCAGGUGCUGAGUGCUUUGAUGAUCUCUUGUCAAGGUCGUUUUUCCAGCAAUCAAGCUCAUCAUUUGUGAUGCACGAUCUCAUGCAUGACUUGGCUACCCAUGUGUCCGGUCAAUUUUGCUUCAGCUCCAGGUUGGGGGAAAAUAAUUCUUCCAAGGCCACCAGAAGGACUCGACAUUUAUCACUCGUAGAUACGAGAGGCGGUUUUUCAAGUACAAAAUUAGAAAACAUCCGUCAAGCCCAACUUCUACGCACAUUCCAAACUUUUGUACGCUAUUGGGGUCGUUCUCCUGAUUUUUAUAAUGAGAUCUUUCAUAUAUUGUCAACACUUGGGCGCCUACGUGUGCUAUCCUUGUCUAACUGUGCCGGUGCAGCUAAGAUGCUUUGUUCAACUAGCAAGUUGAAGCAUUUGCGGUAUUUGGAUCUCUCUCAGUCAGAUUUAGUAAUGUUGCCUGAAGAAGUGAGUGCUCUUCUCAAUUUGCAAACGUUGAUCUUGGAAGAUUGCCUCCAACUUGCUAGUCUACCUGAUCUUGGAAAUUUGAAGCACUUACGACAUCUGAAUCUUGAAGGAACAGGAAUCGAAAGGUUGCCUGAAUCUCUGGAAAGGUUAAUCAACUUGCGGUAUCUUAACAUCUCAGGCACGCCUUUGAAAGAGAUGCUACCACAUGUGGGUCAACUGACAAAGCUCCAAACGUUGACUUUCUUUCUCGUGGGAGGACAGAGUGAGACUAGCAUUAAAGAAUUGGGAAAGCUACAACAUCUACGGGGACAACUUCAUAUUAGGAACCUUCAAAACGUGGUGGAUGCUCGGGAUGCUGCUGAGGCAAAUUUGAAAGGUAAAAAGCACCUUGAUAAGCUGAGGUUUACAUGGGAUGGUGACACUCAUGACCCGCAACACGUAACAAGCACACUUGAGAAAUUAGAGCCAAAUAGAAAUGUGAAGGAUCUUCAGAUUGAUGGUUAUGGAGGUGUAAGAUUUCCGGAGUGGGUAGGAGAGUCCUCUUUCUCAAAUAUAGUGUCCUUGGUGCUCAUUAGCUGUAGAAACUGCACCUCCUUACCACCGCUCGGGCAAUUAGCUUCUUUAGAGAAACUCUUAAUUGAAGCAUUCGAUAAAGUUGUAACUGUGGGCUCUGAGUUUUAUGGGAAUUGUACUGCUAUGAAGAAGCCAUUUGAAUCCCUCAAAAGAUUAUUUUUUUUAGAUAUGCGAGAGUGGUGCGAGUGGAUUUCAGACGAAGGCAGCCGGGAAGCCUUCCCUCUUCUUGAUGAGCUUUACAUAGGAAAUUGCCCCAACCUUACAAAAGCCCUACCCAGUCACCACCUUCCACGUGUAACAAGACUUACAAUUAGUGGAUGUGAGCAGCUUCCUAGGUUUCCUAGGUUGCAGUCUCUCUCUGUUUCUGGAUUCCACUCCCUAGAGUCGCUCCCCGAGGAAAUUGAGCAAAUGGGUUGGUCACCCUCUGAUUUAGGGGAAAUUACAAUCAAGGGCUGGGCUGCUCUCAAAUGCGUCGCACUGGACUUGUUCCCCAAGUUAAAUUCUCUUUCUAUCUAUAACUGUCCAGAUCUCGAAUUACUAUGUGCACAUGAAAGACCUCUCAAUGAUCUCACCUCUCUACAUUCUUUGAUAAUCCGGGAGUGCCCUAAAUUAGUUUCAUUUCCCAAAGGAGGAUUACCUGCUCCAGUCUUGACACGACUUAAGUUACGGUAUUGCAGAAAGUUAAAGCAGUUGCCUGAGUGCAUGCAUUCCCUCCUCCCAUCCCUUUCGCAUUUGGAAAUAAGAGAUUGUUUAGAACUUGAGUUGUGUCCAGAAGGGGGUUUUCCUUCCAAAUUACAAUCACUUGAGAUUUGGAAAUGUAACAAACUCAUUGCAGGCCUCAUGCAAUGGGGCUUGCAAACGCUCCCUUCUCUCUCACGUUUUACAAUUGGUGGCCACGAAAAUGUUGAAUCCUUCCCUGAAGAGAUGCUUCUGCCCUCAAGUCUUACAUCUCUUCACAUCUAUGACCUAGAACACGUGAAAUCUCUUGACUACAAGGGGCUUCAACACCUCACCUCUCUUACAGAAUUGGUGAUUUCUAGCUGCCCUCUGAUUGAGUCAAUGCCAGAAGAAGGGUUGCCCUCCUCCCUUUUUUCUCUUGAAAUUAAAUAUUGUCCCAUGCUGAGUGAAAGUUGUGAAAGGGAGAAAGGUAAAGAUUGGCCCAAGAUUUCUCACAUUCCUCGCAUAGUUAUUUUCCCAACAUCAGCGGAGCAAAAAAGUAGCAGUUAAAAGGAGCUUUUCUUUCAAUCGUCCAACAUAUUGAGGUAUUGCUACUAAAGAGUUUAUUUUCUUUUCAGUAAUCAAAGGCAAUUUCAGUUAAAAUUUGUCAUGUUCCACUAUUAAUUCUAUGCUUAUUUUUGGCAGGAUCCAAAUCCAUCUUUCUACUUACAGUUCAUGAAGGCUCUGUCACCCUUCCUUCUUGCCAGAACGAUAUGCACAGGAUAAAAUUGAUCUGCUUGCUCCCUCAGCUAUGACUCAUUGUGAGCUUUUCCAUUUGAUGUUCUUUCUCAGUUACUCUGUAUUUCUCCACCAUUAUUAAUUCUUUGCAUUUUCAUGUCAGUAUUACCAAUUGCCCAUUUUCACUAAACAAGAUUGUUUUUCAAAUAUCAUUACGUAGCUAUUUGUGUAUUUUACAUAUCCUUUUCAUGCUCUUGGUCUAAAUCCUCUAUUGUUUCUUUGCAGCAUUCUGAUCCAAAUUUUCCUCUACAAGCAUGGGCGGCUCAUAAGUUUGGAUGAAUGAAAUACAGAUACUGUCCAUGUUGUAUGUUUUUAUUUGUUGGAUGUUGAUAUACAAAUUUUCUUCCCAUUGUCUCUCAUACAUCUUCUUUCUCAUUUUAAAAUGUUUAAUGAGUUCUUUAAAAUAACUAAUUUAUAAUUUUAUUAUUGACCAUGCUUUAUUGUAGGUCAAGUUAAGUUUUUCUUAAAAAUAAAAAAUUAUUUAAAUUGUGAAUGUUUUAAUUUUUUCUGGUAAAAAAAAUUUAAAUCGUGUGGUGAUAUAUUUGGUGUGAGUUGAUUCAAUUUGCAGUUUAAAAAACAACCUAGAUAACCAAUAAAAAUAUAAUUUAACUUAUAAAAAAUUUCAAGAUUACAUAUAUUUUUUUAAUAUUAAGAUAACAACAAAUUAAAUUGAUUUGGGUCAACUCAAGUUAACUUGUUAAAUUCAUAACUUGAAUUAUGAGACUAUGAUAACUAUGUAGAAAAUAAAUUAUUAAGUCUAAUUUUCAACCAACCAAAUAUUAAAAGAUAAAAUUAAAAUAAAUAAAUAAGCCAUUUGGAGAUUGACCUGAUGCGACUUAAUUGAUUUAGCUUGUUUGAAAGCAACCCUGACAACCAGUAAAAAUAUAGUCUGACUUAGAAAAAAUUUCAAAAUGACACUUUUUUUUAAUAUGAAGAUAACAAAGUAAUAGAUUGAAUUGGGUUAACCAAAGUUAACUUGUUAAAAUUUUUAUCCAGGUAUGAGACUAUGAAGUCUAAUUCCUAAUCAACCAAAUAUUGAAUGAUAUAAUUGAAAAAAUAAUCAAUUAAAAAAAUAAUCUAAAAAUAUGAAUUGAGUUAACUUGUCAAGUCCAUAGCCUUGGUUAUAAUAGAGAUAUAAUCUUAUAGAAAAAAAAUAAAAAUAAAUUAUGAAGUUCAAUCUUAAUUAGCCAAAUGUUGAAGGAUAAAAUUAAAAAAAAAGAAAUCAAUUUUAAAAAGAACAUAAAAAUAACUCAAGUCAAUCCACCAAACCCAUAACUAGCUCGUCAUGAGAUCGAAAUAAUCUUAUAAAAAAAUUACAUGAUUUAACUCAUUAAAUAUGUGACUUUGGUUACAAGACCGAGACAACCUCUUAAAGAGUGAAUAAAAAUAAAUUAAAAAGUGCAAUCCCUAAUUGACCAUGUCAAACCCGAUGUGAAUGAUGCAAUUUCUAGAAAUUUGAAUUAAAAAAUAACAUAAAAAUGAUUUAGGUCAAUUAGGGUUAAUCGGUUAAGCAUCAUUUUUAGACAAUGAGGCUAGGAUAACAUAAUAAAAACAAAAUCAAAACAAACCAUGAAGCUUAAUUCCUAAUAAAACAUAAUAUUAAAUAAUAAAAUUGAAGAAAAAAGAUCAAUAAAAAAAUUGAGUCAAUCGGGUUAACUUGCUAAGCUUGCGAGUUAGGUUAUGAAACAUAAAUAAUCCAAUAAAAAGCAAAUUCACUAUUGAAGGACUCGUGACCCAGAUCAUGAAAUCAAGAUAACCUCUUAUAAACAAAAUUAAAAAACAACUCAAUUUAAUUUGGAUUAAAAUGCCAAAACCCCCGUCUCUAAUCAUGAGACUAGGAUAACCCUGUAGAAAAUAAUUUGAAAUAGAUUAUGAAGCUUUAUUCCCAACUGACUUGAUAUCGAAUGAUAAAAUUGAAAAAAAAAUUCAAUUAAAAAACAUAAAAUACAACUCGAGUCAACUUAGGUUAACUUUUUAAGUAUUAUUUCUGGGUUACGAGGUUAAAAUAAUCUAAUAUAAAACAAACAAAACAAAACAUGAAACUUAAUUUUUAAUUAAUCUAAUAUUAAAAGAUAAAAUUAUAAAAAUUAAAAAGUUAGCUAAAAAAAUCAAGUUAACCGAAUUAAUCCAUCAAAUCCACAAUUUUUAUUAUAAAAGUGAGACACCUUAAUAAAAAAACAUUCAUUAAAAAAAGCACUCAUUCAAAUAAUUGUAUAAAAUAUAAUAAUAUAAAGUAUAAUUUAUGAUUUAUUUAUUUAAUUUAUCAAUGAAAAGUGAUAGAAGGAAGAAGAGAAAAGAAAUAAAGUGAAGUCUUCUGCUGCAUUAUCAUAUCAUGUGAAAAGCUUCGCAUUUUGUGAAGUUUUUCCAAUCAAACCCCUUUUUUUAAAAGAUGUAAUUUCUAGGAAAAUAAAUCAAAGACAAACCGAGUAAAAUUCCAAAAGAAGAGAAAGAUGGAAUAGCGUUUCAGUUGCGGCUUGUAUACGUGUUUCAAAAAUAAUUUUUUUAUUUUAAAUUAAUAUUUUUUUUAAUGUUUUUAGAUUUUUUAAUUUGUUAAUAUUAAAAAUAAUUUAUAAAAAAUAAAAUAAUUUAUUUUAAUAUAUUUUUAAAUAAAAAACAAUAGAAACCCGUGACCCCUUAAAUGUACUCCUAAGCAUAACAAUUUAAGAGUUAAAGAGCCGAGAGAGAAAAAGCUUUUGCCAGUUCUUUACACAAAUUCUUUCCCCUUCUGUCAGCUGAACAAAAUCCCCUCUUCUUCUUCUUCUUGUUUGUUUACUCUUCCUUCGUUACUUUGCAAAGAGGAGAAACCAUGGCCGGGGCUUUAGUAGGAGGAGCUUUUCUUUCUUCUUUCCUUAAUGUUUUGUUCGACAGGAUGGCCUCUCCCCAGGUGGUUGCCUUCUUCAGAGGCCAAAAAGUCAACAAUUGGCUGCUAACGAGGUUGGAGACAGCAAUGACAUCUCUCAGGGUGGUGCUUGACGAUGCCGAGGAGAAGCAGAUAACAAACCAAUCUUUCCUGGGAACUUGCUUAGUUAAAGGAUUAUCCAUACGAUACUAUUUUUAUAUAUAUAGCAGUUUGUAAUGAAACGGUUGAAGACUAGCAAGACGACGACACAAGAGAACAGUUGGGUUCCGUAUGAUCAAGGAUCUGAUGGAGUGGUGAUUUCUUCAAAGAAGUUAGAUUCGGUGACUGUAAUUUCUCGAGGGAGAAUUGAUGAAGACCCUGAUAAUGGAAGAGAAAUACAGCAAGGGGAUAAAGAUUGACACCCUAUUUUGACUUGGAUAGGUGUUGUGACAUGAUGAGUUGCUGUCAAACAUAAGCAAGGAAUGGGGAGAAAUUUGGAGAACAGAAAUUGCACGAGGGCACAUGGAGAUUGUGUAGGAGUACCCGUGAUCCAACGAGGUACUGUAAUGAGACAACAGAUGCAAGGAGAAGAAGUGUUCCCGGAUGAAGCUCAAAGUAAAGAUUGUGAAAAGGAUGUACAACAGGAAGUCUCUUGUGCUCUUGAUGAAGACAACAGGCGAGGACCUUUCCAAUACAUGCAAGGAUAGAAAGAGAGCUAUUGCAGAGGCACCUAAUUGAGGGGGUGCGAACGCCUAUGAUAAAAGACGACCGCCUAUGAUGAAAGGCGAAGACACCAAAAAGAGUUGGUGUAGGUGGAGCUGUCAAGCAGAAAGGCGCAAAAGCUCCAAACAUAGAAAAUGAGAUGGAAGAUUGCGAGGAGUGUACCACAACUCUCUCUUUCUAUGUGUUCAAUGGAAGUGAUCUCUCCCAUAGUCCACAUGGUGGUAGAGAAUCUUAGAGCCACAUUGAAGCAUCUCCGAUGAAGGAGGAUGAGAACGCAUCAUGACGAGCGGAGACACCUCAGACAGAAAGUGUGCGGGCCACGAUAUGAGCCUAGUUCAGACCGCCUUAUGAUAACAGGCGAAGACACCUUAAAAAAGGUGUGAGAGCCACGAUAGGAGCCCCAGUUCAGAAUGCUCCAAAGCCAAUGUAAUGGUUGGAUAUGAGUGGACAAGUGUAUGGAUAGCCAAUGAAGUGGCUAUGAUGAGUAUGGAGACAAAUGCCAGAUUGACUUUCAUUGCCUCUAGGUUAAAGAUCAAUGAGCUAGAUAACAUAUGCCUUGGACAAUAAGUGGAUGACUUAUGGAGCAUUAAGACGCGACUGAUAAGAAUGAGCAGAGUACAUGCGCAAGUUCCGGGAAUAAGUUGACUCUUGUCAAGGUGGUGAGCUCGGUAAUGGCAUUGUAAUACUCAGAGUAUGAAGAAAGAUAUGGAUCAACCUUUAAUGGGCUGCCCCCAUGGUUAAAGGUGGAGAACUACCUGGACUCUUAGAACUAAAAGCGAGAGACUCAUGGAAAAGUAAGGUGUGGUUCCUAGAGUGGAACAGAGGGCAGACACAACUUCGGGAUGAGUAGAAUCUUGGAAGAGUGGUGAGCUCGUGAUCACAUUGAAAUACUCAGAUAAUGAAUGUCGCACUCGGAAAUAGAUAAUUCCAUUUGAGGGGGUGUUGUAAGCCUUGAUGUGAGGCUUGAUAAAUCAUUUCGGAUUGAGCAUGGUUAAUACGCUCGAAGGGGAAUUUUAUCCCAGAGACAAGCGUUAACACUCUUCAGAUGUAAUGUGACAGACCAUCUGGUUGUAGUGAUCCUUUUGUGUAAGAAAAGGUGUGCUUUGGUGACUCUGGUGAUUGAAAGGUUUGGCGAGUACCUGUAAACUUGGCCAAAGAUGCUCUCAGAAUGGUAAGCUUGGAAGAGUUGCAAGAUGCAAGCAUGUGCUGAAGAAGCAAGAGGACAAUUACCCACAUAAAUGGCAAAGGGGGUGAUUGUUAGAAUAUUACCAAUUAUGUGGCUGCCAUUGUCAAAGAAGAUGGCUGCCAUUGUCAAAGAAAAAAGGCCAACUUGUGAGAGUCAAAGAGAGUUGUUGAUGCAGCAUUUGCAGCCUUUUAACAUUGUCAAAGAAGGAGGCUAUAAUGGUGGGUUGUUGGUGGCAGCUGCUAAUGUCAAAAGAAGCUGCAACAACCAUUAACAAAGAGUAGCCACCAUUGUUGACAAAGGAGCAAGAGGAGUUGUUAUUGAAGCCUAUAAAUAGACACCAAGAGUGCAACACAAAGUGAGAGAGAGAGUCUUGUAGUAGAGCUACAAAAGAGAGAAGAAGAGAGAAAAAAAGAGAAGGGCUGCAACCAGCAGCCCUGCUGCCUUAUGCAGCUACUGCCCUAUGUAGCAAUGUGAGAUGGGAGUUGAGUGGAUGUGAUCCUCCUCCGUGUGUUGUAUUCUUUCUCUAUCUCUAAUAAUAUCGAUCUCUCCAGUGGAUGUAGGCGAUUUGCCGAACCACGUUAAAUAUUGUGUUAGUGUGCUUAGUCUCCUUUAAGCAAUGAUCAUGAACACCACCGUUCCGCAAGGGGGAGCAGAAAUCCCCAACAAUACAGAAGUUGCUUCUACCAGACGAUGCCAAUGGAGAAAACCCAGGUGUGGUUCCUGUUACAGGGUUAAAUUCGUCAGGCUGUAGGUUGACGAAAGUAUUGCUGGACAGUAGCUAUGAGGUGGCAGCCCGCAUGACGGUAGUGAAAAUCGGCAGCAUGCAACAGCAACGCAGCAGUGUGCUGACAAGAGCUGGAGACUUGGACUAUGGAUUGUCCAAGGCUCGAUGAAACAGUGCUGGAAUGACGUGAUGGGACAGUGUCGAAUUCGGCAGCAUUGAUGAGAUCAACAGCGUCGACAAAAUUGGCAGCAGGGGCUGACGAUAGGUCUAGGCGAUGGACAGUCCAUGACUGGACAUAAUACACUACUGGCAUGAAUGGCAGCACGCAUAGGUAGUGGCAACGUGCAUGGGCAGAUUCAGCAACAGUGUGCGUCAACGAUUCGACAGGACAUGGGUUGAUGUUCGACAGGAAUCCUAACUUAGACCAUGGACAGUCCAAGGCAUACAAACACCUACUCUGGCAGCGUGGAAGUUGGCAAAAGGGACAACUGGCUUGUUGGGUGGCAGGCUAUGGAAGAAGCAGCAAUUGCAGGCAAUUUUCGACAGUUAUCAGCAGUUUUCCAGGAGGCCAAACUGACCAGAACGUGGCCCAUGUCUUGGGAGGCAGUUAUGUUGUAUUAUUCCAUGUAAUAGGUUGUACAUAGGGUGUAGCAUGCAAUGUUCUGGUAGGCAGCAGAACACUUGUGCAUGGCACACACGCUAAUAAACUUGUGUAUCCUUUGUUGACGAGACUAAUGAAGGUUGGGAAUGUUUUCCUGUAAUAUCUUGUGUGCUUGGUUCUGUACAGCUUUGCUUGUGUAUUCCGCUUGUCUAUGUAAUGGGAGUGAGUGUGGGAAACCUCUUGGUGAGGGAAACACGAGUGAGGUGAGGGAAAGGCUGAGUCUAGCUAGUCAUCAACCUCCUGUCACGACCCGAUCCCCGGAUCCAUGACUGGCACAUAGGCAAGGUUCCCCUCCAAGGUUCCAUACCUAUGCGAACCCAAACUUACACACAAACUUAUCCUAACUCAAUUAGAGUUCAACGCAGCAUUAAUAACAAAAUCAACUUCAUAAUAUAAUUGAAUUGUCUUAAUACAAGAGUUUAUAUAAGUUCAGAGUUUUGGAGCACUAACUAGACAUAAAGGAAAGGUACCAAGUACAACCAAAAAGCAGGUUCUGAAGGUCCAACAAAAUGACCUGUUAUUAAGCUAUAAGCCUGAAAAGGAUAAAUAAUGAGAUGGUGAGUUCAACAACUCAGUGAGUAGAUAACGUUCAAUACACACACACAAGGUAAUACAGCAAUGAGAAAUAUAUAUACAAUUGGCUUUAGGUUCUUAUGGAAGUUUUCUCAAAUUGGCCAUAACAAGAAGAUCAUAUGGUAAAACUCGUCAGAAAAUCAAAAUGCAAUGAGCAUGAGGCUCCGUACUGUGGGAUGAUCAGUCCACACAGGUUGGUGACUCCCCCGACCAACUAGGGUUCAGAUACGAUGUGCACAAAGACUAACACUACCCUGUUAGCAUGGGUAUUCUGACUGACAUACCAUAGGUUUAUAAUCAUAAUCAAACAGACAUAUUCAUAUCUCAAGGCUCAACUCAUGACAUCAAUCAAAUGAGGAGCUAUCAAUUCAGAAGUCAAUUCAUAAUAUAUAUACUGGUUCAUAUCAAUAAUUCGGAUUCAACAAUUGAUCAUGCUUAUCAUAACAAGGAUAAUAAUCAACAUAUAUAUUAUCAAGAAGCAUGAUCCAAUUCAUAUUAACAAAUCAAAUAUUUAUAAUAUUUCUCAUGCAUAUGGAAAAUUAUCCACUCACCUGACUCAAAAGCAAACAGAAGCCAAAAGCAGACACCGAAGAAAAUCCUACUGACGUCCCGCCGGUAGAAUAUCAGGAUUAUCUGAAUAUAAAGGAGACAUAUUUAAGAACGACUCGAAAGAACAUUUAACCUAUUUAAUAAACUUAACUAAUAAUGUAUUCCGUAACCCUAUAUGUUUUUGAACUAACUAGUCAAUUUUCUCAAAAACCCAAAAUUUAACGGUUUUUUCCGAAAUCUAAUCCAUAAUAAAACAACUAAUAAAAUUGGCAAUAAUUCACUAAAUAACCCUUAAUUAUUCAUCAAACUAAUCUGCAAAAGCUAAUAUUACAGAUAGGGAAUAAUCUGUAAUUUAUCCUAUUUUUAAGGGUCAAAUUGCAACUUUUGUCUAAUUGAAGGACCAAACUGAAAUUUAUCAUAAAUCCAUGAAUAUACUGAAAUUCUGACCAUAAUUAGUCCUCAUUUCUGUCCAGAUCAUCUCAUUAUACUCCAAGGACCAUUCUGGAAUUUUACCAAAUUUUUAGGGUCAAAUUGUAUUUUUUGCCAAAUUGGAGGACUAAAUUGAAAGUGUUAAAUUCUCUUAUCUAUACAGUAAUUCUGUCCAUAAUUCAUAUGUUAUUCUGUUCAGAAUCUCGGAAUAGGCUCCAGGGACCAAUCUGCAAAUUUUCCAAAGUUUGGGGACUAAACUGUAAUUUUCCAAAAUUGAGAGACCAAACCGAAAUUUUGUCAUCUUCAACCUCCAACCCAGAAUUCCAACAGAAAACCCACUGUUCUUUCCUUAUUUCUAACACAAAUUCACCAUUCAAACAAAAUCAUAACUCAAAAUCAUCAUCUUUCAAUUCAAUCUCUCAAAUUCAACCAAAUAAUCAAAUACCCACAACAAUUAACCCUACAACAUCCAAAUUAACUCAUAAAUCAAACUCAAAACACAAAUUUCAUAACCCUAACAUUUAUCAAAAUCAAAAUUAAAGCUUAAUUAACACAUAUUUAUACAUAAUCUUACCUUUUUACUUAUUUCCUUCAAUUCCUUUCUAUUUCCCUUCUAAUUUCCCUCUUUUCUCUUCUUCUUCUUUCUCCCUUUCUCUCCUGCCGGUUCUCUCUCAAAAUUCAGAUCCCUCUUUCCUCUUUUUUUUUUACUUCCUAUUUAUAUAUAUUAUCUCUUUAUACAAUUAUUAUUAUACCCCUCAUUUAAUUUAUUCCUACAUCUAAGCAUUCAAGGGCCUUGUUGCCAUUUCCUAUCUUUUAAUACAAAACAUUACACCUCCGAGGACAGAUUUCUCUCUAAGGUCUGUUUUUGGGAUAAAAAAUUGACCCUGUGACAGUUCCCAUAGUGGGAAUGGGCGGGGUUGGUAAAACCACGCUUGCUCAGCUUGUAUACAAUCACAGCAGAGUACAAGAGUGGUUCGGUCUCAAAGCUUGGGUUUGUGUUUCAGAAGAUUUCAGUGUUUCGAAGUUAACUAAGGUUAUCCUUGAGGGGUUCGGUUCAAAGCCUGCUUUUGAUAAUCUGGAUCAGCUCCAGCUUCAGUUGAAGGAGAGAUUGCAGGGAAAGAAAUUCUUGCUUGUUUUAGAUGACGUUUGGAAUGAAGAUUAUGAUGAAUGGGAUAGGUUUCUUACCCCCCCUGAAGUACGGAGCACAAGGGAGUAAGAUUCUUGUCACAACACGCAAUGCAAGAGUAGCAUCAGCCAUGAGCACUGGUCCAACUCAUCAUCUAAAAGAAUUGACGGAAGACAGCUGCUGGUUUGUGUUCGCCAAACAUGCAUUUCGUGGUAAAAAUCCCAAUGUUUAUGAAGAGUUGCUAGAGAUUGGAAGAGAAAUAGGGAGAAAAUGUAAAGGCCUUCCUCUAGCUGCAAAAACACUCGGAGGUCUGCUAUGCACCAAGAGAGAUGUCGAGGAGUGGGAGAAGAUAUUGGAAAGCAAUCUAUGGGAUUUACCCAAAGGCAAUAUCCUCCCAGCCUUGAGAUUAAGUUAUCAUUAUCUCCUGCCACAUCUGAAGCAGUGUUUUGCUUAUUGUGCCAUAUUUCCAAAAGACUAUUCAUUUCGAAAGGAUGAAUUAGUGCUCCUGUGGAUGGCAGAGGGCUUCUUAGUCCACUUUGUAGAUGAUGAGAUGGAAAGAGCAGGUGCUGAGUGCUUUGAUGAUCUCUUGUCAAGGUCGUUUUUCCAGCAAUCAAGCUUAUCAUUUGUGAUGCACGAUCUCAUGCAUGACUUGGCUACCCAUGUGUCCGGUCAAUUUUGCUUCAGCUCCAGGUUGGGGGUAAAUAAUUCUUCCAAGGCCACAAGAAGGGCUCGACAUUUUUCACUCGUAGUAGAUACGGAAGACACGGAUGGUGAAGAUACCGAAGAUGGAGAUACGGAAGGUGUUUUUUCAAGCACAAAAUUAGAAAACAUUAGUGCAGCCCAGUUUCUACGCACAUUCCAAACUUAUCCACACUAUUUGAGGUGUCCUCCCGAAUUUUAUAAUGAGAUCUUUCAGUCAACACUUGGGCGCCUACGAGUGCUAUUCAUGACUGGUUGUAGAGAUGCAACUUUGAAGUUUUGUUCAACUAACAAGUUGAAGCAUUUGCGGUAUUUGGAUCUUUCCUUUUCACAGUUCUUAGUAACGUUGCCUGAAGAAGUGAGUGCUCUUCUCAAUUUGCAAACGUUGAUCUUGCAAGAUUGCUCCAAACUUGCUAGUCUACCUUAUUUUGGAAAUUUGAAGAAUCUUGAAGGAACAAGAAUCGAAAGGUUGCCUGAAUCUCUAGAAAGGUUUAUCAACUUGCGGUAUCUUAACAUCCAAUAUACGCCUUUGAAAGAGAUGCCACCACAUAUAGGUCAACUGACAAAGCUCCAAACGUUGACUGACUUUAUUGUGGGAAGACAGAGUGAGUCUAUCAUUAAUGAAUUGGAAAAGCUACGACAUCUACGGGGAAAACUGUAUAUUCGGGUCCUUCAAAAUUUGGUGGAUGCUCGGGAUGAUGUUGGAGCAAAUUUGAAAGGUUUAAAGCACCUUGAUCAGCUGUUUCUCAUUUGGGAUGGUGACACUCAUAACGUGGAACACGUAACAAGCACGCUUGAGAAAUUAGAGCCAGAUGGAAAUGUGAAGUAUCUUGAGAUUGAUGGUUAUGGAGGUAUAAGGUUUCCGGAGUGGGUAGGAAACUCCUCUUUCUCAAAAAUAGUGUCCUUGAAGCUCAGUAGAUGUAAAAACUGCACCACCUUACCACCGCUCGGGCAAUUAACUUCUUUAGAGGAUCUCUCAAUUGAAGAAUUCGAUAAAGUUGUGACUGUGGGCUCUGAGUUCUAUGGGAAUUGUACACAAGAAGCCAUUUGAAUCCCUCAAAUGUCUAUUUUUUAAAAGGAUGCCAGAGUGGCGCGAGUGGAUUUCAGACGAAGGCAGCCGGGAAGCCUUCCCUCUUCUUGAGAAGCUUUACAUCCAACAAUGCCCCAACCUUGCAAAGGCCCUUCCUAGUCACCACCUUCCACGUGUAACAAGACUUGUAAUUAAAGAAUGUAAGCAGCUCGCGACUCCACUUCCUAGGUUUCCGAGGUUGCAGUCUCUCUCUGUUUCUGGAUCCCACUCCCUAGAGUCCCUACCCGAGGAACUUGAGCAAAUGGGUUGUUCACCCUCUGAUUUAGGGCGAAUUACAAUCCAGGGCGAAUUACAAUCCAGGGCUGCGCUUCUCUCAAAUGCGUCGCACUGGACUUGCUCCCCAAGUUAAAUUAUCUUUCUAUCUGUGACUGUUCAGAUCUUGAAUCACUAUGUGCACAUGAAAGACCUCUCAAUGAUCUCAAUUCUCUCCAUUAUUUGUUUAUCGAGAAGUGCCCUAAAUUAGUUUCAUUUCCCAAAGGAGGAUUACCUGCUCCAGUCUUAACACGACUUGAGUUAGAAGAUUGCAGGAACUUGAAGCUGUUGCCUGAGAGUAUGCAUUCCCUCCUCCCAUCCCUUUCGCAUUUGGAAAUAAAAGAUUGUUUAGAAGUUGAGUUGUGUCCAGAAGGGGGUUUUCCCUCCAUAUUACAAUCACUUGUCAUUUGUAGAUGCGACAAACUCAUUGCUGGCCGCAUGCAAUGGGGCUUGCAAACGCUCCCUUCUCUUUCACACUUUACAAUCGGUGGCCUUGAAAAUAUUGAAUCCUUCCCUGAAGAGAUGCUUCUGCCCUCAAGUCUUACAUCUCUUAAAAUCCAUUCCCUAAAACACCUGAAAUCUCUUGACUACAAGGGGCUUCAACACCUCACCUCUCUUAGAAAAUUGCAUAUAAAUUACUGCCCUAGGCUUGAGUCCAUGCCAGAAGAAGGGUUGCCCUCCUCCCUUUCUACUCCUCUUUAUAUUUACUUUUGUCCUAUGGUUGAGUCAAUGCCAAAAGUAGGGUUGCCCUCCUCCCUUUCUACUCUUAGAAUUAACGAUUGUCCUAUGCUGGGUGAACGUUGUGAAAGGGAGAAAGGUAAAGAUUGGCCCAAGAUUUCUCACAUUCCUCACAUAAAAAUUAUGUAUUGAUGGCUAUUGAUUUUUCCAACAUCAGCGGAGCCAAAAAGGAGGUAUUGCCACUAAAUAGUUUAUUUUCUUUUCAGUAAUCAAAGGCAAUUUCAGUAAAAAUUUGUCCUUUUCCACUAUUAAUUCUAUGCUUAUUUUUGGCAGGAUCCAAAUCCAACUUUGCACUUACAGUUCAUGAAGGGUUUGUCACCCCUUCCUUCUUGCCAGAACAAUAUGCACAGGAUAAAAUUGAUCUGUUUGCUCCCUCAGGUAUGACUCAUUGUGAACUUUUCCAUUCGAUGUUCUUUCUCAGUUACUCUGUAUUUCUCCACCAUUAUUAAUUCUUUGCAAUUUCAUGUCAGAUUACCACUUGCCCAUUGCAGAGUGGAGCACCAUGGUUUCACAAAACAAGAUUGCUUUGCAUUGUUUAGCUAUUUGUGUAUUAUACGUAUCAUUUUCAUGCUCUUGGUCUAAAUCCUCCAUUGUUUCUUUGCAGGAUUCUGAUCCAAAUUUUCUUCUACAAGCAUGGGCGGCCCAUAAGUUUGGAUGAAUGAAAUACAGAUAUUUUCUUCAUAUUGUCUGUCAUUCAUCAUUCUAUUUCAAUAUAUUUUUUGCUAUAAUUAAUUUUUAAAGUUGAUUUGAUUAGUAUUGUACUUUUCUCAUUCUAACAUUUGUGGUUAGAACAAGGUAAUUUUCACUGGAGUGUCAUUUUGGGAUGAGAUGAUUUUGGUUCAAAUUCCAUAAAUUGUUUCUUAAAAAAAAAUAACAAUUUAAACAAGACAAGGAGAAUGAUCUAUAGGAGCGGUGAACCUUUGGCUUCUUUCCUUUGAAUCCAAAUUCAAAUCCUGUUCUGCUGCAAAUAAACAUCACAUGCUUCAGAUUUUGAAUUUAGUAAUAGAAAAUCCAUUGCUAGAAAGGAUUAAAAAAAUAUUGAAUUAUUUAAGUGAUCUGCAACUGAUUUUUCAUUGUUGACGCGGCAAGAUCAAAUCUGCAACUGAUUCAAAAAAUAAAUUAAACCCUUAAUUAUAUAAAAUCUCCCUUCUCUCCUUCUCUCCUUUUCUGCAUCUUCAAAAAUUCAAAUUUUUUUCUCCAUCUCUUUCUCUAGUCCAUUCGCCUUCUUCAAAAAUUCAAAAUCCAAAAAAUUUUGAUUUAUCUUUUUUUAUUAUUAUUUAACUUUGAUUAAAAAAAAUUUAUUCCAUAUAAAGCUGAAGUUAAAAAAUAAUUUUGGAGCGUAGGAAAGGCCCUUUCUAAUAAAAUUUAUUUCAUGGUGUUCAGGAAUAAUUAAUAAUAUUUUAUUAGUUAUUUUUAAAAUUUAUUUUCAUAAAACAAAUAAAUACAAAAAGAAAAAAUAAUAUAAAAUUCACCCGCGUUUUGGAAUCACAAUUCAGAAGCAAGUGAAAGUGGCCAAUGUCACUCAAGAGAGCAGGCACUUGCAAAUCUACUAAUGAUUUGUUUGGCAUGGUGUUGGUAAAUUGUUUUUGAAAAAAUUUAAAUUUAUUUUUAUUUUAAAUUAAUAUAUUUUUUUAUGUUUCUAUAUUAAAAUAUUAUUUUAAUAUAUUUUAAAAUAAAUAAUACUUUGAAAAAUAAUCAAAUAAAUAUGGGAGCAUCACCCUUUCGCACAAUCAACAGAAAGGAUUAAAGCACAGAAAGUCAUCAUCUCGAGAACUCACAGCAAAGAGUUCAAUGUUGUAGUAGAUAUGUAGCUAUAUUAAAAACAUUAAUACUUCCAGCAUGCACAAAUGCGACUUCUUAAUAGUUAAUAUUGGAAAAAUUAAAUUUCCUUUUCUAAUUAAAUGAAAAUCUCUACUAAAUAUUAUGCUAUUUGAAUUUUCACCUCAUGACUACAAGCUGCACUGCACUCAUGGAUGCUUCACCAGGAUAAAGCUACAAAUGUCAGUUUAAUAUCUGCCUCUACCUAGGUCGGCCGACAAUAUUACCAAAGCUUCUCUCCUACAAAUGUCAGUUUUUAAAAUCUGCCUCCACCUAGGUCGGCCUGCAAUAGAAUACCAAAGCUUCUCUCAACUAAAUCAAGACAUGAUGACUAGCACUCGCAACCAUAACAGAACCAAUGGAAGCGAACUACUACAUAUUUGAUCAACAAGGUCAAAUUCAGUCGAGUUUUUAAGGAAAUCCAGUGAAAGAGGAACCUAAAAUACUACAUGAUUGUGGAAUAGAAAGUUUAACGGCCUUAAUUGAAUUGUUUCAGUCACUAUUUUUUCAGUCACAAAGUAACAAUUUCUGUAUCAACUCUUCUCUUCUUCUUCUUCUUCUAUCACAUCUCAAUGGAUUGCAACAGAUUGUAACAGCCCCUGUAGUUUCUCUGUUUUGAAUUAUUCAAAUAAGUUGCACAGAUUGCAACAGCCCUUAAAGAUAGGAAGCAGUUUUGAACUGCUCUAUAGUUUAGGAUUUCAAAACAAAUGUUCGUUAUCAUGUAUGUGUAUUUAACUGCUGCAAAAUGUAAAUGAAAAAUAUGAUUGAUUUCAUCAUUCCUUUAUGGUAUCAGAGCACUAAACCGAUCCACUUUAUUUUUAUCUUUUCUUUUCUUUUUCCUUCCCUUGUUCAUUACCACUCAUGGCUACAGAGUCUAAUCCUGCAACCAUUCUCAACACCAAUGAAUCACACCAAACUCUCAUCAGCAUCAAUGUUGCUGCUCAAGCCCCUCUCAAACUCAACUCUACCAAUUACCUCUCUUGGAAACUUCAAUUCCAAACCUUAUUCAUUGGAUAUGAUCUUCUUGGCUAUAUUGAUGGCUCCAAACCAUGCCCGCCAGCUACCUUGACUCAAGCCAAUACCACCAUUUCCAAUCCCAAUUACACUCUAUGGAUCCGCCAGGAUUAAUUGAUUCUCAACGCUGUUAUUGGCUCCAUUUCACCUACUAUUAUACCUUUCAUUGCUCAAGCCACCACCUCUAGCCAAGCCUGGACAAUUCUAGCAAAUACCUAUGCUAAACCCUCUCGUGGUCGUAUUAAACAAAUCAAAAACCAACUCAAAAACACCACCAAAGGCUCCCUUGGCAUCACUGAAUUUAUGCAAACUAUCAAAACGCGAGCAGAUGAUCUUGCUCUUCUUGGUGCCUCCCUUGAUGCAGAAGAAAUCACGGACAAAAUACUUGAUGGUCUCGGUGAUGAUUACAAGGAAUUAGUUCGUGCUGUCCAGGCCAGAGAUACCUCCAUCACAUUUGUAGAACUUCACGAAAAACUUCUCAAUUUUGAGGCCUCCCUUCAACAUCUCCCAUCUGAGCCACACCAUUUUCCAGCUACAGCCAAUCCCACAUAUCGAACCAACACCAAAAAUUGGCGUCCUUCUCCACCUCGUAACAAUACCACAAACUAUUGGCGCCCAUCCUACAACUUUUCCAACCGCUCACCUAUUGUACCCAUUACAAGACCCAUUUCAGCACCGGCCUCUCGUCCUCACCACAAACCAUACCUUGGUCACUGUCAAAUUUGCAGGAUUCAGGGUCACACUGCCAAUCGGUGCCCUUCCUAUCGCCUUGUACCCAUUCAUCCUUUACCCACUUCCAGCACUCCCCAACAAGGAACACCCUGGCAACCACAAGCUCACCUUGCCACCCAUCCCUCCACCACGCCAUCCUGGCUUUUAGACAGUGGUGCUUCACACCAUGUCACCUCAGAUCUAAACAACCUCUCCCUGCAUGCUCCAUAUAGCGGUACUGAUGACAUCAUGAUCGGAGAUGGAUCCACUCUUCCCAUCACUCAUACUGGUUCCACCUCUCUCACCACUCCUCUCCAUACAUUUCAAUUACACAAUGUUCUUUGUGUUCCCUCUAUGGAAAAGAACCUCAUCUCUAUUUCACAAUUCUGCACUUCUAACAAUGUUUCCAUAGAAUUCUUACCAUCAACUUUUCUUGUUAAGGAACUUCAUACCGGGACAACACUGCUACAGGGACAGACUAAAGAUGGUGUCUAUGAGUGGCCCUCUUCCUCUCCUUUCAUUGCUUUCUCAACAAUAAAGCCCACGUCCUUCGACUGGCAUCAUCGCCUAGGCCAUCCAGCUUUUUCAAUUCUCAGACAUAUUGUCUCUAGCAAUCAUUUAGGCUUGUCUUCCUCCUUAUCUUCCAAUUACUCAUGUAAUGCGUGUCUUUGCAAUAAAAGCCACAGGCUGCCCUUCUCCAACUCUACAAUUGUCUCCACCAAACCGCUUGAAAUUAUAUUCUCUGAUGUGUGGACCUCGCCAAUUUUCUCUCAUAAUGGCUUUAAAUAUUAUGUAAUAUUUAUUGAUCAUUUCACUAAAUAUAUCUGGUUUUACCCACUCAAAAACAGAUCUGAUGUCAAAGAAGUUUUCAUUCGAUUCAGAGCCAUUGUCGAAAAACACUUUAAUUCCACCAUUAAAACACUCUACUCUGACAAUGGUGGUGAGUAUAUCUCUCUAGCUAAUUUUCUUUCCACCAAUGGUAUCUCUCAUCUCACAACUCCCCCUCACACGCCUGAACAUAAUGGUUACUCUGAAAGACGACAUCUUCACAUCGUUGAAACUGGUCUAGCCCUACUCACGCAUGCUUCUUUACCCCAUUCCUACUGGACUUAUGCAUUUUCCACAGCUGUCUAUCUCAUUAAUAGAUUGCCGACUCCCACUUUAAACUUGUCCUCACCCUACCACAAAAUAUUUCAAACAGCCCCAAACUACUCCAAGUUACGCAUCUUCGGCUGCCUAUGCUACCCUUGGCUCCGCCCUUACACCUCCCAUAAACUUGAAUCAUGGUCCAAGCCAUGUGUUUUCCUUGGGUAUUCUCUUACUCAAAGUGCAUACUAUUGCCUUGAUCCUUCCACCUCCAGAAUCUACGUCUCAAGACAUGUCAAAUUUAUUGAGUCACAGUUUACCUUCUCUUCACUAUCUGGUUCAUCCUCUACUUCCCUUUCCAAUCCCAUCACUACUUGGAUUCCUGCACCAAUUACAGUUCUUUCACCCGCUUCAGAACCACCACUCCCUAUGCCAUCUGCAGUUUUCAAUACUCAGCAACCCCAAAGUGCAGCUCCCCCAUCCAACCCCAUUCAGCUUCCAACCACCAUCGCCACCCAUACAACCUCCCCUUCCAUAACAUCUUCAACAGGUACAACCUCAACCCUCCAUUCCCCACCUAAAACUCCUACCCUUCCCACUCAUUCUAUGACCACUCGCGCUAAAAACAACAUUCACAAACCCAUCACUAAGCUGAAUCUUCAUACCCGACUAUCCACUUCCAGUGAUCUAGAACCAACCACCGUGACUAAAGCCCUUCUUGAUCCCAGGUGGCGUCAAGCUAUGUCUGCUGAAUGUGAUGCCUUAGUCAGAAAUGGAACAUGGGAACUUGUUCCACCAGAUUCUUCACAGAAUAUAGUUGGAUGUAAGUGGAUAUUUCGGAUUAAACGUAACACUGAUGGUUCUAUUGAUAGGUUCAAAGCACGUUUAGUCGCAAAGGGGUUUCACCAAAGACCUGGUGUUGACUAUCUUGACACAUUCAGCCCUGUAGUAAAACCAACAACAGUGCGUGUGGUCCUCAGCCUUGCAGUUUCUCGGGGAUGGACUUUACGCCAACUUGAUAUCAACAACGCUUUCCUUCAAGGCCAUCUCUCUGAGACUGUACACAUGCAACAACCACAAGGUUUUGUUGAUCAAGAUCAUCCAUCCUAUGUCUGCAAACUUCGAAAGGCAAUCUAUGGCCUCAAACAAGCACCUAGAGCAUGGUAUCAUGAACUUCGCACUUUUCUACUUCACUCAGGUUUCAAAAAUUCUCAUACGGAUACAUCAUUAUUUGUUCUCAAUACUGCUGGAAAGAAAAUGUAUAUCCUGGUUUAUGUGGAUGGCUUAAUAAUUACUGGUGACCACACUACCAUGAUCGACUCCUUUGUGGUUGUUCUUGCUCAUCGGUUUUCCAUUAAAGAUCUUGGACAGUUAUCGUGUUUUUUAGGCGUGGAGGUAGUUCACAAUCAGCAUGGAAUUUUGUUAUCUCAAAGGCGUUAUAUUUUGGAUAUUCUAGCUCGAACUCAUAUGGCAGAUGCAAAACCUGUGUUCACUCCUAUUCCAACUAGUCCACCUUUGUUAAAAUCAGGCACUGCGUUGCCUGAUCCCUCUGAGUACAGAACGAUUGUUGGCAGCCUUCAAUAUCUCUUGAUUACCAGACCAGAUCUUGCAUUUGCAGUUAACAAGCUCUCUCAGUACAUGCACACUCCAACAACUGAUCAUUGGAGCUUUGUUAAACGCCUCUUACGCUAUCUAUGUGGCACUAUUAAUGAUGGCCUCCAAAUACAUCGCAGGUCUCCAUUAAAUCUACAUGCCUAUUCAAACGCAGAUUGGGCGGGUAACAAAGAUGAUUUCUCAUCUACCAGUGCCUAUGUCAUAUAUCUUGGUCGCAAUCCCAUUUCAUGGAGUUCUAAGAAACAGAAAACUAUUGCAAGAUCUUCAACUGAAGCGGAAUACAGGUCAGUAGCAAAUGCAGCAGCUGAGCUCAACUGGCUUUGCUAUCUUCUGUCUGAUCUAGAUGUUCAACUUCCGUGUUGUCCGGUCUUAUACUGUGACAAUGUUGGAGCUACCCAACUCUGCUCCAAUCCUGUUUUUCACUCCAAAACGAAACAUGUUGCCAUCGAUUAUCACUUCAUCAGGGACCAAGUACAAAAUGGUGUCCUUCGUGUUGCCCAUGUAUCCUCAGCAAAUCAACUUGCUGAUGCACUGACCAAGCCUCUUCAUCGUAUCCGUUUUCUAGAUCUCAAAUCCAAGAUUGGACUUCUAUCUCGAGCUCCAUCUUGAGGGGGCAUAUCACAUCUCAAUGGAUUGCAACAGAUUGUAACAGCCCCUGUAGUUUCUCUGUUUUGAAUUAUUCAAAUAAGUUGCACAGAUUGCAACAACCCUUAAAGAUAGGAAGCAGUUUUGAACUGCUCUAUAGUUUAGGAUUUCAAAACAAAUGUUCGUUAUCAUGUAUGUGUAUUUAACUGCUGCAAAAUGUAAAUGAAAGAUAUGAUUGAUUUCAUCAUUCCUUUAUCUUCUACUUCUUCUCUCUUAUUCCUUUCUAAAGACAGAAAGACAGAAGAUAAGGCUGGAUUAGGGUUAAACACAAAAAAUUCUAAAACCGUAUUUUAUUUUUUAAUUACUAUUAUGUUCAAGUCGGCCUCUUGAAAAGGUUUACGCUAAAAAAAUUGACCUACACUAGAGAACAAAAUUAGAAUCCCUAAACAUAAAGAAAAUUAGCAUAAAAUCCGAAAUAAACAAUAAAUCUAAAAAUAUCAGAUGAUGCUGGUCCGUGUUUGCCAAACAUGCAUUUGGUUAUGAAAAUCCCAUUGCUCAUGAAGAGUUACGGGAAAUUGGUAGAGCAAUAGUGAGGAUUGUCUGAUGUUCACCUAUAAUUGUAGCUGAAGAAAAGCUAGAAAUGAAACUGCCUGUAUUGGAAGUGAAACUGCUUGCCUACAAUAUAUGUGAACAUUCUAUGGCUUUGUUGCCGCCUUCUAGCCUUUCGGUGUUGCACGGUGCUGCUGCUUUUUGGCUUUUGAUUUCAUACACUAUCAGAAAAUUGAUAAAUACAAACGGAAAUAUCAAGGAAAUAUUUCUGUCGGUAAAUUUUUGAGGGAUUUUACCGACAGAAAUAUUCCCCGGUAUAUACCGAGGGAAUUACCGUGGGAAAAAAAUUAAAACAAAGCAAAAAAAAUGAUGACGUGUCAUUUUUACCAACAGAAUUACCGACGGAUUUUUCAAUUCCGUCAGUAUUUUCCAAAGAGCUCCAAAAUUAUUCACUUUCCAAUUGCACUGUUAAUUGUUAUUCUUUACGGACAAAAUCACCGACGGAUUGAAAAGUCGUCGAUAUUAUUUGGCGGUUUUCUGAAAAAAUUCAAUUAAUUUAAAAUUUUCAUUUAAAUAUUACAGACGGAAUCACCGACGAAUUGAAAAAUUAUCGGUAAUUGUUGGCGAUUUCUGAAAAAAUUUUACAAAAUUGAAAAUUUAAAUUAAAUAUUACCGAUAAAAUUGCCGAUGAAAUAAUUAAAAAAUAUUAAUAUUCAAUUAUUUGUCGCUAACGCGCCUCAAUAAAAAGCCUGAAUCCCUUUAUUUCAGACUUAUUUCUUAUUAUUCUUCUACUUCUACUUCACUAUAUGUAAAAAACAUCAAUAUCUAUUUCUUUCUCUUCUUUUCUCUCCUCACCUCCUUAUCUUUUUCUCCAUACUUGGGUAUGUCUUCUUCUUCUUUCUUCUUUUAUCCUCUUAGUUUUUUUUUUUUAAUUAAUAUGCUUUACGAAAUUUUUUCUCUCUCCUUAGCUUCACUUGCAACUACAUUAAGGUAAGAUUUUUCUUUUUUCUUCUUUUUUCAUGAUUUUUUUCACUAUAUUUGUUUUUUAUUUUAUUUUUAAUUGUUUUUGUUCUUAAUAAUUAUAUAAAUGUUGUUGUGAGAUUUUUUUUUCAUAUGAGAUCAAGUUUUAGUUGAUUUAUUUAUAGGAUUUUUAAAUUUUUAGCAAUUGCAACUUCAUUUUUUUCAUAUGAAUUUUUUUAGUUGAAUUUAUUUUUUCAUUUUAUUUAUUUUUUGCAAAUUUGUUUGAGUUGAUUUUCUUAUUCUUUUUUUCCAAGCAUUUUGAGUAUAUAUUAUAGAGUGUUGAUUUAUGUUAAUUUAAUUAUUUUAUAAUUUUUUAAAAUGAAUAUUUUAAAAAUAUUUUUAAAUUAUUACCGACGGAUUUAUUGACGGAAUAGACGUGUCGGUAAUAAUAUUUUUUUAUUACCAACGGAUUUACCGACGGACAAAAAAUUACCGAUGAAAGAUGCACAGACAGAGCAUUUCUGUCGGUGAUUUUGUUGGUAAAUUAAUUACCAACGGAAUAUGUAUCUUACGCCGAUAGAAAAAUUCCAUCGAUAAAAUUGUUAAAUGUUGUAGUGAUAGAAAUGUUGUUCCCUCUCAUCCCUGGUGUUACAUAGGCAGCUGCUGGCUCCUCUUGUAUCUUUUGGGUUCUGGCUUCGUUUGGUUCAUGCCAUUGUCUGCUCUCCGGUUGUCGAAGCUGACAGCAAUCCUCCAACUCUGUUCUCAUAGUCAGAUGCUUCCUCUGUUUUCUCCUGGCAUUGAAAUUACAGCUCUCCCUCAAAUUUUAUUGAUGAUGUGCCUUUGGUCAUCUUAAUAGCUCUUUUUUUCUUGGGAUAUUUCAUUUGAUUCCUUUUUUCUCUUUUAUUUUAAUUAUUAUCUUCAUAGUUUUAACAUUAAGUCUCUUUGAAAAUAGAAGCAGCCUAUCUUUUAUAUUUGUAAAUCUUGUUCCAAGAGAGAGAGUAGAAGUUUAUUAAAGAAAAAUGUACAUUCUCAUUCGUCACAUUCCUUGUUCGUUUAUAUAUGAAAUGUUUUUUGUUUUUCAAUAAGCGAAUCUUCAAUCGGAAGGGAAAUUAUUUUAGUGAAUAGUGUAAUGGAACUAAAUUUUGGUUAAUUUAUAAUAAAUUUAAAUAGCUUGAAAGUGAAGCUCAUCUUCUAUUUAGUUUUCUCAAAUAUAUAAUUUUAAAAUAAAUUACUUUUAAAAUAAUUUUGAGUAAAUUUGACAUUAACUUUGUUGGAUGAAUUCCAAACCUAUAAUUUGAAACCAAAUGUUUGUAUAUUUUUUUUGUAAAAGACUAAUUUGAAAAAAAAAAUUCUAAAAAAAAUGACAAAGAGUUUUUAAAAAUUCAAGAACUAAUGAAAAAUUACUUUUUUGUCGACAAGGGUGCCUCCUUUUAAGUUGCCACCCACCUUGAUGUGGCUCCAUGUUCCACUCCAAACCAUUCAUAUAGGUAUCUUAAAUAGUGUAGCCUGAGCUUCACCGGUUAUGUUUUUAAUAUAUUUUUAAAUAAAAUAUAUUUUUAAAAAAUAUUAAAAAAAAAACUAACAUUAUUAUACUGUCAAACAGAUAAUCUCAUUGCAUCUAACGCUUUAAAUUCCAACAAUGAGUACCCGAUUAAACAAUAUCUACAUUCAAUUAAAACUUAUGGUAUCAUUCCUUGACAGCGAAAUAAAGAAAAGGAGACAGAGAACCGUACUUUCAGAAGACCAUGACACAAAUCGACGGUUGAAAUCCAAUCACUCAAGGGAUGGUGACACGUUGUCAUGAGUGGGAGACAGCUGGUCUCUAGUACGAAGAGAAACAACAGCGUUUUUAUUGUUUAAAUUUAGAGUGUUUGUUUUUCGGAGUGUCUUUGUUCUCGUGAUAGCUCCUGUGAUGAUGGGUAUCUUAGUAAUUGUAAAAACAAUUGAUUUUUUUUUUGAUGAAGUUGUCCGUGUGGAUGAGAAAAUACUGAGUUUGUAGCUUAGUAAAAACAUGUUGAUGUUACUUUUUAUUAGCCCAUGGUUGGCCCGUAAAUUGUAAUGGGUCCCACAAUCACAAACCUAUGAUUCACAUGUAACUAAAUAUCUUGUUUUUGUUAUCUGCAUUAAAAAUGCAAGAGCUGCUAAAAAAACAAACAUAUUUGAUCGUUGAACAUGUUUUUAAAUUGUUUUCUUAAUUAUUUUUUAUUUAAAAAAACAUUAAUAGAUGAAGUUUAAUAAUUAUUUUAUAAAGAAGUUUUGGAAUAAAAUGAUCUAUCUGCAUGAAAAACAAGGUCAUUUUUACAGGUGGAAGAUAAAACCAAUAAGACCUAAUCCUAUUGAACUGCAUCUUGUUAUUCAAAGCAAACAAUCAGUAUCUUUAAUACUGAUUAAGGAUAUUUUUAUUUUUGCAAUUCAACUGUAAUUUCUAAUAUAAUGAUUUUUUUAUUAUAACUUGCUCCACAAUUAAUCUUUUAGAGUUAAACAAAUACUACGCAACAUUCUAGAAUGUGUAAUGAAGUUUUUAUAAUAUUCAUAGCAAUGGUCAUCAGCUAAUUUAUAAUUUAUUUAUCUACUUUAUCAAUUAAUAAAAGUGAUAAAAGAAAAGGAGAGAAGAAAUAAAGUGAAGUCUUCUUCUGCAUUAUUAGCACAUCACGUGAAAAGAAAGAUUGGCAUUUAAUAAAAGUUAUUCCAAUCAAAUAAAGCAAGGACAAACCAAGUUACUCCAUUUUCCUCUCACUUUUUCAACCGAUGGGGUGUCUUGGCAAAUAAAGCAAGGACAGACCGAGUUGACGCGCUCCCUAACUCCAUUUUCCUGGCCCGCGCAAUUCACGCAUACACAAACACAUCCGGAACAAUAUUCAUAAAAUUAAUUAACAUCCCGUAAAAAUAUACUUUAAUACAGUAUAAGGCUUCCCGUCUACCUCUGUCUUUUCAUAAUUUCGAUCCUCUAAUCAUGUAUUUUCAGUCUAAAAUAUAGUAUAAAACUUUUCUAUACCCAAGAUCCUCUAAUACUAAUAAGACUGAAAAUUUGAGAUUUGGAUAACGAGAAAAGGAGAGACUGGGGAGUGGGAACUAUGUAGUGGAAUGUCAGGGGACUCGGAUAAGGAGACAGUAAAUUUUUUAACUUUUGCAAGUUAAAACUCAAAAUCAAUUAACGAGAACAAAAACGUACAAAAUAACAUCAAUUUAAUCUCAUGUCACCUCACCUUCCACCUUUUUUUAUGUUAGUAACAAGUUCUAGAAAUAAUAUCCUAAUAUCCCACCAAGCAAGACAUGCAUUUCAAGUUCUCUUUGAGUCUUUGUCGUCUCUCUUUGUAGUUAACAAAUAGUUAGUCUAAAACACAAUAUUUCUCUCUCUAUAUAAGUAUUCCUAUCUUUUAUUUUGCUCAUUUGAUUCCUCGCCAUCUACCUCUGUCUUUCCAUGGUUUUGAUUUUCCGAUCAUGCCUUCUCGCCCUAAAAUACAGUAUAAGAAUUUCUCAUACCCAAGAUCCUCUAAUGCUGGUGUUAGUCUACUAAGAUUGAAAAUUUGAGAUUUGGGCAACCGGGAAAGGGGAGACUGGGGAGUGGGGACUAUGUAGUGGAGUGUCAGGGGACUCGGACAGGGAGACAGUAAAUUUUUAACUUUUGCGGGUUAAAACUCGAAAUCGGUCAAACUCGGUCAAACUCGUAAAAUCAGUUCGAUUUUACCGAUUUUAACCGAUUUUGAUCGAUUUCGAGUUUUAACCCGAUUUGACACGUUAUAUACAUGUUGACUCGUAAAAUCAUAAGAUUUUAAGAGUCAACUCGUGAUUUUAAUAACCUUAGAAACAACAACGUUUCCAUUGUUUAAUUUGUUUUUCUGAGUAUCUUUGUUUUUGUGAUAGCUCUUGUGGUGAUAAAGAUUAAAAAAGAUAGUUUAGAUAAAUUAUUUUUACUCGUGAUUUGUUUGAUUUAAAUAAGUAUUUAAUUAAAAUUAUAAUUAAAAAUGUUUAGGUAAAAUUAUGAUUAAAAUGGAUGUUUUAACUUAAAUUACCACAAAAAUACUGCUGAAGGUGGAGAGGAUGUGAGAUGCGAUUGGGUAUCUUAUUUAAUUGUCAAAACAUCAACUGUUGUGGUCAAUAAAGCAAGGACAACCCGAGUAAAAUGUGGGACCUAACUCAAUUUUCCUGGCACACGCAACUCACGCAUACACCCAAACACGCUAUAACACUAAUGUGAGAUGUUUUUUGAACUUCGGAGUUUACAGGCAAAUAAAGUGAUGGAAGAAGGUCUUCUUCUGCAUCAUCACAUCACGUGAAAAGCUUGGCAUUUAAUGAAGUUUUUCCAAUCAAACCCAUUCCUUUCAAAGAUGGAAUUUCUAGUAAAAUGGAGUCCAGAGCAUAACAAGGGCCGAGAGAGAAAAGGCUUUUGCGAGUUCUGUGUUCUGUAUAUUUCUCAAGGGGAAAAAAGGAAGACGAAGAAAGGAAUAUCAUAUUUCUUGUAGGAGUAUGGUUAGCACGAACUAUAAGAGAUGUACAUGAGAGAAAAGAAAAGGGAAGGCCUAUCGACUCUCUUUUUUUCUAUAUUCACAGGUAGUACGGAUCGCUUACCAUGACUAAUCCAACAUCAAGCCUUAUCGUUCAUGAACUGUGCCUAGACUUCUUUAAUCAUUUACAUAUAUAAAUUUGGUUAAUCAAGUUGGAGAAGAUCGUGUCAAGAACCAUGCUGUGUAUGUUUGAUAAUGCAGUGAAUAUAAUUUUACAAGAAUAUUUUUCAAUUAAUAAAAUAUUUCUUAAAGAAAUUUUCAAUAAUCUUGUUAAGAAAUUUGGGUGGCCAGACAUUUUAAAGAAUGAUGCUAGUUUCUGGCCACAAGAGGUCAUGCUAGUCACUUUUUGAUCAUGUCUGUGAUCUUUUUGAAUGCUCUGUUCUCCAUCAAAGCUAAUGGAAAUGUGUAUAAAUUAUCAUUUUAUCUUUAUGAAGCAUAUUGUCAGAUCACUGACCUGCUGGUGAACAUUACCAUGCAUGUUCUGCAGCCGAAGAUUUCAAAGAAGAAAACAUAAUGAUUUUGGUGAAUUGUGUUCGAACUCUUUGCAUUUCACCAUCCUCUACCUUUUAUCAUUUUGAGCGUAGUUGCCACCCACCUUUCUGUGGCUCCAUCAUGUUCCCGCUCCAAACCAUUCAUAUAGGUUAUCUUAAAUAGUUUAGCCUGAGCUUUACCGGUUAUGCUUUUUAAUAUAUUUUAAUUUAAGUAAAAUAUAUUUUUUAAAAAUAUUAAAAAAAAACAUACCAUUAAUGUACUCUCAAAAACAUAAUCCAAUUGCAUCUCACGCUUUAAAUUCCAACGAUGAGUACCCAAUUAAACAAUAUCUACAUUGAAUUAAAACUUAUAGUAUAAUUACCUGACAGCGAAAUAAAGAAAAGUAGGAACCCUGCAUUUGGGAAAUUUCUAUAAGGCCUCCAAUCUGAGGCUGUAACGAGCCCUGGAUCCACACAGAAGAAAUUUCGAGGGAAAUGGGUUGAUGUCAGAGGGAGACAAGGAAGCGUACUUUCAGGAGACCAUGACACAAAUCAACGGCUGAAAUCCAAUCACUCAAGGGAUGGUGACACGUUGCCAUAAGUGGGAGGCAGCUGGUCUCCAGCACGAAGAGAAACAGCAGCGUUUUCAUCGUUUAAAAUGAAGUGUUUGUUUUUCUGAGUGUCUUUGUUCUCGUGAUAGCUCGUGGUGGUAGUGGAUAUUUAAAGAUGAUUGAGUAUCUUAAUAAUUGCAAAAACAAUUGAUUUUUUUUUUUUAUGAUUGACACACAAAACCCUAUUUUCAUAGUUAUGUUAAUUGAAGGAUAAUAAAUGGAAGAAUGACAAAUUGCCAGGUGGAAAGUUAUAGCUCAUCACAACAAAUACUUUCCAGCAAAUUGAUUAAUGGCUGUUACAACUAAUUACAACGAAUACUCUUCAUUUCUUCUCUAUAGUUAUGUUAAUGGUAAAAAAAAGUUGGAAAUUAUAAUUUUGAAAAAUAAAUUAAAAGAUAAGUGAUGAUCAAAUUAGAACUUGAUAUUUGAUAUAAAAUAUAAUUUUUUUUAAUUAAAUCCUAACAACAAAUCACAAAUCAGUUUCAAAUUAGUGAAUGUUGCCGAAGAGAAUGGCAAAAAAGAAGAAAAUUAUAUUUUAAGAAAGUCAUGGAGCCGUAUAUUUUUAUUAGAAAAGAAAAAACAUUAGAAUUGAUUGUUAUAUUUCUUGAAACAAAUAAAAAGAAACAAAAAACAAAAUAUAAAUCAUGGAUGAAUUAAAUCCUCUUGAAGACCUGCUUCAAAUAAGAAAGAGGUAAAUACUAUUGGAAUUUAAUUGAUAUACGUUUCUUGCAUGUUGUUUCAAGUUGCAUAAAUACAAGCAAAAUACAUUUAUACAUAUUAUAUUACAAUUGAUAUAUUUUUGGUGCAGAACUGAUAUUAUCUUUUGAAAUUAAAUCCGGUUCAAGGAUGGAGCAUAAAAAAAUUUGAAUUAUUGAGUCAUUUAAUUAAUCAGCAAGGAUUAGGGGAUGAUAAAAAAAUCAAAACACCGAUUAAACUGAGAAAACUGGAAAAAAAAUAAUUCAAAAAACUAAACCUUAAAAAAACCCGAUUAGAAUAUUUAAAAAACUGGCCAAUUCGGUUUGGUUUUGGUUUUAUAAGCCUGAAACUGAAAAACAAAACCGAACCAAAAUUAAUAACCGAGCCAAACCCGAAAAAACCAAGCUAAACAGAAAAAAACGAGCCAAACAGCAAAAAAACGAGCCAAUCGGUUAGGUUUUGGUUUUUACUCUAAAAUAACCAAACCGAACCGAAACCGGUCGGUUUGAACCGAUUUUGAUUUUUUUGUUUGUUUUGAUUUUUAAAUUUGGUUUGGUUAUUAUUUUAAGGAAAAACCAAACUGAAUAAAAAAUAAUCAUCUCUAGUAGGGAUCAUCGAUGAAUCAUUUUAUUAAAAUAAUAUUUUUUUAAAAAAAUAUUUGAUAUUAUUUUAACUAAAUUUGUAUCAAGUUUUAUUAAAUAAAAUAAAUUAUUAAAAAACCAAUCGAGAUAAUAAAAUUCAUAUCAACAUUUUUUCUAAUUCAAUUUUAAAAUUGUCUAUGUCAAGAUCUGGAGGAUGUGCUUUCUACAUCAAAUCAGUAUGCAGGAUGGAGUUUCAAAACUAUAUUAUAUAUAAAAAAAGAUUUUGAAAUAAAAUGAUCCAUUUAUAUAUAUAAAAACAAAAACCUCGAGGUCUCGGGUCCACCGGUGGAAGCAUGAAUGGCGGUCUUCUUCUGCAUUAUUAGCACAUGUGAAAAGAAAGAUUAUAUUUUCCUGUGCAUAUAAUAAUGUUAUACCAAUCAAACCCUCCUUUUCCUGUGCAUAUUUUCCUGUGCACAUAAGUGUGCUUGUAACGUUUUUUUAUUAAGAAAUGUAUUAAAAUAUUAUUUUUUUAUUUUUUAAAAAUUAUUUCCAUAUUAACAUAUGAAAAUACAUAAAAAAAAAUUAAUUUAAAAUAAAAUUUUUUAAUACAUUUCUUAAUAAAAUAAUAUUUUAAAAACUGAGUUCACAUUGCAGAAAGCCUUGGCAGUUGGCACAAGUGGAAGGCAACCUAGAAACAGGUUUAUUUCAACAAUCCAUGUACUGACAUCUGUGUUUGUGGAAACAAAGUUGAAAAGGGCUACAUUUUCCUGUGAUGUGAUAUUGAUUCAGAGAUUUGUAGAAUAAGACGUGGUGCAGAACUGUAGAAGAUAAGGUACAAGACUAUGAAAGUCCUCAGGAAAACUGUAGAAUUGCACAGUUUGAGUGAGAAGUAUUAGACACCGCACUAGCCGCUGCUGUUUUUGGUAUUGUAAUACAUUCCGUAAUCUGAAAAAAAUUAUUUUAUAAAAAAUAUUUUUAGUUGAAAUUUAUUUAAAAAAAAUAUAUAUUUAAUUAAAAUUAUGAUUAAAAUUAAAGUUGAAUGAAAAAUAGCUUAAUAUAUUUAGUUAAAUUUUUUUUUAAAUUAAAGUUAUAUAUAUAGUUUUAAAUUUAAAUAUUAUAGAUUUAAGUAUUGUUAUUACAUCAUGAAAUAAAUAAUAUUGAUAUCAAAUAUUUUUUAUUAUUUUAUUAAACUAUGUGCAAUUUCAUCACGUUCGAAAUCUAUCCGGCAAGGACUACAUUUUCCAUUGUUUAUUAAGCGCGCAACAACAUCAGGUAAAAAUAUUAUUAAGAACAAAAUUUGAAUUGCAAUCAAAUUCUGCAAAUAUUAUGUCAUCAAACGAUCUCCUUCUAAUUUUUUAAAUAAAACACAAAUAAAAAUAAAAAUAAAAACUGAAUUUUUUAAUCUGGGUCGGACCCGGCAAUAACAAAAUUGGAAUUGCGAUCAAAUUCUGCAAAUACUACGUCAUCAAGCAAUCUCCUUCUAAUUUUUUUAAUAAAACACAAUUAAAAAAUAAAAAUUAAAUAUUUUUUUAACCGAAUCCAACCCGGUUCAAUAUAUUUAGCUUUGGACCGAACCUGGUCGAUCCGAAACAAUAACAGUAAUAGUGGAGAGUGAACUCCAGUGGAGUUCACUCUCCACUGCGUAGAGAAGCAGCUUUUGAUCAACCUGCGGUGCAACCUUAAUAAAAUGAUGGGUCCUAUCAAAAGAAGUUGUGUUUUUUACUUAACCAAACAAGAAAAAUUGUGGUUGCAGGUGAACUUUACCUGCGACCACAAUACCAAACAACUAUAAAAAAAAAUUAUUUGAUAUUAUAGUUGAAAAUGUGUUUUGUUCCAACCACAAAAAAAAAAUAAUGGUUCGGUAACCAUUUGAAACGUAAAUUUUGAAGAUGGGUCUCACUAAAAAUUAAGUUUACACAACCGGUUUUGUGAAGCAGAAAAUUACUGCUUUUCAAUUUACUUUUGCCCGCUGCUGCCAAGGGAAAGGAAAAAGGGCCCACCCAAUUUCUUAUUUGCUUCUUUUCUUCUCAGCUCAAGUAAGAGUAUUUCUUUUACUAUCAUCAUUUGUGCACUGCCAAGUGGAUUUAUCCGGCACUGUUCACGUAAACAGUACCCCUACUAUGAACAGUGUUUAUUGAACUGCGUCCAACUCAAAAAAAUUUAAUUUUUUUAAAAUUAUAUUUAUUUAAAAAAUUAAUGUUUAAUAUUAUUUAAUAACACUAUAUAAAUUAGAAAGAGAUUCUAUAAUAAUAUAGCAUUUGUGAAAUUUGAUCGCAAUUCUAAUAUUAUAAUCUUAAUUUGAAAAGUAUCUUUAAUCAAACACAUUAAACUACUUUUUAUUCGAUCUUAAUUUCAACCACAGUUUUAACCAAACAUAUAUAAAUAUGAAACCAAUCUAAACAGUUAAAUAAAUACUAAAAGACAUAAAUUGAAGUUUUUAUAAUAUUCAUAGCAAUGUUCAUCAGCUCAUUUAUAAUUCAUAAUUUAUUUAUCAAUGAAUGAAAAGUAAUAAAAGAAAAAGGAGAGAAGAAAUAAAGUGAAGUCUUCUUCUGCAUUAUUAGCACAUCACGUGAAAAGAAAGAUUGGCAUUUAAUAAAAGUUAUUCCAAUCAAAUAAAGCAAGGACAAACCAAGUUACUCCAUUUUCCUCUCACUUUUUCAACCGAUGGGGUGUCUUGGCAAAUAAAGCAAGGACAGACCGAGUUGACGCGCUCCCUAACUCCAUUUUCCUGGCCCGCGCAAUUCACGCAUACACAAACACAUCCGAACAAUAUUCAUAAAAUUAAUUAACAUCCCGUAAAAAUAUACUUUAAUUUAGAAAAGAUUUUAAAAUGUUAUUUUUUUAAUUUAAUAAUAACAAAGUUUUAUAUUAAAUUGUUUCAACUAAGUUAACAGGUUAGAUUUAUAAUUCGGGUUAUGAAAUUAUAAUACCUAGUUCCCAAAUAAACAAAUAUGGUGAAGUUUUUCCAAUCAAACCCCCUUUUUUUUUAGAUGUAAUUUCUAGAAAAAUAAAUCAAAGAUAAACAGACUAAAAUUUCAAAAUAAAAGAGAAAGAUGGAAUAUCCCACCAAUAUUUAACCCACUUAAAUUGAGCAUAUAAAAGAGUGUUAAAUGAAAAGUUAAAAAUUAAAAAAUAUUAUUUUGACUCUUUCAACUUUAUUUUAUACACCUCAAAAAAAUAUUAAAUAAAAUGUCAAAAUAUCUUUUCUUUCUUAUAAAUACUAUUUCUACAUGUCUAUUAAAAAAACCAAUACUAAAAAAGUGGAGCCAUCAAAAAAAUAAAUCAAUUAAAUAUAAUCAUUAAAAAAAAUAACAUCAAACUCAUUAAAAAAAAUAAAACACUUAUUUCUCUCACUCCAAUACAAUUAGCUUUUCAAAUAGUUUUUUCCAUUAAAAUAUAUAUAAUAAAAAAAAUUAUAUUUAUAUUAUUCAAAAUACUAUUUUAUCAAUUUAGCUAUUCAAAACAUUGUUAUUAAACCCAGACCGGCCCGACAAAUCGACCGGGUGGCUAGACCGGUUCGGGUUUGUCAAAAGACCGGUCAGUGCAACAACCCGGCAAAACUCAGUUGACCCGAUGAGUUGACCCAUGACCUGGGCGAACCCGGACGAGACCAGUUUUUGUUUUUUAAAUGUGGUUUUUCUCCUAUACCCUUCUUUUUUCAUUUUUUUUUUAGUUGGUUAUUAACACUUUUUAAAGUUUACUAUAUAAAUAUUAUAAAAAUAUUUUAUUUUUUCAAUGUAGGAUUUGAAACCCUUUAGUAUAUAUACUAUAUUUUUUCAAGAAAAAAAUUAUUUUUUCAAUGUGAGAUUUGAAACCUUUUGUAGAUAUAUUUUAUGUUCACAAGAAAAAAAUUAUUUUUUUUCAAAGUGUGAUUUGAAACCUUUCAGUUUAUAUACUGUAUGUUUCAAAGAAAAAAAUUAUUUUUUCAAGAUGAGAUUUGAAAUCCUUUAGUAUAUAUACUAUGUGUUUUUAGAUUAUUUAGAUGUGCUGAUAUCAAAAAUAAUUCUUAAAAAAUAAAAAAAUAUUAUUCAACCAACUUGGGUUAACCCAUUAAGCAUUAUUCUCGUAUCAUGGUUCAGAAUAACCUAAUAGAAAAUAAAUAAAACAAAUCAUGAAGUGUGAACCCCGGUUGAAAAUUAGGCAGAAAAGUAAUCUAAAUGUUUAUACAAUAAAUUUAACAGAAGUACCAAAUAAGCAUUAGAACAAACCAAAUACAGACAAAAGAAAAUAUAUACGUAAAUAUGAAUAAAAUAUUGUUGGGAGUGAGUUACCUGGAAAUAAAAUUAUCAAUAUGUAACUAAAUAAAAUUCAAAUUCACCCAGGUAAAAUUUUUAUAUAGACAAAUGCCGGGAAUUAGGAAUUUUAUCCCGGGAACAUGAAAUUUAAUAUUUGGGAUAUAAAGGGAAUUUGGUAAAAUUUAAGAGUGCGUGUGCGCGCACUCUCGGGUAAAAAGAAAAAUGGAGAGAAAAAAAGGAGAGGGGAAACUACCAUUUACAUGUGAGAGAGAUAGAAUUGUAACAAAAACAUAAAAUCUUAAAGGAAGAUCUUGAGGGAACAUUACCCAAGCCUAGUGAGCAUUAAUUGGAAGGAAUAAAAAUCAAGUGAAGGUGAGUAUAAAAGGAGAGAGGAAGUUCAACCAAGAUUAAAGAAGAGGAGUUGAAAGCUUGAUUUAGGAAGUGUUUAGAGUUUAAUUACUUGCUUGGUAAUGCAUUCUAAGGACUUUUGAUCUGAAUUUUAAUGGCUUAAAGUUCUUAAUUGAUUGAAUUUUUAAAAUUAAAAAGUUAGGGUUCUUGAAUAAAUUAAAAGGAAAUAAAAAUUUAUUGUAAUUUGUCAUGGGGAAUAAUGUGAAAAUUAGAGUAAAGUGAUUAAAUUAUUGUAAUUGAAGUAAAGAUUUUGAUAAUUAAAUAGAGCUAGUGGCCAACCAAAUGACGAGAGAUUUUAUGGGAUUUAAUUGUUAAUAAAUGUUGUGAAUUGAUGAAUAAUGUAGUAAGUAGAACUGUUUUUUGAAUAUCUCUUUAUAACUUUUUAAAUUUCAUGGAACAUUUGUGUUGAUUAUUGAGAUGGUGUUAAAUAUUACUAUCAUGAAAAUCAAAAAAGGAAUUGAUGUCUAGAUGAGGAAUAUCAUUGAAUUGUUGGUUCUUAUUAGAUUUUGGUAUGUAAUGGAGUCAUGAGACGUUAAAAAUUCUUGAGAAAUGUUAAAUUAAUAGCUAAAAUUCAUAGAAUGGUAUAUUUUUUAGAAAUAUAGUUAACUAUGAAAUUUAUUUGAUAAAAGAAAAGCAGGAACUUAUGGUAUAUUUCCUUGACAGUGAGUACCCGAUUAAACAAUAUCUAUAUUCAAUUAAAACUUAUGGUAUAUUUCCUUGACAGCGAAACAAAGAAAAGUAGGAACCCUGUAAUAUCUAGGUAAUUUCUAUACCCUUUUAGGUUAUGUUUGUUUUUGAGAAUUCACUUUCUGGAAAAUCACUUUUCACAUUUUUCUGUAUUUAUUUGCCAUUAGAAAAGUUGGUUAACGGAAAACACUUUCCACUCAAAGAAAAAUUUGGCUUGGUUUUUAGAAAAGUGUUUUCCUAAAAAAUUUGGGCGGAAAACACUUUUCGGAAGUUGUGAAAAAUUAGAAAUGUCAUAUUAUUUGCUGUUUAUAUCAAAGUUGAUCCUCAAACUUUUAAUUGCUAUAUAUAUUUUGUUUUGGAUAUUUAUUUUUCAAUUUCAUCUCUUAAAAUUUAAUUUUUAUAUUAAUUUUGGUCCUCAUUUUUAUAAUUGUUAUUUGCUUUUCCCUUAUCAUUUUUUUAUUGAAUUUUUUUAUAUAUCAAAUUUGGUGCUCAUUCUUUUGAUUGUUACUUAUUUUAUUUGAAAUAAUUUAUGAAAUGUUAAUUAUUAUUAUUUUAAUUUCUUCAUCUUUUAUUUUUUUUAUUUUUUAGAUUUGAUCUCUAUUAUUUUGAUUAUUAUUUAUUUUAUUUGAGAUAAUUUAUGAAAUUAUAUUUUUUUUCAAUUUCAUUCUCAUUCAACUUUUUAAUUUGUAAGAUUUGUUCCUCAUUAUUUUAAUAAACUUGAGAAAAAUAAAAUAUUAAUAAGUUAUUUUUCAGUUCAUUUUCCAUGACAUAACCAAACACCGAAAAAUGUUUUCCAACUUAUUUUCCAUUACACUGUCAAAUAUAAAAAAAUAAUUCACUUUUCUGAAAUUUAUUUUUCUAAAAUUUAUAUUUUUUAAAAAAUUAUUUUUCAAUAAACAAACAGUUCUUAAUAACUACUACAAGCUGAGGCUGUAAUGAGCUCAUGACAGAGGGAGAUCUGAAAGCGUAAUUUCAGAAGACCAUGACACAAAUCAACGGCUGAAAUCCAAUCACUCAUGGGAUGGUGACAUGUCGCAUGAGUGGAGACAGCUGGACUUCAAUACGAAAAGAAACAUAGCGUUUUCAUUGUUUAAUUUGUUUUUUUGGAGUAUCUUUGUUCUCAUGAUAGUUCUUGUGGUGAUGGAGACUUAAAAAAGAUAGUUUAUAAAAAUUAUUUUCACUCGUGAUUUGUUUGUUUAAAUAAAUGUUUAACUAAAAUUAUGAUUAAAAAUGUUUAACUAAAAUUAUGAUUAAAAUGGAUGUUUUAACUUAAAUUACCACAAAAGAUACUGGUGAAGGUGGAGAGGAUGUGAGAGACGAUUGGGUAUCUUAAACAUCAACUGUUGUUGGUGGACUAAAAGCCAUCCGCUUGAUUAAUGGUAAACACUUCAGGCUCCUUUCCCGCCCUUUUCCUGGCUGGAUCCUUGAUAUCUUCAAGGGGUGCCAGCGCCUUGUUCGAGGAUUGAGCAUAAAAGACUAAAAAGAGUUAAAUAAAUACUAAAAGACAUAAAGUGAAGUUUUUUAUAAUAUUCAUAGCAAUGGUCAUCACCUCAUUUAUAAUUUAUCAAUUAAUGAAAAGUGAUAAAAGAAGAAGAGAGAAGAAAUAAAGUGAAGUCUUCUUCCGCAUUAUUAGCACAUCACGUGAAAAGAAAGAUUGGCAUAUGAUAAAAGUUAAUCCAAUCAAACCCACUUUUUCGACGAUGGGAUCUCUUGGCAAAUAAAGCAAAGGACAAACCGAGUAAAAUGUGGGACAUAACUCCAUUUUCCUGGCACACGCAACUCACGCGUACACUAACACUAAUUUGCGAUAUUUUUUUACUUGGGAGUUUACAGGCAAAUAAGGGCUUCUUCUGCAUCAUCACAUCAUUUAAUGAAGUUUUCCAGUCAAACCCACUUUUUUCAAAGAUGGAAUUUCUAGUAAAAUGGAGUCCAGAGCAUAACAAGUGCGGAGAGAGAGAAGGCUUUUGCGAGUUCUGUUUUCUGUAUAUUUCUCAAGGGGAUAAAAUAAUGUCUUGUUACAGAUUUGUUUUUGGUAGAAUUGUUAGAGAUCUUAGCCGAUGCAUCUGAAUUAUAAUUUUUAGCAAUUAUACUAUUUUAUAGCCCUAAUAUCUUAAAAAAAACUUAUUUUCUAGCUUUUUUUUAUGGUAUGAUCAAACAUUGCAUGCUUACUCUCUGGUCUAUAUGACCAUUAACAACAAUCACUCGAAACCCACAGUCAUUGCCAUACAUAUUUAACUUGAUGUUUGAGAAUGUGAUAAUGAUUGUUUUUUAAAGUGUUUUUUAUUUUAAAAUAUAUUAAAAUAAUAUUUUUUAUUUUUUAAAAAAUUAUUUUUGACAUCAACACAUUAAAAUAAUAUGAAAACAUCAAAAAUAUAUUAAUUUAAAAUGAAAAAAAUAAAAAAAAUUUAAAUUUUAGUCAAAAAUAUAUUAGUCAAUAUCUGAAUGCAUGAUUAAUUAUGCACUUUGUAACCAUAAAUCUUCCUUUAAUCAUUCCAAAUAAGAAAAAAAAUAGAAAAGAUUUUCUCUAAUCUGUAUGGUGAGUCCCAAUUAUCACUGGCUUCCAAUUUCCAUCCCGUGCUUUCUAGCUGGAUUGGGUGUUUUUUCUCUUCUUUUCUCUUUGUUGGAAUACAAUAAUGCAUCACAACGGUUAAUUCCUUAUCGGUUCGUGUUGCAGUAAUUAUGAACGAUGAGUCCAUUUGACCUUAAAAGUAAAAGUAUCUGCUGUUCAUAACGACUCACUUAAGUUUGCAAUUGAGCUAAUUGUUCUAUAAUUACUGUAGCUAUGAAAGGUGAAGCACAAUUUCAUCCAAAACAAAACUCGUUAUUUUCAAAAAGAAAAAUUACCCCAAUUUUUUUCUUAUAUUUUAGUAUUUCUUAUAUUUAAAGGCAGUAUAGUUGUAAUAUUUUCAAGUAAUCGAAACAACCACCUAUAUAUCAAUUAUAUGAUAUACUGACUUGACUUUCCAAGUGUUUUGACUUUUGAGUACUAGAAGAAGAAAAUAUACUUCUCUCUAAAAAAUAAGGAAAUUUCGGAUGUAUUUUCUUUUAACUGGCGAAAAAACAGGAAGACGAAGAAAGGAAUAUCAUAUUUCUUGUAGGAGUAUGGUUAGCACGAGCUAUAAGAGUUGUACACGAGAGAAAAGAAAAUGGAAGGCCUAUCGACUCUCUUUUUUUCUAUGUUCACAGGUAGUACGGAUCGCUUACCAUGAACAUCAAACCUAUCGUUCAUAAACUGUGCCUAGACUUCUUUAAUCAUUUACAUAUAUAAAUUUGGUUAAUCAAGCUGGAGAAGAUCGUGUCAAGAACCAUGCUGUAUUGUUUGAUAAUGCAGGGAAUAUAAUUUUACAAGAAUAUUUUUCAAUUAAUAAAAUAUUUCUUAAAGAAAUUUUCAAUAAUCUUGUUAAAUUCCAACAAUGAGUACCCGAUUAAAUAAUAUCUACAUUCAAUUAAAACUUAUGGUAUAAUUAUCUGACAGCGAAAUAAAGAAAAGUAGGAACCUUGCAUUUGAGAAAUUUCUAUUAGGCCUCCAAUCCAAGACUGUAACGAGCCCUGGAUCUACACAGAAGAAAUUUCGUGGGAAAUGGGUUGAUGUCAGAGGGAGACAAGGAAGCGUCUUUCAGAAGAACAUGACACAAAUCAACGGCUGAAAUCCAAUCACUUAAGGGAUGGUGACACGUUACCAUGAGUAAAGAUGGAGACACUCACGUUUGGGAACGCUGCUACGGCUGCGUUCUCAAAAAAUUUGAUUUUUUUUUUUUUACUAAAAUUUAAUAUGAUUUGUAUCGUUUUGAUGUGAUGAUAUCAAAAAUGAUUUUUAAAAAAUGAAAAAAUAUCAUUAACAUUCAUUUUGACACGAAAAGUAAUUUAAAAAACAUCCACAACUACACUGACAAACAUGACAAGGGAGACAGCUGGUCUCUGGUACGAAGAGAAACAGCAGCGUUUUCAUCGUUUAAAAUGGAGUGUUUGUUUUUCUGAGUGUCUUUGUCCUCGUGAUAGCUCGUGGUGGUGGAUGUUUAAAGAUGAUUGCGUAUCUUAAUAAUUGCAAAAACAAUUGAUUUUUUUUUUUUUUUUGAUGAUUGACACACAAAACCCUAUUUUCAUAGUUAUGUUAAUUGAAGGAUAAUAAAUGGUAGAAUGACAAAUUGCCAGGUGGAAAGUUAUACCUCAUCACAACAAAUACUUUCCAGCAAAUUGAUUAAUGGCUGUUACAACUAAUUACAACGAAUACUCUUCAUUUCUUCUCUAUAGUUAUGUUAAUGGUAAAAAAAAAGUUGGAAAUUAUAAUUUUGAAAAAUAAAUUAAAAGAUAAGUGAUGAUCAAAUUAGAACUUGAUAUUUGAUAUAAAAUAUAAUUUUUUUUAAUUAAAUCCUAACAACAAAUCACAAAUCAGUUUCAAAUUAGUGAAUGUUGCCGAAGAGAAUGGCAAAAAAGAAGAAAAUUAUAUUUUAAGAAAGUCAUGGAGCCGUAUAUUUUUAUUAUAAAAGAAUCAAUAGAGAAAAGAAAAAACAUUAGAAUUGAUUGUUAUAUUUCUUGAAACAAAUAAAAAGAAACAAAAAACAAAAUAUAAAUCAUGGAUGAAUUAAAUCCUCUUGAAGACCUGCUUCAAAGUAAGAAAGAGGUAAAUACUAUUGGAAUUUAAUUGAUAUACGUUUCUUGCAUGUUGUUUCAAGUUGCAUAAAUACAAGCAAAAUACAUUUAUACAUAUUAUAUUACAAUUGAUAUAUUUUUUUGGUGCAGAACUGAUAUUAUCUUUUGAAAUUAAAUCCGGUUCAAGGAUGGAGCAUAAAAAAAUUUGAAUUAUUGAGUCAUUUAAUUAAUCAGCAAGGAUUAGGGGAUGAUAAAAAAACCAAAACACCGAUUAAACUGAGAAAACUGGAAAAAAAAUAAUUCAAAAAACUAAACCUUAAAAAACCCCGAUUAGAAUAUUUAAAAAACUGGUCAGUUUGGUUUAGUUUUGGUUUUAUAAGCCUGAAACUGAAAAACAAAACCGAACCAAAAUUAAUAACCGAGCCAAACCCGAAAAACCAAGCUAAACAGAAAAAACGAGCCAAACAGCAAAAAAACCGAGCCAAUCGGUUAGGUUUUGGUUUUUGCUCUAAAAUAACCAAACUGAAUCGAAACCGGUCGGUUUGAACCGAUUUUGAUUUUUUUGUUUGUUUUGAUUUUUAAAUUUGGUUUGGUUAUUUUUUUAAAGAAAAACCAAACUGAAUAAAAAAUAAUCAUCUCUAGUAGGGAUCACCGAUGAAUUAUUUUAUUAAAAUAAUUUUUUUUGAAAAAUAUUUGAUAUUAUUUUAACUAAAUUUGUAUCAAGUUUUAUUAAAUAAAAUAAAUUAUUAAAAAACCAAUCGAGAUAAUAAAAUUUUAUCAUAUCAACAUUUUUUCUAAUUCAAUUUUAAAAUUGUCUAUGUCAAGAUCUGGAGGAUGUGCUUUCUACAUCAAAUCAGUAUGCAGGAUGGAGUUUCAAAACUAUAUUAUAUAUAAAAAAAGAUUUUGAAAUAAAAUGAUCCAUUUAUAUAUAUAAAAACAAAAACCUCGAGGUCUAGGGUCCACCGGUGGAGGCAUGAAUGGCGGUCUUCUUCUGCAUUAUUAGCACAUGUGAAAAGAAAGAUUAUAUUUUCCUGGGCAUAUAAUAAAGUUAUUCCAAUCAAACCCUCUUUUUCAACCGAUGGGGUCUCUUGGCAAAUAAAGCAAGGACAGACUGAGAAAGAUAUCCAGAACAAUAUUCAUAACAAUAUUUAUAAAAUAAUAUAUAUAAUCUUUCUCAACCGAUCGGCAACUCACGCAUACAUAAACAUAUCCAGAACAAUAUUCAUAAAAUUAAUUAAUAUCCCAUAAAAAUAUAAUUUAAUUAAAAAAAAAAAUUAAAAUGAUACUUUUAAUAUAAAAAUAACAAAGUAUUAGAUUAAAAUGACUUGUUAUCAAGUAAUCAAAUAUUAACAUGAUCAUAAGAUUGAGAUAACUUCAUAUAAAAUAAAAUAAAAAUAAAUUAUAAAGUUCAAUUUAUAAUUAAUUUAAUAUUAAAGGAUGAGAUUAAAAAAAUUAAUUUAAAAAAAACAUAAAAAUAAUCCAAGUCAAUCUGUUAAACCCAUAAUUCGUCAUGAAACAAAUAUAACCUCAUAGAAAAAAAUAAAAAAAUAACUUGAUUUAAUUCGCUAAAUCCGCAAUUCUGAUAACGAGAACGAGAAAAUCUCAUAAAGAGCAAGUCAAAAUAUAUUAUAAAGUUUAAUUCUCAGUCGAUCAAAUAUUGAAUGAUAAAGAUGGAAAAAAAUUCAAUUAUAAAAACACAAAAAAACAACCUGAAUUAACUCAGGUUAACCCAUUAAGUAUUAUUCUCAGGUCAUGUGGUCAGAAUAACCUAAUAGAAAAUAAACAAAAUAAAAUUUAUAACUUAAUUUUCAAUUAACCUAAUAUUAAAAGAUGAAAUUAUAAAAAAAAAAUUAAAAAAAUCAAGCCAACUAAAUUAACCUAUCAAAACUAUAAUAAUAAUUAUUAUAAAAGUGAGAUAACAUACAAAAGACAAAUUUAAUAAUAAAAAAAAACACAUUGAUUAAAAGAAAAGGCAAAGCACUUAUUCAAAUAACUGUAUAAAAUAUAGUAAUAUAAUGUAUAAUGUAUAAUUUAUUUUUUUAAUUUAUAACUGAAAGUGAGAAAAGGAAGAAGAGAAAAGAAAUAAAGUGAAGUCUUGUGCUGCAAGAUCACCUCACCUGAAAAGUUUGGCAUUUAGUGAAGUUUUUCCAAAUCAAACCCACUUUUUCAAAGAUGGAAUUUCCAAGUAAAUAAAUCGAAGACAAACCUAGUAAAAUGGAGUCUAGAGCAUAACAAGUAGUUACAAAGCCGAGAAAGAAAAAGCUUUUGCGAGUUCUUUACACAAACUCUUACUUCUUAUGUAACCUGAACAAAAAUCCCUCUUCUUCUUCUUCUUCUUCUUCUUCUUUGUUUACUCUUCCUUCGUUACUUUGCAAAGAGGAUAAACCAUGGCUGAGGCUUUAGUAGGAGGAGCUUUUCUUUCUGCUUUCCUUAAUGUUUUGCUUGACAGGAUGGCUUCUCGCCAGGUGGUGAACUUCUUCAGUGGCCAAAAAAUCAACAAUAGCCUGCUGGAGAGGUUGGAGACAGCAAUGAGAUCUGCCAGUCGGGUGCUUGACGAUGCCGAGGAGAAGCAGAUAACAAGUACAGAUGUGUGGGAUUGGCUGGCCGAGAUUAAAGACGCUGUCUAUAAAGCCGACGACUUCUUGGAUGCGAUUGCUUAUAAAGCUCUACGACAGGAGUUGAAAGCUGAAGAUCAAACCUUCACAUGUCAUAUGCAGAGAUUUCUUUCUUUCUUUAACCUAUGUAAAAAUGGGCUGGGAGAGAUCGAAGAAGAAUUAAAAGUCCUCUUGCAGGAUCUAGAUCGCUUAGUUGAUCGAACGGUUGCCCUUGGUUUGAUCACCCGCACUGGAAAAGAACCAUCAUCGCCUAAAACACCCGGAGAAACUUCUCUGGUGGAUGAACGUGGUGUUUAUGGUAGAGAUAAUGACGAGAAAGCAAUACUGAAGUUACUUCUAUCAGACGAUGCAAAUGGACAAAGCCUAGGUGUUGUUCGCAUAGUGGGCAUGGGCGGGGUUGGUAAAACCACGCUUGCUCAGAUUGUAUACAAUAACAGCGAAGUACAGAGGUGCUUCAAUCUCAAAGCUUGGGUUUGUGUUUCAGAAGAUUUCAGUGUUUCAAAGCUAACCAAGGUUAUCCUUGAGGAGGUCGGUUCAAAGCCUGAUUUUGAGAGUCUGAAUCUGCUCCAGAUUCAGUUGAAGGAGAGGUUGCUGGAAAAGAAAUUUUUGCUUGUUUUAGAUGAUGUAUGGGAAGAAAAUUAUGCUAAAUGGGUCAGUUUGCUUGAACCCUUGAAGUCUGGAGCACAAGGGAGUAAGAUUCUUGUUACAACACGCCAUGAAAGGGUAGCAUCAGUCAUGCCAACUGUUCCAACUCAUCAUCUAAAAGAAUUGACGGAAGACUUCUGUUGGUCCUUGUUUGCCAAACAUGCAUUCGGUGAUGAAAAUUCCAUUGCGGAUGAAGAGUUGCAAAAAAUUGGUAGAGCAAUAGCGAAAAAGUGUAAAGGCCUGCCUCUAGCUGCAAAAUCACUCGGAGGUCUGCUAUGCAACGAAAGAGAUGUCGAGGAGUGGCGGGAUAUUUUGGAAAGCAAUCUAUGGGAUUUACCCAAAGACAAUAUCCUCCCAGCUUUGAGAUUAAGUUAUCAUCAUCUCCCGUCGCAUCUGAAGCAAUGUUUUGCUUAUUGUGCCAUAUUUCCAAAAGACUAUUCAUUUGGAAAGGAUGAAUUAGUGCUCCUUUGGAUGGCAGAGGGCUUCUUGGUCCACUCUGCAGUAGAGAUGGAAAAAGCAGGAGCUAAGUGCUUUGAUGAUCUCUUGUCAAGGUCGUUUUUCCAGCAAUCAAGUGCCUCUCGCCCCUCAUUUCUGAUGCACGAUCUCAUGCAUGACUUGGCUACCCAUGUGUCCGGUCAAUUUUGCUUCAGCUCCAGGUUGGGGGAAAAUAAUUCUUCCAAGGCCACCAGAAGGACUCGACAUUUAUCACUCGUAGUAGAUACGGAAGACGGAGAUACUGAAGGUGUUUUUUCAAGCACAAAAUUAGAAAACAUCCGUAAAGCCCAACAUCUACGCACAUUCCGAACUUUUCCACACAAUCGGAUGUGUCCUCCUGAAUUUUAUAAGGAGAUCUUUCGGUCAACACAUUGUCGCCUACGAGUGCUAUUCAUGACUAAUUGUCAAGAUGCAUCUAUGUUGUCAUGUUCAACUAGCAAGUUGAAGCAUUUGCGGUAUUUGGAUCUUUCCGGGUCAGAUUUAGUAACGUUGCCUGAAGAAGUGAGUGCUCUUCUCAAUUUGCAAACGUUGAUCUUGGAAAGUUGCCACCUACUUGCUAGUCUACCUGAUCUUGGAAAUUUGAAGCAUUUACGACAUCUGAAUCUUCAACGUACAAGAAUCGAAAGGUUGCCUGCAUCUCUGGAAAGGUUAAUCAACUUGCGGUAUCUUAACAUCUCAGACCACACCUUUGAAGGAGAUGCCACCACAUAUAGGUCAACUGACAAAGCUCCAAACGUUAACUGCCUUUAUCGUUGGAAGACAGAGUGAGUCUAGCUUUAAAGAAUUGGGAAAGCUAAGACAUCUACGGGGAGAACUUCAUAUUCGGAACCUUCAAAAUGUGGUGGAUGCUCGGGAUGCUGUUGGAGCAAAUUUGAAAGGUAGAAAACACCUUGUAAGCUUGAGGUUUACAUGGGAUGGUGACACUCAUGACCCGCAACACGUAACAAGCACACUUGAGAAAUUAGAGCCAAAUAGAAAUGUGAAGGAUCUUCAGAUUGAUGGUUAUGGAGGUUUAAGGUUUCCGGAGUGGGUAGGAGAGUCCUCUUUCUCAAAUAUAGUGUCCUUGAAGCUCAGUAGAUGUAAAAACUGCACCUCCUUACCACCGCUCGGGCAAUUAACUUCUUUAAAGGAUCUCACAAUUGAAGCAUUCGAUAAAGUUGAGACUGUGGACUCUGAGUUCUAUGGGAAUUGUACUGCUAUGAAGAAGCCAUUUGAAUCCCUCAAAACAUUACGGUUUGAAGGGAUGCCAGAAUGGCGCGAGUGGAUUUCAGACGAAGGCAGCCGGGAAGCCUUCCCUCUUCUUGAGUUUCUUUCAAUCAAAGAAUGCCCCAACCUUACAAAGGCCCUACCUGGUCACAACCUUCCACGUGUAACAAGACUUAAAAUUAAAGGAUGUGAGCAGCUCGCGACUCCACUUCCUAGGAUUCCUAGGCUGCACUCUCUCUCUGUUUCUGGAUUCCACUCCCUAGCGUCCCUACCCGAGGAAAUUGAGCAAAUGGGUUGGUCACCCUCUGAUUUAGGAAAAAUUAAUAUCAAGGGCUGGGCUUCUCUCAAAUGCAUCUCACUGGACUUGUUCCCCAAGCUAACUACUCUUUCUAUCUCUGACUGUCCAGAUCUCGAAUCACUAUGUGCACAUGAAAGACCCCUCAAUGAUCUCACCUCUCUCCAUUCUUUGGAAAUCGAGCAGUGCCCUAAAUUAGUUUCAUUUCCCAAAGGAGGGUUACCUGCUCCAGUCUUAACAGAACUUACGUUACGACAUUGCAGAAAUUUGAAGCAGUUGCCUGAGAGGAUGCCUUCCCUCCUUCCAUCCCUUGACUUUUUGGGAAUAUUUGGUUGUUCAGAAGUUGAGUUGUGUCCAGAAGGCGGUUUUCCCUCCACAUUACACUUUCUUUGGAUUCGUAAUUGCAACAAACUCAUUGCAGGCCGCAUGCAAUGGGGCUUGCAAACGCUCACUUCUCUUUCAGUGUUUUUUAUUGGUGAAGACGAAAAUGUUGAAUCCUUCCCUGAAGAGAUGCUGCUGCCCUCAAGUCUUACAUAUCUUAACAUCUCUGACCUACAACACCUGAAAUCUCUUGACUACAAGGGGCUUCAACACCUCACCUCCCUUAAACAAUUGAAUAUACAUGACUGCCCUCUGCUUGAGUCAAUGCCAGAAGAAGGGUUGCCCUCCUCCCUUUCUGCUCUUUUUAUUGUAGAUUGUCCUAUGCUGGGUGAAAGUUGUGAAAGAAAAGGUAAAUAUUGGCCCAAGAUUUCUCACAUUCCUAUCCUAAGUAUUAACCGAGCAAAAAGUAGCUUUUCUUUCAAUCGUCCAACAUAUUUUUUGAGGUAUUGCUCCUAGAAAGCUGUAUGUUUUUAUUUGUUGUAUGUUGAAAUACAGAUAAUUUCUUCCAUAAUUAUUGUCUCUCAUUCAUCUCCAUAAAUAAUAAUCAUCAUUCUAUUUCAAUAAUAAUCAUCAAAUGCGGCAAAUAAACAUCACAUGCUUCAGAUUUUGAACUGCCAGCGCCGUCCUUAAAAAACAAGUGUCCAUCUUAAAAGAUUAAAAAAUAUUUAAGUAAUCUGCAACAGAUUUUUCAUUGUUGACGCGGCAAAAUCAAAAUUCAAAAUUUAAGUAAUCAAAAUUCAAAAAUCUCCGUUCUCUCCUUUUCUCCUUUUCCGCAUCUCCAAAAAUUCAAAAUCCAAAAACUUUUGAUUUAUCUAUUUUAUUAUUACUUAACUUUUCUUGAAGUUUACUUUCAUAAAAGAUCUUUUAUAGAUAUAAAAAGAAGAGAUAAUAUAAAAUUCAUCCGUAUUGGAAUCACAAUUCAGAAUCAAGUGAAAGUGGCCAAUGUCACUGAAGAGAAAGGAUUAAAGCACAGAAAGUCAUCAUCUUGAGAACUCACAGCAAAGAGUUCAUUGUUUUGCAGUAGAUACGUAGCUAUAUUAACAACAAUACUUCCAGCAUGCACAAAUGCGACUUCUUGAUGGUUACGCUGCUAAAGACAUUUACAAAUCCCCAUCAAUACUGGUGUUUAUUCCUCAUGAUGAUCCAGUGAGCUCACAAUAAAAGAAAACCUCGGCAUUACUAGUAAAUCGUCACUGCAAGCAUGGAAGAGAUUCAGGUAGGAAUUACCCUUGUCUUCAUUGAGAGGCUUUAACCUCCCUAGCUCCUUCAUCAGCAGGCCCAUUGUUUGAUGCAUCCUCUGAAGCGUCUAAGCAAGGAUUGCUUUUACACUGACUUACAGGCUGAGCAUUGGUCAAGAGACUAGAAAGUUGAGACCCCUUUUGCGAAAAGUUUGGUUUACCUUUCGGAGUCUCAGACAGGCUUCCCGUUGACAGCUUUACUAGGCCAUUGUCUUGUGCUCACACGGGAGCUUAAUUGAAAAAGGUGAUUCAGGUGUCUCAGGAUGCUUCCCAGGAAUAUCCAUCGGUCUAUGAAACAGCAAAUGAGCCACAGUCCGGUCUACGGGAUUUGUCUCUGUUUCCACCUCAGGCAUCUUAACCACCCUGCAGUAUACUCAUAAAAUCCAUGAGGAAAAUGACAGGCAAGUUUGAGAUUGCCAUACUCUAAACAAAUUGAUAAACAAAUUGAUAAACACUUGAUUAAUAAUUUUGUGCAUACAAAUUGAAUAAUUUGAAAUGGGAAGGACGAGAUGUAAAGGAACAAACCCAUUGGAACAAGGAACAAUCACAUUGUCGCUUACAACAAAAAAUCGAGUUUCAGAUCAAAAGAGCGUAUGGUUUUGGCUGGAAGUGUCCCAUUGAGACAUAGAUGAGCCGAUUAGAAGAUGAUUUGAGUUCUUAAAUUUUCUUGCUUAAAAUGUAAUGUAACAUGAAUCUGCAGAUGAUCAUUAUAUUAGAAGGGAAAUUUAAUUUUGCCCUAUUUAUCUAAAGUUGUGCAAGUUCUCUGCAUUGAUGAUUUCAGUGAAUCUGUACAGAUCUUGUUUUCCUUCUAUUUGUCCUUGAAUAAACUUAUUGCACUUGCUUAACAUUCUUUGUCUCUCUCUCUUAGUUAAAUCUAGCAAAAUUUAUCAGGUAUGUUGUGCCACUCAUUUAGACUUGGAUGUGCGUGUUUAGCUCUCCUUUUCGGAUUAAGGUGAUUAUGCACAAAUUCACUGGAAUCAACAUUGCAGAAAACUUGCAUAGAUUUUGUUAAUAUUGGAAAAAUUAAAUUUCCUUUUCUAAUUAAAUGAAAAUCUCUACUAAAUAUUAUGCUAUUUGAAUUGUCACCUCAUGACUACUUGCUGCACUGCACUCAUGAAUGCUGCACCAGGGUAAAGCUACAAAUGUCAGUUUUUAAUAUCUGCCUCUACCUAGCUCGGCCUACAAUACCAAAGUUUCUCUCCUACAAAUGCCAGUUUAAUAUCUGCCUCUACCAUAACAGAACCAGUGGAAGCGAACUACUACAUAUUUGAUCAACAAGGUCAAAUUCAGUCAAGUUUUUAAGGAAAUCCAGUGAAAGAGGAACCUAAAAUUUUCUGUUUAGAUUUUCUUCUACUUCUAAGAACAAGCGCGGCCUUAAUUGAAUUGUUUCAGUCACUAUUCCUCCAUUGUAAAUAGAGGAUACCGCUUUCAAUAUUUAUUUCUAGAAUUAGAAUGGAAAACAGAAAAUGGUGAUGGCAUUAAAAGAUCCUAAUCUAACAUUUCUAUAGAGCAAAAAUGUUUAAAAAAAGAGAGGAUAGAUUAAAUUUGAAAACAGAAGCAUGAGAAAUGCAUUGCCUUAACCAACCUUCUUUGACUGCUGGUUUCCUCUUUUGCAGCAACUUGUUCGUCCCUGCUACUAUUGUUUGUACUGCCAGUAUCACUAGCAUAAUGCCUUUGCAUUGCACUUUGAGCCAGCCGGAACAAGCUAUCCCGAAUACAAAGUCUAAUUCUGACAUCCAACUGUUGUAAAACAUUGGUUUGGAAUCGUAACCAAUUCUUGAAGCAUGUAGAGUACUGUGUCCUCCAUUGAAUAAUCAUUAACCGCCAGAGAGACUGUAUUGGAAUCGUCUUGCUCAAUAGGCGAGUUUGGGUCAAAUGAAGCAAGUGUACUUAGAUCCUCUACUUCAGGGCCAGCUCCUUCAACAUGCUGAAUUUGAUUUUCUUGGGAACACUUUUGAUGAACAAGCUGCUGCUGCUGUUUCUGAAUGGCAAGCAUUGCCUGCAUUUGUUGCCGCCUCCUUAAUUUUUCAAUCUUUUCCUGAGGUGUCAUUCUCUGGGGUUUCACUGGACAGUCAGCUAACUUGUUUAUAGGAUUUGCAUUGCCUGAAACUUCAUAACCAGAAAUUUUAGGUCGAUGAUUAAAUGACUAGAAAUUUUGUUGGAAAGUCAGAAAACUUUAACAGGAUUCGCAUUACCUGAAGAAACUUCAUAACCAGAAGCUAAAGGUUGAUGCUUAAAAUCCCCAGACUGAAUGUGGGACAACCCAGGCAUAGAAUAUGGAUUUGUAAUACUCGUAUGCAGAAGGGGCCACAAAUGGAUUGGAUAUCUGCUGGUACUGCAACUGCUCGGAACCCUGUAGCUGCUUCUGUUGGCUGAGAAUUGAAGGGGGAGAAGAUUGCUUAAUUUGGGGUGCUAAAUGAUCCUUAAGUUGACAGGCUGGGAUUCCAGAUGAAGUCCAUUUUCCAUAAAAAUCUUGGUAUGAUUUCAGUUCACCUUUUUCUUCCAGUUUUUCCCGACCUUUCAAGAUCUUCUUUUGCCUGUGAGUCUGAUCACAGAACUAUAAACAUAUGAAUAGACAAAUUACUUAGAAUAGAUCAACGUUUUAACCAUCUAGACCUGCAGGGGAGAGUGACUAAGGCACAGUUAGUAUUUUAAUUAAGUACAUGGUUUGUAAGGAUAAAUUCAAUGUUAUUUUUUUUUUUUAACUGUAACUUAUGAUCCAAAGGGCUUCUAUUGUUCAGAAUAUAUUGAGGUAUUAGCUAAACUAGGCAAAGCAAACAGAAUUUGCAUGUCCCUGGGAAGAGUGGAUGUCAUGCUAGAAAUAUAAAUAACUGAUGCCUCCUGAAUUUUCACAUGUUAUUCCUUUCUCCUUCCUACUCACAGAAAACCACACAAUGGCUUUACUUUAGGCAAUCGAUAUCAUGGUUAAGUCAUGGGAAGCUGAAAUGACAUCUCUGUCAGGCAUUUCAGCUUCCCAUGACUUAACCAUGAUAUCGAUUCCCAUCUUGAUAAUUAUAGAAGUGAUGACUAAAUCAUGUAAAUCCAUAUUCACCCAACAUCCAAGUUUAUUCUCAUUCCAAAAAAUAAAACUAAAAAUAAUAGCAAGAAAUAUGAAGAGACGAAGAGGAAUUUAAAUAAUAUAAUUUCUCUUUUCUGUCGCCAUUUUCCAUUCCAGAGAAGUACUCGGGAAGUCUUAAUAAGUUCAAGUGUAAGGUAACUUUUACCCUUCCCAGCUCUAAUUAGGUUUCGCUGUCCCUCCAAUCUAAUUUAAGAUCUAAUAUGAGGAAACCACACUGUAUUAGUGAAAGGAUCACAAUAUCAAGAUUUUCCAACUUCAAUUCACUGAUAUAACUUUUCUUGAAUCCUGGACAAAAGAACUUAGAACAUCAAAAGAUCAUAGCAGGAUUCUAAAAAACAAAGAUUGUAUUUGGUGCUUAUUGAGUCUAAAAGUUAUCCUGGAUGAAAAGGGUAAAAAUCAGUAACAUGUCUGGUUCAGUAUCAAGAUUUUGAAAAUAUCAAAAGGAAGAAAAAAAAAAGGUACCUUGUUUGCUAAUUCAUUUGGAAAAGCACCAUUUUCCUCUGUCAGUUGAGAGUUAGCCGCCGUGUUCUUUCCCACAACAGCCAAAUCUGUCUGCAAAAGCACAAUAAAUAAAUAAAAAUAAAUGCUAAGCUUCUCUCAGCUCCUGCACUUGAGCAUGGGGCAUUAAUAAGUGAACUCAUUACUGAAAAUUGAGUUGCUAUACCUGCUCCUUCAGUAUAGGCUUGUUUUUACCUUCAUCAUAUUCUACAUGAUCAAGGCUUGCCUGAGUAUUCUGCAGACCAUGAGAUGCAGGAUCGUUCAUUUUUCCAUAGCCAAGGGUAAACAGCCGGUCCUCUUCUUGUGCAUACUCUUCUCUCGAAGCCACAGAUAUUGGAAAGGGCUUUACCGGGCUUUUAGUUAUAUCUUUAGAAGAAGACUGUUAGAGGUCUAGGCGCGGGGCGCGCCAACGAAGGCACAUUGCCUAGAAUUCGGCAGCGAUGGACUGCGGCAGAAACGAAUUCGGCAGGCAGCGUGCAUGGUCUGUGCAAGUCUUUGAGCUGGCGACUUGGCAUGGACGUGGGGCUUAGACAAUGGACCUUCUAAGUCAGCAGCUGAUGCAGCAGAAAUUGGCAAUUGGGGGCUGCCAAGUAGACAGCCAGGAAAUGGGGGAAGUGGCAGCUUCAUGGGAAGCAAAACGUGGGAGCAUAAAAUGGGGUGUUCUCCAUGCCACUAAGUCCUGGAAACAUGGGAUCAUGGAUGAGAGGUAGUGCUCCACUAUAUCCUGAAAACAUGGGAUCAUGGGUUCGAGAAAGUGCUCCACUAGGUCCCGAAAAUAGGGGUUAAUGGGGGGGAGCUUGCUGCUCAUAUUUGUCUAUAAAUAGGCUGCCAAGCCUCUGUUGUGGAGCUUGCGAUUUGUGCAUAGCACACACCAUAUUGNNNNNNNNNNNNNNNNNNNNNNNNNNNNNNNNNNNNNNNNNNNNNNNNNNNNNNNNNNNNNNNNNNNNNNNNNNNNNNNNNNNNNNNNNNNNNNNNNNNNAAAGAACUGGUCACAAGAGGUUUACAUACCACUUUGAUUACUGACUCAGCAGUUUUUGCCAUGAUUUCCCGUGUGAACAUGGUAUGAGAGAGUUUAGUUUUUUUCUUUUCUUGUCUAUUUUUUUGGUAUUGGUCUGCUUACUAUUUUGAUCCAUCUUAAAUUUUUUAUGGAAAGGUUAUAGUUGGAGCUCAUGCUGUAAUGGCCAAUGGUGGUGUGAUAGUACCUGUUGGGCUGAAUAUGGUUGCACUUGCAGCUCAAAAGCAUGCUGUACCUUUUGUCGUGCUUGCAGGCAGUCACAAGGUAAUUUAGCACAAUAAUAUCCCUUAGAGUUUUGGUAGUGAGCAAGUAAACAAACUGCCAUAUUUGAAUUGCUUGUUCUGUUUUUGCUAUUGAAUGGCAUGCUGCUGUCAUACUGCUUUACUUGUGACGGAAAAUAAUGGCAACUAUAUAGCAAUAAAUGGAAUGUCUCUUCUGUGGCCCAGAAGAUGUUUGUCAUUUCCUUCUCUGCAUCUUUUUUCUGUUAGUGUUGGUGUUUGUUGCAGGGCCAUGUGCCAGCUCAUACUGACCUAAUGAAACCCAAAUAGGCUAUAAUUUGAUUGAACUACAAGCAUAAGAAUUGCAAGUUAUAAAAAAUAAGUCCCGCCUUUGGUGCUCCUAAAAUCUUAACAUUUUGUCUUUUUCUAACUUGUUGCGUUCUUCUGAACUCAGAUCAUUGUUUAUUAUAUUUAUUUCUAGAUUUUUUUUUCUAAUGUUUAAUUUAUAGAAAUCUAGUACACAUAACAGGGAUGAAAAUGCCCAGGGAGGACAGAAAUUUUUUAUGAAUCCAAACACGAAGACAAAUGAAGAAAAACAAAUAUGGAAUUUCUUUGUUUAAUUGUAACUGGAUGGUGUCAAUAGUUAAUCCUUGUGUGUUUUGUCUCUGAUUUUGUGGCCUUGCUAAUUAUACAGUCAGUAAAACGACUUGGAUAAUGUUAAUGACUUUUGUGAUGGUAGACUUUGAAUUUUAAAUACUGUUCUGAUUCUUGCUUUAAUCCUUCGUACACUUGGCUGUUUUUCUUGGAUGGAAGCUGUGUCCCUUGUACCCUCACAAUCCUGAGGUCUUACUAAAUGAAUUGAGAUCUCCAUCCGAGCUUCUGGAUUUUGGAGAAUUCUCAGAUUGCUUAGAUUUUGGGAGCGGUACGGGCUCUCCUCUUCUUCAUGUUGUCAAUCCAGCAUUUGAUUAUGUGCCACCAAAGCUUGUUAGUCUGUUUAUCACUGACACGUAAGUUCUAGUACUUUUGAGGACAUCUUUUAAUGUUAACCACUGAUGCAAAUCAUUGAUUAGAAUAAUACUUAUUCCACUAAACAGUGUUAGGUCUCUGGUGCCAAAUCAGAUGGAUUUGAUAUAAUUAUGUCAAGUUCCAACUUCCAAAUCUUAAAUUAUUUAUAUUUUCAUCUCAUGCAAUUCUAACCGCUGUUAAUUUCUAAUUACUUCACAGUGGAGGGCACAAUCCAUCAUACAUGUACCGACUCAUUGCAGAUUAUUACUCCGCCGAUGAUUUGGUGGUGCGAAGAAGGGUUGCUUUGGGAAAUUGAGCUCAAGUCACUUUUGUUUACAAUAUUAUCUGUAAGUUUCCUCAUUCAUGUUGCUUUGUUAAUGGAAGAAUAGAGUUUGCCAAGUACAUACAGAUUUUCACCAUGAAGAAAGUUUGCUAUCUGAAGCACAAAUCAUGCUAUCUUUCUUGUAGUCUUUCACUGAACAAAUGGAAAUGGAAUCUGUUAGUUGCUAGAAUGACAUUUCUCAUCAUCUCAAUUCCCUUUCAGUUAUUUCUUGUCUUUCUCUGUAUGAAUUUGCUGCCCCCUCCCCCCGCACUGUUGCUGAAGUUGUUUUCAUUUCUCUCAUCUACCGUGGCUGAUCUCAAUUCAGAUUGCUUUUCACAAAUUAUGCAUCGCAAAAGGAUAAAUGUUUGGGUAAUGCCUGCCCUUGUGUUGUAUAUACAUUGCGAUUCCAUUACGGAACAUAAGCUGUAUCCAUAGUGUCCACAUGAGGGUAUCUCAUGACCACUUAAAACUCAACUUCUUUGUUUCUCUUUUGUUGCAAUUAUGUUAAAUUAUGAUAACUUAUAAUGCUUAGUAAGUGGUUGCAAAUACCAAUAACUUCAACUUUCUUGGGACAUAAUAGGGCCAUUGCUUGUUGUCGCCGCUUUUCUGAUAUUUUCCUGUUUUCACCUUUCAGGUAGUUUAGGAGUUACCAUGGUAAGAAGUGAUGGAUGAGGAUAGAGUAGUUUUGUCUCAGUGUAUGGAAGCAUUUAACCAUUGUUUAUGCUGGAAGAGAAGCAAACUUGUUGAUAGGGGGCAAUGCGAGGGGUAGACUAGCCAGGAAAUGACCAUUUUUUUUUAUUAUUAUUGAAGCAAAGGGCUAAGAGCUAAGAGCUACACUGAGAAGGAACGAAUGCCAUGAUGGUUGUAGCAAGUUAUAAACUAUGUAUGCCGUGUCAAAACUGUGAAAAGGAAAGGAAAAAGGAGCAACAGGUUAUAUCGAGUUUAAUCGAAAACUUGAGAACAAUUUGCACGUGGAGAAUGCGAUGGUUAGUGGGCUGUGUCGUGUGAGCACAUUUGAAAGUACUAUGGUUUAUUAGUUUUUGUUAGGAGGAGUUUUCGGUUUCCAAUACCUGAAGUUUUUUUUUUUUAAAUCUUUGUAUUUAUAUUUACUUCUCCUUUUAUCUUUAAUUUCUCAUGAAUAUGAAUAAAAGUACCAGAUUAAUUUGAAAAACUUGAGCUUGAUUAGGGUUGGGUUUUAAGAGACUCUUUUCAAGUGUGUUUUUUAAAAUAUAUUUUUAUUUAGAAAUGUAUUAAAAUAUUUAUUUUAUUUUAUUUUUGAUAUUAAUAUAAUUAACAAAGUAAAUUUAAAAUUAAAAAAAUAUUUUUUUAAAAAAACAUGAUAUAAUUGUAAAAUUAAAAAAAAAAUAUUGAUAAAGUCAAAACCUAGUUGAUCAAUAGGGUUGAUUUAUGUUCUAGUUGCCAAAUAAACCCAGUUCAAACUUGUUGAAUCAAUAUUAAGGAAAUUGGAAAUUUGAAGUUCAAAUUUAUUUGAUCAACAUGAAGUACAUUUUUUUUAAAUGAAAGAUGUUUUAAAAAAGUAAUUAGCUUGAUACUAUGUGAGUUUAUCCAAUAACCUAAUAAUUUGGUUUUUUAGGAGCAGUUCCAAACCACUCUGAUAACAUCCAUGUUGAAUAAGGAGAGAGACUCUUGAUCACCUGUAAAUUCUUCGGAAUGUUCAAACUGACAAAAAAAGAGAGUAUAGAAGUUGAUUUGAUGAAAUAUUAAAAUAUAGGGACCAAACAUGAUUUUUAUCAAAAUAGUAGUCACUCACAUACACGUGCUUUCACCUAGCAAGCCGGCAACACAAUUCCCAGUCCAACUUCCAUCCUUGCCGGUGACGGAAUAUAGCCCCCACCAAUCACAUUCCUCCACCUCAUCCUUUCCCUUCUGUUCCUCUCCCAUCACUUGUCUCCUCUUCACCAUCACCGUUUCUUUCCCGUCAACCAUAAAAAACCCAACACCUUGAGAAAAAAAAAAAAAAAACCACCCCCUGCCCUCUCUCAUCAGAAUCAUCAAAAUCAGAUCUGAUUGUUAUUUCAUCGACUGCCGAUCAUGGAAGACGACGAUGAGAUACAGUCACACUCAAACACCACCGAAUAUUCCUCACCGUCACCACCACCACCGAACGGAAGAAUCACCGUAUCUGCUCCCGCCGCCGUGCAUCCACAGCCGGUACCACCGCCACCGCAACAGAACAACAAGAACCGCUUAGCACUUGUUUUGCCGACGAAGCCGAAAGUGAACGGAGGCGGAGGAGGAGGAGGAGGGAGAGAGGACUGCUGGAGCGAAGGAGCAACGGCGGUGUUGAUCGACGCCUGGGGAGAAAGGUACUUAGAGCUAAGCAGAGGGAAUUUGAAGCAGAAGCAUUGGAAGGAGGUAGCGGAAAUUGUAAGUAGUAGAGAGGAUUAUUCUAAGUCUUCGAAAAUUGAUAUUCAAUGUAAGAAUAGAAUUGAUACCGUGAAGAAAAAGUAUAAAUUGGAAAAAGCUAAAAUUGCUUCAGGUGGAGGGCCGAGUGGUUGGCCUUUCUUUGAUCCUUUGGAUAGAUUAAUUGGCUCCACAGCGAGGAUUCCUGUUGUUGGAAAUGGUAAUGUGGGUGGUAAAAUUCCUACUAGGGUUCGUAGUGGUAGUAGGAGGGGUGGUGUGAAUCAGUAUCAUUUUCGGAAUCAGAAUGUGAAAAUUCGGAUUCUGAAACAUGAGGAGGAUGAGGAUGAUGAGGAGGAGGGUGAGGAAGAGGAGGGGGGUGCGGAAUCGGAUGAUAGUUUUCCGCCGAUGAAGAAGAGGAGAGUGGUGGUGGAGAGGGAAGUGAGGGGGAAAGUGGGGAAGGAAAAAAGAGGAGGAGGGUGGGGGAAUUCGAUCAGGAUGUGACGCAAGCAAUGGUGAAGUUUGGGGAAGCCUAUGAGCAAGCUGAGAGUGCCAAGUUGCAGCAAGUGGUGGAGAUGGAGAAGACGAGGAUGGAGUUCGUGAAAGAGUUGGAGUUGCAAAGGAUGCAGUUUUUUAUGCAGACACAGAUGGGGAUUUCGCAGUUGAAGAACGCGAGAAGGGGAGGGAAUGCUACCAGUAAUCAUUAUCAUCAUCAAUACCAUCGUCAUCAUACUGGUAACAAUAUUAAUGCUAGCAAUAAUGUUAACAACAGUGAUAGUGAUAAUUAAGUGAAUGUAGAGUUGUUGGUUAGUGUUAAAAUUUUAGAAUCUUAGAUUUUAUUAGGUUUGUGUGUUUUGUAGUAGAAGAAUGCCCCAUUAAGGGUGGAGAUUUAUAAUGUUAGCUGUGUUGCUUAUGGUGUUUAAUUUGGAGUACAGUGAUGUGAUUUCAUACUUAUUUGUGUCAGCAUGCAUUUUGCAAAGGGCACUAGCUUGAUUAAUAGUUUUUUAGAGAGUCUGUUAACGUAGCAGAUGUGAAGUUUACAUUUCAAGGGACGAGUUCUAGUUCUACAGUUACUGCUUUAAUUUGUCAGCGGCAUCUUUACUCAAUUUCAGCAAGGGAUUGUCUGAUGUUCAUCUAUAAUAGCAGCAGAUAACUAAUUGUAGCUGAAGAAAAGCUAUUAUAAAGAAUGGUAUGCGAGAGCGAUUUCAGAGGGACACAUCAAACGGGAGAUAAUUUCUGUCUCUUUUCAGCACUGUCUCCUCUCCCCUCUCCCCUCUCUCUUCUUGCUUCCUCCCCAUGAACCCGCAUCCUCCUUCCCUUCUGUUCUUUCAAUCUAUUGGAGAAGAUGUUGUAUUGGUGGUGAAACUGCUUGCCUACAAUAUUUGUGUUCUGACCUUCAUUGGUGUUCUAUGGCUUUGUUGCCGCCUUCUAGCCUUUUGGUGUUGCACGGUGCUGCUGCUUUUUGGCUGUUUCCUCAUCUCCGGUGUUACAUAGGCAGCUGCUGGCUCCUCUUGUAUCUUUUGGGUUUUGGCAUCAUUUGGUUCCUGCCAUUUUCUAUUCUCCGGCCGUAGAAGCUGACAGCAAUCCUCCGACUCUGUUCUCAUGGUCAGAUGCUUCCUCUGUUUUCUCCUGGCAUUAAAAUCACAGCUCACCCUCAAAUCUUAUUGCCUUUGGUCAUUUUCUUGAAUGGUGCUUGGUGUUGUCUUCGAGUGUUUGCAGUGUCGUAAUUUGCUGGAGUUUUUGUAGUAUUUGAAUUGUGGUUGAUUGAGCUGCAGAAUUAGAGGGAAUUGAAUCCGUGCUAUGGGUUAUCAUGUGAUAUCAUCAUUCAUCAACAAUUAAUUGAAUGGGUUUCUACAUGAAAUAUUUUUAGUUUCUUAAUCAAUAAUUUGAAGUUUUUAAUUGGAAGUCAAAUUAUUCUUAGAGAAUAAUAUAAUUAAACUAAAUCUUGGUUAAUUGAUUGCUAGCAGAGGUGUAAAUUUACAUGGCUUCAAAAUGAAGCUUAUCUUGAAUAUCUUCCACUUAAUUUUAUCAAAUAAUAUAAUUUUGAAAUAAAUUAUUUGUAGAAUAAUUUUGAAUGAUAUAAAUCAAAUAAAUGUUAAAACAUUCAGUUUUGUUGUACCUCUCAUUUGAAACUAACGCUUUGUAUGUUUUUUAUAAAAUAAAAUAAAUCCUAAACUUCUUAUGGACUAAAAUGUUUUUAUAGAAAAUAUGAGGAUUAAAAAACAUUCAUGAACAUUUAAGAAAAGCUUUUUUUUAUCUCUGUGGGCUAGGUAUGAUGUAUGCAGGUAUGGAUAUGGGUCUUGGCUUAGAAUGAUAGAUAUGGGUCUAGUAGGAGCACAAUAUUUUUUAAUGGUAACGAAUGAGCUACGCCUACCAGGCUGGUUGCUCAGUCUUGUUUUUUUUUUUUUACUAGAAUUCAUUUCUUUAUAAAGCAUGAAUCUGUAACCAAAUUUGCUUAAUCUAUAGAAAAUAAAAGCGAUAAUCUUUUUUCAAAAAUUCCACCAUCUUCCUCGACCAAUUUUUUUGUUUUUGUUUCUAUACAUAUUAUAAUUAGUUACAAAUAUAAUACCCAAUUUAAUAAAAUCAUAAACAAAAUUCCAAGACUUUCCACACAUCAAUUUAUUUUCUCUUUAUAUUAUGAAUAAAAAAAAUCAAUAAGAGAUGAGGAAAAAAUCAAAGAGGAAAAAAAAUAAAAUUAAAAAUAUCUUAAAUGAAAAAAAAUUAAAGAAAAUGAAAUUAAUUAUCGGUAUAUUAGAGGCCUUUUGCUAUGUGCUCAUAGUGUCACUAUAAAAAAUGAUAAGUCUUAAAUAAUUAUCGUUUUUUUUUAUUCUAAUAAGUAAGAGACAAACAGAUAUGUCUUAAAUAAAAUGACUCUUCGUGAUAUACAAACUCACGGUUAGGCCUCCAAACUGAGGCUGUAACGAGCCGAGUUACAGCUUGGAUCUACAAACCCUGGAUCUACAAACACUGAAGAAAUUUCAUGGGAAAUGGGCUGAUGUCAGAUGGAGAAAUUUCUGUGCUGAUGCCAGCUAUGUUGUUGCCACUGGACAGAGAGACUUCUUCAACCACCAAUCAAAUUAUUCUUAUUGACUUUCUGUGCAGUUUGGCACGGUUUUGCUGUCAAAGUUCAGAAACCCUAGCUAUUAGAAUAGACAAGUGUUUGUCUUUGUAUUUUAAAUUAUUAUUUUUAAUUGACUCCACAAGAGAGAGAUGCCAUCCCCGCAAUACAAAACUCUCGAAAAAAUAAUGAUCGUGCCAUCACCGGUGGUUGUGCUGUUCUAUAAUAUCACAAGCCACACGAGUAGCUGAUUAGAAAGAUUUUGUAGGCAUGGCAUGAUUGACGAAUGAUGGGGGAAGGGGCAAUGGGAGCCACAUGAUCCAUUUCAUGGUUGUUCCUUGCUUGUAGAAAGAAGAUCAUGCCAUCAAGGAUCUUGCGGGAUUGCUAUCUUGCUCGGUGUUGAUUUACAAUAAUGGCUGCACAUGAACCCGUCCAGCAGAACAAAUCCCCACAAGUAAUUGUCUAUCACACUCAAAUUAAUUUGAGAUUUCUGUUUCACUGCCUCCAGAGAAGAAUAUAGUUAUUAAACCUCUCUCUUCUCCUUCAAUAUUACAGUAACGAUGUUAUUUUAAGAUUUUUUUUUUUAAAAAAUAAAACAAUUAUUAAGCUUUCCUUUGAGUUCAAACAAAUCAAGGUUGCUUAUUUGACCUGCCUGCGGGGCUUUGCUCAUAGAAUAAGACAUGUAAAUCUAGGAAAGAAAAAGUUUAAUAUAUAGUUUUAAUUUUUUAUUUGGUUUAAGACCCACCCAAAAAUUUAAUAACCACAAUGUAAUUUGAUGUUUGUGUUCCAUGGCUUCGUGUUAUGGAUGCGUGCUAUUGCAAAAAAAUAAACAAUGUAGCUUGCCAAAUAUAUAUAUAUAUAUAGCUGUGUCUUAAGUUGCUUAUAUAACUAAUUAUAACUUUUAAUCUCUAUAAGCCCAACUACAUCAUUAAAAAGAAGUUCAAUUGUCAUUUCUAAAAUUAAUUGAGUCCAAGUUAUUGAUAAAAGUAUUAGGAAAUCAAGUUUUUAUUUAUUUAUUUAUUUAUUUAUUGUGAUUUUUAAUAUAUUUAUAUAGUGAAUUUUUUAGAAUGUGCAUACAUGAAAAUGAAACAUCAAAUAUGUUAUUGAUGGUUCGGAAAUAAUCCCAAAGUAUACCAAAUAAUUCCUUCCAAUCAAUCCACCCCAUUCUUCUCUGGAUCGUGUUAAAAACCAUGCUGUAUAUGUUUGAUAAUGCAGUGAAUAUAAUUUUACAAAAAUAUUUUUCAAUUAAUAAAAUAUUUAUUAAAGAAAUUUUCAAUCAAUCCACCCCAUUCCCUCCUGCUGUGCUGAUGAUGGGGAAUGGGAGAUAGUUCAAAGGAUUUGCCUCACAUUCAAGUAUGCAACUGUUUAUGGUUAGCCUCACAUAUAAAUAAACAUACAAGGUUACAUAUAUAUACUAUGACAAGUCCUUAAAAUUCCUGUUGUGAUAACCUAAAAUUUUACUCUCUUUUUUACUAUAUAUAUUUUUUUCAAAUAAUAAUAAAAAAAUGAUGGAAAAAAAAAUAAUGAUAAAAAAAUGAAAUGAAUGAAGAAUAAAUUAAAUUUUGGUUUAAGACAACAUAAUUGACAGUUCAGGGACUUAAUUAAACUUUGGAUUAGUUUAAUUAACCAAAUAAAGGGCUUAAAUUGAAGAGUUGUUGACUUUUGAGACUUAAUUGAAAUUGAAAUUAGUUUAAUUAAUGAAAUAAAAGGGUUUAAUUGAAAAAAUAUCAAAGUUUGAGGCUGAUUUGGAUCAAAAUUGCAAGGAAUUAAAAUUCAAAGACCAAAUUGAAAAGGUGGGGGGUACCAUAGGGAGCUUAAUUGAUUUUUCUAGGGGUAAUUUUGAAAGAAUUAAAAGUUGAAGAGUCAAUGAAGGACUGAAUUGAGAAAUUUAGAAACCUAGGAUUGUUUCGUAAAAUACGCUGAGAUGCAGGGGUCUAAUUAAAGUUUAUCCAGGGUGCUUAAUUACAAAACUUCAAGGGCAAAAACGUAAAUGACCAUUGACAUCAAACAAUGCCAUUUCCAGACGUUGUUCAUCUUCUUCACUCGACCGAAAAACAACAGAUGCCCCUGCCAUCGCCAACCAUUACCAUUACUCCUGUAAUAACGGUCUUGAAUGUCUUCAUUGUCAAGGAAAACACAUGACAUUCUUUGCCUAUAAAAGCUAGAGAAGGAACCGAACACAAAAAAGAAGAGGGUGGGCUGACAAAAGAAGAACAAAAACAGAGGAGGAAAAAGGACGAAAACACGAAGAAACAGUGGAGAGAGAAGAGGGAUAGAAAAAAAAUAGAAGAACCCAAAGGAAACAACGAACAUAAAAACAAAAAGUAAGAGGGUGGGCUAACAGAAGAAGAGCAAAAACAGAGGAGGAAAAGGGGCGAAAACACGAAGAAACAAUAGAGAGAGAAGGGGGAUGGAAAAAAAGAGAAGAACCCAGAGGAAAAAUGAACAAAAAAAAAAGAAAAGAAAUGGGUGGGCUGACAGAAAAAGAACAAAAAAAAAGAGGGUGGACUGACAGAAAAAGAACAAAAACAAUGGAGGAAAAAGGGCAAAAACACGAAAAUACUUUUUUUUUUUCCUUUUAUGUUAUAUUUUUUUCACACGGUAAAGAAAAAAUAAAUUGAUAAGAGUUUUUUAUAUUAUAUAAAAGUUGAGUGAUCAUAAUUUUUUUUCAUUUGAGGUUGGGUUAAAUUUUCUUAUUAAAACAUGUUUGUUUUUGUAUUUUAAAAAUGUUUUAAGAAAAAUUGAAUGUUGUUUCUUUAAUUGAAAAUAAUAUUUUUUUAUGUGUAUAUUUUGACGCGAGAUACAAAAAUCCAUUUAAUUCUUUUCUCUAGUUUUAUCUCAUACGGUAAUAGAAAAUAAAUGAUGAGAGUUUCAAUACAUCGGCAACUAAUUUAUUUUUCUUUAUUUUUUUCUCUUUAAUUUUUUUGUUCUCUUAUUGAUUUUGUUUUCAUAUUGUAAAGAGAAAAUAAAUUAAUAAAAGCCAGACUCAAGAAGAUCUCCAUAGCCCUUUUCUUUUAAAGAUAUUUUUAAUUUUAUGUUCUUUUCCUCUUAUAUUUUCUUUUCUUUUCUCUUAUUGAAUUUUUUUCCAAACUGUAAAGAUGAUAUAAAUUGAUAUGACUUUUUUUAUAUUGUACAAAAGUUGAGUAAUGAUAUUUUUUUUUCAUUUCAGAUUGUGUUGAAUUUCCUGAUUAAACCACGUUUGUUUUUGCGUCUUAAAAAUUCUUUGAUUUAUUUUUGCUAAUUGUUAAUUUUUUUCUUUACUUCAAAUUCAUAUUUUUUUAUGUUUUUGUAUUAUUCUUUUAAAUAGUUUAUUAAAAAAUAUAUUGAGAUUGAGUCUGGUUGUAAAGCCAAACCCAAGAAAUUAGAAAAUUCUUAAUUUUUUUCUUUACUACAAAUUAAUAUAUAUUGAUGUGUUUGUAUUAUUUUUUUAAUAUAUUGAGAUUGGGUCUGGCUGCGUAGCUAGACACAAAGUUUUUGGGAUUGGCUCUGGCUAGGCAGCAGGACGCAGCGAGACCUAAUCUCAAUAUAUAUAUUUUUAAAAAAAAUAUAAAAAAAUAUUAAUUUGAAGUAAAUAAAUAAAAAAAAUCAAAUUUUUUCAAAGAAUUUUUGAAACACAUAAAUAAAUAUGUUUUUAAUAAAGAAAUUAAAUCCUACCUGAAAGGAAAAAAAAAGUAUUUUCACCUAAUUUUUAUACAAUAUAAAAAAAUUACAUUAAUUUAAUUUCCUUUUAUAUUAUGAAUAAAAAAUUUAAUAAGAGACAAGAAAAAAAUUCACAUAGAAAUUUCUAUGCUGAUGCCAGCGCUAGCUAUGUGUUGACACUGGACAGAGAGACUUCAACCACCAAUCAAAAUUUUCUUAUUGACUUUUUGUGCAGUUUGGCACGGUUUGCUGUCAAAGUUCAGAAACCUUAGCUAUUAGAAUAGUCUAAAGUGUUUAUUUCUGUAUUAAAUGUUUUUUUUUAAUUGACUCUACAAGAGAGAGAUGCCAUCCCCGCAAUACAAAACUCUCAAAAAAUAUAAUGAUCGUGCCGCCACCACCGCUGGUUGGGCUGUUACGUAAUUGUUUUUUUUUGUUUUUUUUUUUUUAUAGUUGUUAUUUUUGAAAAUAUUUUUUAUUUUUUAAAAUUAAUUCUUAAUUUUUAAUAUUAACAUAUUAAAAUGUUUUUAAAAUAUAAAAAAAUAUUAAUUUAAAAAAAUAAAAAAACAUUUAAUUUUUUUUAAAAUAUUUUUAAAAUACAAAAGAAUUCUAUAACCAAGCCACCACCAAUGAUUGUGCUGUUUUUUAAUAUCAUAUUUAGGACGUGAACGAAGUCUGUUAAUAUAACUCAUAUUCUUGCUCCCUCAGGUACGAAGAGCCCUAGAAUUUUCAUGGGAAAUGGGUUGAUGUCAGAGGAGACAGAGAAGCGUACUUUCAGAAGAUCAUGACCCAAAUCAACGGCUGAAAUCCAAUCCCUCGGUGACACAUUGCAUGAUUGGAGACUGCUGGUCUCUAGUACGAAGAGAAACAACAGCUGUGAUGAAGGAAUCUUAUUUUAUUAUUUUUUUAAAAUAUUUUUUAUAUUUUAAAAUUAAAAAUAAAUUUUUGAAAAUAAAAAAUUAUUUUUAUAUAUUUUUAAAUAAAAAAUAUUUAAAAAAAAAGCUAUGCCAGCACCAGACUCCUUAUAAGAAAGAGGGAAGGUGAUAUUCAUUAUAACUUUACUGCCCCGCCUCUCUCUCCUACCUGCAGCAGCCACUAGAUGUUCAUGGCGUCUUCUUCUUCUUUGCCUAGACCUGGUUGGGUUUACGAUGUAUUUGUAAGUUUUAGAGGUCAAGAUACUCGCAAAAAUUUGACGGACCAUCUUUACACUGCUUUACACCAUGCAAGAAUCCAUGCAUUUCGAGAUGACGAAAAACUUCGUAGAGGUGAAGAAAUCUCCUUACAACUCUCCAAAGCAAUACAAGAAUCCAAGAUUUCUAUAGUGGUUUUCUCCAAGGGCUAUGCUUCCUCCACUUGGUGUCUUGGUGAACUUCAAAAGAUUCUUGAAUGCAGACGACAACCAACCGGGCAGAUUGUUCUACCUGUUUUCUAUGAUAUCGAUCCUUCUGAUAUUAGAAAACAGACGGGGAGUUUUGCUGAAGCCUUUGAUAGACAUGAAGCACGUUUUAAGGAAGAAAUGGAGAAGGUCCAAAAGUGGAGAAAAGCUCUUGUGGAGGCUGCAAAUUUAUCUGGGUUGGAUCGUCGCAGUAUCGCAAAUGCGUACUUCUUUACUUUCCCUAUGUCGAUAGCAAACGCUUCUAACUUUUAACCUUAUUACAUUUUGUAUUUUAAAUUUGCAUUAAAUUCAAAAGAUUAUCUUCCAUCGAUGAGUGAUGAAUUUCUUUUUCUAUGCACAGGCAUGAAUCAAAAUUAAUUCAAAAGAUUGUCGAAGAAGUUUCAAGUAUAUUGAAUCGCAGAAACAUAAACGAAAGGCCGCUGAAGAUGUUGAAGACAACAAUGAUAUCUGGCGGUGGGCUGCAUGACGAUGCUGAGGAGAAGCAGAUAACAAAUACAGCUGUGCGGGAUUGGCUGGACGAGUAUAAAGACGCUGUCUAUGAAGCCGAGGACUUCUUGGAUGAGAUUGCUUAUGAAACUCUACGGCAGGAGUUGGAAGCUGAAACUCAAACCUUCAUUAACCCACUUGAAUUAAAGAGGUUGAGAGAGAUAGAAGAAAAAUCAAGAGGCCUCCAGGAGAGACUAGAUGACUUAGUAAAACAAAAGGAUGUCCUUGGUUUGAUCAACCGCACCGGAAAAGAACCAUCAUCGCCUAAAAGUCGAACAACUUCUCUGGUGGAUGAACGUGGUGUUUAUGGUAGAGAUGAUGACAGGGAAGCAGUACUGAUGUUGCUUGUAUCAGAGGAUGCAAAUGGAGAAAACCCAGAUGUCGUUCCCGUAGUUGGAAUGGGCGGGGUUGGUAAAACCACACUUGCUCAGCUUGUAUACAAUCACAGAAGAGUACAGAAGCGGUUCGAUCUCAAAGCUUGGGUUUGUGUUUCAGAAGAUUUCAGUGUUUUGAAGUUAACCAAGGUUAUCCUUGAGGGAUUCGGUUCAAAGCCUGCUUCUGAUAAUCUGUUGAAGGAGAGAUUGCACGGAAAGAAAUUCUUGCUUGUUUUAGAUGACGUUUGGAAUGAGGAUUAUGCUGAGUGGGAAAAGUUGCUUACCCCCCUGAAGUGUGGAGCACAAGGGAGUAAGAUUCUUGUUACAACUCGCAAUGAAAGUGUAGCAUCAGUCAUGAGAACUGUUCCAACUCAUCAUCUAAAAGAAUUGACGGAAGACAGCUGCUGGUCCUUGUUUGCCAAACAUGCAUUUCGUGGUGAAAAUCCCACUGCUCAUGAAGAGUUACUAGAAAUUGGUAGAGCAAUAGCGAGAAAGUGUAAAGGCCUUCCUCUAGCAGCAGUAACACUCGGAGGUCUGCUACGCACCAAAAGAGAUGUCGAGGAGUGGGAGAAGAUAUUGGAAAGCAAUCUAUGGGAUUUACCCAAAGACAAUAUCCUCCCAGCUUUGAGAUUAAGUUAUCUUUAUCUCCUGCCACAACUGAAGCAAUGUUUUGCUUAUUGUGCCAUAUUUCCAAAAGACUAUUUAUUUGGAAAGGAUGAAUUAGUGCUCCUGUGGAUUGCAGAGGGCUUCUUAGUCCGGCCCUUAGAUGGUGAGAUGGAAAGAGUAGGUGGUGAGUGCUUUGAUGAUCUCUUGGCAAGGUCUUUUUUCCAGCUAUCAAGUGCCUCUCCCUCAUCAUUUGUGAUGCACGAUCUCAUACAUGACUUGGUGUGUCCGGUCAAUUCAGCUUCAGGUUGGGGGAAAAUAAUUCUUCCAUGGCCUCUAGAAGGACUCGACAUCUAUCGCUCGCAGUAAAGACGCGCGCAAGUUACGGACGGUGGUUUUUUCAGCCCAGAAUUAGAAAACAUCCGUGAAGCCCAACUUCUACGCACAUUCCAAACUUUUCCACGCUAUUUGAAGUCUCUUCCCGAAGUUUAUACUGAGAUCUUUCAUAUAUAUGUUGUCAACACUUGGGCGCCUACGAGUGCUAUCCUUGUCUCGCUGUGCCAGUGCAGCUAAGAUGCUUUGUUCAACUAGCAAGUUGAAGCAUUUGCGGUAUUUGGAUCUCUCUCGGUCAGAUUUAGUAACGUUGCCUGAAGAAGUGAGUUCUCUUCUCAAUUUGCAAACGCUGAUCUUGGUAAAUUGCCACGAACUUUUUAGUCUCCCUGAUCUUGGAAAUUUGAAGCACUUACGACAUCUGAAUCUUGAAGGAACAAGAAUCAAAAGGUUGCCUGAAUCUCUGGAUAGGUUAAUCAACUUGCGGUAUCUUAACAUCAAGUACACGCCUUUGAAAGAGAUGCCACCACAUAUAGGUCAACUGGCAAAGCUCCAAACGUUGACUGCCUUUCUCGUGGGAAGACAGGAGCCUACCAUUAAAGAAUUGGGAAAGCUACGACAUCUACGGGGAGAACUUCAUAUUGGGAACCUUCAAAAUGUGGUGGAUGCUUGGGAUGCUGUCAAAGCAAAUUUAAAAGGUAAAAGGCACCUUGAUGAGCUGAGGUUUACAUGGGGUGGUGACACUCAUGACCCGCAACACGUAACAAGCACACUUGAGAAAUUAGAGCCAAAUAGAAAUGUGAAGGAUCUUCAGAUUGAUGGUUAUGGAGGUGUAAGGUUUCCGGAGUGGGUAGGAAAGUCCUCUUUCUCAAACAUAGUGUCCUUGAAGCUCAGUAGAUGUACAAACUGCACCUCCUUACCACCGCUCGGGCAAUUAGCUUCUUUGAAGCGUCUCUCAAUUGAAGCAUUCGAUAGAGUUGAGACUGUGAGCUCUGAGUUCUAUGGGAAUUGUACAGCUAUGAAGAAGCCAUUUGAAUCCCUCCAAACAUUAUCUUUUAGAAGGAUGCCAGAGUGGCGUGAGUGGAUUUCAGACGAAGGCAGCCGGGAAGCCUUCCCUCUUCUAGAGGUGCUUUUAAUCAAAGAAUGCCCCAAGCUUGCAAUGGCCCUACCUAGUCACCACCUUCCACGUGUAACAAGACUUACAAUUAGUGGAUGUGAGCAGCUCGCGACUCCACUUCCUAGGUUUCCUAGGUUGCACUCUCUCUCUGUUUCUGGAUUCCACUCCCUAGAGUCCCUACCCGAGGAAAUUGAGCAAAUGGGUUGGUCACUCUCUGAUUUAGGGGAAAUUACAAUCAAGGGCUGGGCUGCUCUCAAAUGCAUCCCACUGGACUUGUUCCCCAACUUAAAUACUCUUUCUGUCUCUAACUGUCCAGAUCUCUAAUCACUAUGUGCACAUGAAAGACCUCUCAUUGAUCUCAACUCUCUCCAUUCUUUGAUAAUCUGGGGGUGCCCUAAAUUAGUUUCAUUUCCCAAAGGAGGGUUACCUGCUCCAGUCUUGACACGAUUUGACUUAGCAGAUUGCAGAAAUUUGAAGCAGUUGCCUGAGAGUAUGCAUUCCCUCCUCCCAUCCCUUAACCAUUUGGAAAUAAGAGGUUGUUUAGAAGUUGAGUUGUGUCCAGAAGGGGGUUUUCCCUCCACAUUACAUUCACUUGAGAUUUGUAGAUGCAACAAACUCAUUGCAGGCCGCAUGCAAUGGGGCUUGCAAACGCUCCCUUCUCUUUCACGCUUUGCAAUUGGUUUCGACGAAAAUGUUGAAUCCUUCCCUGAAGAGAUGCUGCUGCCCUCAAGUCUUACAUCUCUAAAAAUCUAUUCCCUAGAACACCUGAAAUCUCUUGACUACAAGGGGCUUCAACACCUCACCUCUCUUAGAGAAUUGACUAUAAGUAACUGCCCUCUGAUUGAGUCAAUGCCAGAAGAAGGGUUGCCCUCCUCCCUUUCUUCUCUUGAAAUUUUCUUUUGUCCUAUGCUGGGUGAAAGUUGUGAAAGGGAGAAAGGUAAAGAUUGGCCCAAGAUUUCUCACAUUCCUCACAUAAGUAUUAGGGGAGCAAAAAAGUAGUAGCUAAAAGGAGCUUUUCUUUCAAUCGUUCAACAUAUUGAGGUAUUGCUACUAAAUAGUUUAUUUUCUUUUCAGCAAUCAAAGUCAGUUUCAGUUAAAAUUUGGAUGAAUGAAAUACAGAUAUUGUCUCUGUUGUAUGUUUUUAUUUGUUGUAUGUUGAAAUACAAAUCUCUCAUUCAUCUUCACAAAUAAUCAUCAUUCUAUUUCAAUAUAUUUUUUUUCUAUAAUUAAUUUUUUAAGUUGAAUUGAUUAGUAUUUUACUUUUCUUAUUCUAACAUUUGUGGUUAGAACAAAGUAACUUUCACUGGGAUGAGAUGAUUUUGGUUCAAUGGGAGCGGUGAAACCUUUGGCUUCUUUCCUUUGAAUCCAAAUUCAAAUCCUACUAUUGUUCCUCUAUCCUGUUCUGCUGCAAAUAAACAUCACAACAUCCUUGUUUUCGAUCUUGGAAUUGCUGGUUCUACUAUCUUGUUCUGCUGCUGGAGGAUCAUCACAUACUUCAGAUUUGAAUUUAGUAAUAGAAAAUCCAUUGCUAAAAAGGAUUAAAAAAAUAUUGAAUUAUUUAAGUAAUCUGCAACGGAUUUUUCAUUGUUGACGCGGCAAAAUCAAAUCUGCUACUGAUUCAAAAAAUAAAUUAAACCCUUAAUUAUAUAAAAUCUCCCUUAGUUCUCUCCUUUUCUCCUUUUCUGCAUCUUCAAAAAUUCAAUUUUUUUUCUCCAUCUCUUUCUCUAGUCUAUUCCCCUUCUCCAAAUCCAAAAACUUUUGAUUUAUCCUUCUCUUUUAUUAUUUAAUUUUGAAUAAAUUUUUUUUAUUCCUUAUAAAGCUGAAGUUAAAAAACAAUUUUGGAGUGCAGGUAAUGCCCUUCCCAGCAAAAUUUAUGGUGUUUGGGAACUAACAAGUAACAUCUUAUUAGUUGUUCUUCAAACAUACUUUGAUAAAAAAAAAUUGAUACUAAAAGAAGAGAUAAUAGAUAAUUCAGGAUCUAUAAAAAAAUAUAAGAAUAUCUUUAUUUAUAAUUUUUUUUCUAGUUAUUAUAUCUUUUUAUUUUUUAAAUAAAAUUUAUAUAAAUAACUAAUAAGAUUAAACUAAUUAUCCAUGAACACCAUAAUUAUAUCUUCCCAAAGAUGUAAGCCUUAUAUCACGGAGGAAUGUACGAGGGAUUAAAAAAACUCUUUCCUUUGUCUUUUUAAUUCUUUUUUUUUUCAUUAGUUUAUUUAUUAAGGCGCUUAUUAGCUUGAAAGUUUUCCUCGCCUUGUCCAAUCUUCGCUAGAAGGGCUUGUUCUCAGAACGAGGAAUUUAAAAGAAGAAGUGGAUGACCGAAGAGGGGAAUUUAAAUAAGAGCUUUGGCUUUCCAUAUCUUAUACUAUUUCGUUUGAUUCCAGUUUUGCUUCAACUCUCAACAACACUCCCUUCUUUCGUUGCUCGACAUCAUUUAAAUGAACAUGGCUUAAUUACCUUUUUCAAGCAAUGAUGGAGUAGUAGUGCAGUUAAAGAACACACCCUAGCUGUUUGACAAAAUGCCGUUGAAGAUGAUAGUCAUUUUAGUGCUGCUGCUAGUAACAACCCCGGUAAGAAAACUAACGACCUCUUGAUGUGUUUUUUUAGGAAAUACAUUAAAUGUUUUUAUUUGUUCAUGUGUUUUCUUCAGGAGGUGGUGCUAACCAGAGAAAGCUAAAGCAGAGGAGGAUGGCCAAGAGGUUGCAAAGGGAAAGGAUGAAGCCUUUUGUUAGAGGUCUAGGUGCUGGUGCACUAACAAAAGCACAUUGCCUUGACGAAGCCGAAAAUAUUGGCUGCUCAAUACAAACAAGGGCCGAAAUCGGUAGGCAACGUGCGAGGACUUUCCCUGGCAUUGGGUGUAUCCUGGCAUGAAUGGUGGAUGGAUGAUGAAAUGCCCAGGACAUUGGGCUGUCCAAGCCGAGGCAGAAACACAGCAACAUUGGAUGCAUAGGUGCUUGUAGCUGGCCAGUUGGUUUGUGGGGGCUGACCCAAGUACAAGCAAAUCUUAGGGUGGACUGCCCAACGAGUGCGGGUUGCUUAAGAAAAGCAUGAGGGAUGAACUGCCUAAGAGAUGCAUGGGGUAGAGUGCCAAUGUGCUGCUGGAAUAUGUAACCUUGUAUAAAUAGGCUUGCUAAAGUCAGCUGUGUAGUAUGCAAGACAUAUUUUGCAUAACACACACAGAGAUGGUGUAUUCCUUUCUUAUAGAAUUAAUAAAAGGUCGGGAUACAUACAGAGAGAUCAUUUUGGUAAAAUUAUUAAGCAAAGCAAAUUCUCUCAUCAGAUAUGGGAUUUCGAAGGAAAAAUAGGGAUUCAAAUCUUUACGGACCAUUCGUAAACCAUUGAUCUGAGAGAGGGAUAUUUGGAUUUCGUGCUUGUUUCAUAAAUAAAUAAAUUAAAUUUUUUCUUGAGGAUAUGUAAUAAAUUAUGUUCGUUUGGAUCUACGAAGGAAAGAGGAAGAAGAAGUGGAAUGGCUAAUGGCUAAGUUCUUAAAUUGGAUGACCGGCUUAACAAUUAAAGGGUUACUGGCUACUAAAAAAAAUGAUAUGAAUUAUUAACAACAAAAAAUUAAAUAAAAAAGAAGCUGAUAACUGAAAAAUCAGCAACGAAAAUCCAAUGUUCUUUGGAUUUACUUGGAAUUGCUUCAACUGACGUGAGAAACCUACAACCCAAGCCUUCAGAAGCAAGUGAACAAAACCAUAGUUCAUAACAAGGAAGCAUCCGCGUUUUGGAAUCAAAAUUCAGAAGCAAGUGAAAGUGGCCGAUGUCACUCAAGAGAGCAGGCACUUAAUGAUUUUGCCCUGUUUAUCUAAAGUUGUGCAAGUUCUCUGCAUUGAUGAUUCCUGUGAAUUUGUACAGAUCUUGUUUUCUUUCUAUUUGUCCUUGAAUAAACUUAUUGCACUUGUUGAACAAUCUUUGUCUCUCUCUCUUAGUUAAAUCUAGCAAAAAUUUUCAGGUAUGUUGUGACACUCAUUUAUUCUUGGAUGUGUGUAUUUAGCUCUCCUUUUCGGAUUUUACCUUUUCAAUUUCUUUUGUGCUUUUGUAUUCAAGAGUCGAAGUUCAAGCAGGCAAUUUACAUAAAUCAAUGUAAAGUUGAUCAGGAAAUAGUUUACGGCAAAUUUCAGAAAGAUGGAAAGCUAUGUAAGGUUGCGGCGGCCUUCAUAUCCCUGGGUGAGAGUAUAGGAAACAGUACAGGUGUGAUGCCAGUAUUACUGGGUUUCUUUUUUUUGUUUUGCUGAGAAAACUACAAAUCCUAAAUGCAAAGAGGAAUAAUACAUAAACUUGCAAUGUAGUUAAGUUUAACAAGGAGGUAGCAUAAAUAAGCAGCGCAACAUACGAAAUUUUGCUAGAUUUAGCCACUAGAAAGAGAGAUGUCUCAACAAGUGUGGAAGACAAAUGUAAAGGAAAACAAGAUUUGCACCCAAAGAAGGUGAUUAUGCACAAAUUCACUGGAGUCAACAAUGAAGAAAACUUGCAUGGCCAGGGUAAAGCUACAAAUGCCAACGCUGAUGAAGAGUUACAAGAAAUUGGUAGAGCAAUAGUGAGGAUUGUCUGAUGUUCAUCUAUAAUAGCAGAGCAGAUAAAUAAUUGUAGCUGAAGAAAAGAAUGGUGUGCGAGAGCAAUUUCAUAGAAAUGAAACUGCUUGCCUACAAUAUUUGUGUUUUGAUCUUCUAGCCUUUUGGUGUUCUAUGGCUUUGUUGCUGCCUUUUAGUCUUUUGGUGUUCCACGGUGCUGCUGCUUUUUGGCUCUUGAUUUAAUAGAAAUGCUGUCCCCCCAUCCCUUGUAUCUUUUGGGUUUUGGCAUCGUUGGUUCCUGCCGUUGUCCGUUCUCCGGUAGUCGAAGCUGACAGCAAUCCUCCGACUCUGUUCUCAUAGUCAGAUGCUUCCUCUGUUUUAUCCUUUGGUCAUUAAAAUUACAGCCUACCCUCAAAUAUACUAAGUUGAUUUUGCAAAUUUUGUUCCAAGAGAGUAGAAAUUUAAAGAAAAAUGUACAUUCUCAUUCGUCACCUCCCUUGCAAAUUCAAUAAGUACCUCAUAAUUGGUUUAUAUAUGGAAUAUUUUUAGUUAUUCAAUAAGUGAAUCUUCGAUCAGAAGAGAAAUUAUUUUUAGUGAAUAAUGUAAAGAAGAAACUAAAUUUUGGUUAAUUUACAAUAAGUUUAUAUAGCUUGAAAGUGAAGCUCAUCUUCUAUUUAGUUUUCUUAAAUAUAUAAUUUUAAAUUAAAUUACUUUUAAAAUAAUUUUGAGUAUAUCUUACAUGUUUAAACAUUAACUUUGUUGGAUGAAUUCCAAACCACAUAAUUUGAAACUCAUAUAGGUAUCUUAAAUAGUGCAGCCUGAGCUUUACGGUUACGUUUUCUUUGACGAUGAUUAUUGUUAAAUUAUUUUUUAUUUUAAAAUAUAUUAAAAUAAUUUUAUAUUUUUAAUAAUUUUUAACAUUAACACAUUAAAAUUAUUAAAAUAUUAAAAAAAAAAAUUUAAUAUAUUUUUAAAUAAAAUAUAUUAAAAAAAAGCAUACAUUACUACUAUUCUCUCAAACAUACAAUCCUAUUCAUCUUAAGACCUGAGCUAUUAUUAAAAUGGUUAACUCAUUAAAUUUACACUUGGUUAUGGAGUUGGAUAACUCAUUAAAAACAUAAAUCUUAUAUUAAAAUAAACAAAUUUUAAAAAUAUUGAUUAGAAGAACAACAAAACACUUAUUCAAGUAGUUGUAUAAAAUAUAAUAAUAUAAUGUAUAAUUUAUAAUUCAUAAUUUAUUUAUUUACUUUAUCAAUCUUCUGCUGCGUGAUCACAUCACGUGAAAAGCUUGGCAUUUAGUGAUGUUUUUCCAAUCAAGCCCCCUUUUUUCAAAGAUGGAAUCUCGAGGUAAAUAAAUCAAAGACAAAACCGAGUAAAAUGGAGUCCACUCAGUCCAGAGCAUAACAAGGACCGAGAGAGAGAAGGCUUUAGCGAGUUGUGUGUUCUCUUGGCAAAUAAAGCGAGGACAAACCGAGUAAAAUGUGGGACCCAACUCAAUUUUUCCUGGCACACGCAACUCACGCAUACACUAACACUAAUUUGAGAUAUUUUUUUUACUUGGGAGUUUACAGGCAAAUAAAGUGAUGGAAGAAGGUCUUCUUCUGCAUCAUCACAUCACGUGAAAAGCUUGGCAUUUAAUGAAGUUUUUCCAAUUAAAACUUAUGGUAUAAUUUCUUGACAGCGAAAUAAAGAAAAGUAGGAACCCUGUUAUAUCUAGGAAAUUUCUCUGCUCUUUAAAUUAGGUGUACAAACUGAGGCUGUAACGAGCCCUGAAUCUACACAGAAGAAAUUUUGUUGGAAAUGGGUUGAUGUUAGAGGCAGACAGGGAAACGUAAUCUCAGAAGGCCAGGACUCAAAUUAGCGGCUGAAAUCCAAUCACUCAAGGGAUGGUGACACGUUGCCAUGGGUGGGAGACAGCUGGUCUCCAGUUCGAAGAGAAACAACAGCGUUUUUUUUUUUAUUAAAAGUGAGUGUACGAGCUACAUCCAUAUAUUUUAAUUAAUUUUAUUAAUUUAAAAAUUAAAAAUUAUAUAAAUUUUUAAUGAUUCUAAAAAGAUUUAAAUUCAUAAAAAAAUUUGAAUUCAUAAAUAUUAAAAUACAAAUAUAAAAUUAGAUGACCCACAACAGUGUUUUCAUUGUUUAAAAUGGAGUGUUUGUUUUCCUGAGUUUCUUUGUUCUCGUGACAGCUCAUGAUGGUGGGGGCUUUAAAAAAAAUAAAAAAAUUAUUUUUACUUGUGAUUUAUUUGAUUUAAAUAAGUAUUUAAUUAAAAAUAUUGUUUAAUAAAAAAAUAUUUAAUUAAAAUUAUAAUUAAAGAUAUAUUGUAACUAAAAUUAUUAUAAAAAAAAGAUCCGGUGGAGAGGAUGAAAAUAAUGAUUGGAUAUCUUAAUAAUUGUAAAAAAGAAAGUAUCUUUUUAUGGUGAAGUUAUCGGUAGAUGAGAAAAUACUGAGUUUUGUAGCUCAGAAAAAAAACGCCAUUCAACUAAUAAAAUGAUCCAUCUACAUUAAAAAAAAAAAAAACGUCAUGCCCACGUGUGGAAGAUAAAAUUAAUCAACCUAAUCUUUCUGGAUUGCAUUUUAUUAUUCAUGUCAAACAAUCAGUAUCCUUAAUACUGAUUAAGGAUAUUUUUGUUUUUGUAAUUCAACUAUACUUUUUAAUAUAAUAAUUUUUUAAUUUAAUUUUUUAAUUAUUUUAAUAUCAUUUUGUUAUUUCUAAUUGUUUGUGUUUACGAGGUUAGUCAUAAAUUCAUGAUUAGAAUCAUCGAUUCUAAAAAUUAAUGUAAAUUAAUUUUUAUUUUUUAAAAUUAAUUUAUUUAAAUUUUAUCAUUUAAUUUUUUUUUCAUGAUUUCUUUUUAAGAGACUAACCCUUCAUCGACAAACACUAAUGUACUCUGAAAAACAUAAUCCUACUGCAUUUGAUGCUUUAAAUUUCAACAAGGAGUACCUACACAGUGAAAUAAAGAAAAGUAUGAACCUUGCAUCUGGGAAAUUUUUAUUAGGCCUCCAAUCCGAGGCUGUAACGAGCCCUGGAUCUACACACAAGAAAUUUCGUGGGAAAUAGGUUGAUGUCAGAGGGAGACAAGGAAGCGUACUUUCAGAAGACCAUGACACAAAUCAACGGCUGAAAUCCGAUCACUCAAGGGAUGGUGACAUGUUGCCAUGAGUGAGAGACAGCUGGUCUCCAUCUAAAUGUUUAAAGAUGAUUGGGUAUCUUAGUAAUUGUAUAACAAUUGAUUUUUUUUUUUUGAUGAAGGUGUCGGUGUGGAUGAGAAAAUACUGAGUUUGUAGCUCAGUAAAAACAUGUUGAUGUUACUUUUUAUUAGCUCAUGGUUGGCUCGUAAAUUGUAAUGGGUCCCACAGUCACAAAACUAUGAUUCUUCACAUGUAAUUUAUGUUUUAUAACUUUUUUAUUUUUAAUUAUUAUUUUUUUAUUUUUAUGUUAAAAAUUUAAAAAUAUUAUUUUAAUAUAUUUUUAAAUAAAAAAUAAUAAUAUCAAACAGCGUGAAUGUUUUAUAAAUUCUUUACAAUCGCUUUUACAUUUCUUUAGAUCACAUUUAAGAAUACGGUACACCACAAUAAAGUCUGUUGUUGCUACAUGAUUAAAGGUAAUUGUCUUGCAUUUACCUUUAAAACUGCUAUCAAGAAUUAAUUAAUUGCGUCAAUUCAAUUCUUUCUAUUGACAUUGAUACCAAACAUGUUAAUUCAUGAUAUAAUUAAGCAAUUCAAUACAAAUUUACUAAUAUAAUUUAUUUCGGCUUAAACCUUUGAAUAUAGCCAAAUGCAGAGGCUAUGCAAGUGAAAUACCUUAAUAAUUUUUAGGCUUUACAACCCUAGGAGCCACUCAAAAUAUAAUGUGUUUAUACCUAUUUAUUUGUUAGAAAAUAAUUUUUUUAUUAAAAAAUGGUUUUUUUAAAAAUAAAUUGGUAAAUAUUUUUUAAUAUUUAAUUAUAUUACAGAAAACAAGUAGAAAAAUAACUUUUUACUUUUUUAAUUUUUUUCUCAGGUUUAUUAAAAGACAUAUAACAAUAUUGAAGGAGGAUAAAAUUAAAAAAAAUUAUAAAUUAUUUCAAAAUGAAAUAAAUAAUAAUUAAAAGAAUCAAGAUCAAAUGUAACAGAUAAAAAUAUUAAUAAAAAAAUAAAACAAAAAUAAAUAAUAAUAAUAAAAAAAUUAAUAUUAAAAUAAUAUUAAACCAAGAAUUAAAUUAAAAAAAAGAAAGCAAAACAAAAUGUAUAAAAUAUAAUAAUAUAAUUUAUGAUUUAUUUAUUUAAUUUAUCAAUGAAAAGUGAUAGAAUAAAGAAGAGAAAAGAAAUAAAGUGAAGUAUGCUGCUGCAUUAUCAUAUCACGUGAAAAGCUUCGCAUUUUGUGAAGUUUUUCCAAUCAAACCCUGUUUUUUAAAAGAUGUAAUUUCUAGGAAAAUAAAUCAAAGACAAACCGAGUAAAAUUCCAAAAGAAGAGAAAGAUGGAGUAGCGUUUCAGUUCCGGCUUGUAUCCGUGUUUUAAAAAUAUAUAUAUAUUUUUAAUUUUAAAUUAAUAUAUUUUUAAUGUUUUUAAAUAUUUUAAUUUAUUAAUAUUAAAAAUAAUUUAUAAAAAAUAAAAUAAUUUAUUUUAAUAUAUUUUUAAAUAAAAAACAAUAGACACCCGUGACCACUUAAAUGGACUCCUAAGCAUAACAAGUUAAGAGUUAAAGAGCCGAGAGAGAAAAAGCUUUUGCCAGUUCUUUACACAAAUUCUUUCCCCUUCUGUCACCUGAACAAAAUCCCCACUUCUUCUUCUUGCUUGUUUACUCUUCCUUCGUUACUUUGCGAAGAGGAGAAACCAUGGCCGGGGCUUUAGUAGGAGGAGCUUUUCUUUCUUCUUUCCUUAAUGUUUUGUUCGACAGGAUGGCCUCUCCCCAGGUGGUUGCCUUCUUGAGAGGCCAAAAAGUCAAUGAUAGGCUGCUAACGAGGUUGGAGACAGCAAUGACAUCUCUCAGGGUGGUGCUUGACGAUGCCGAGGAGAAGCAGAUAACAAACCGAGCUGUGCGGGAUUGGCUGGACCUGCUUAAAGACGCUGUCUAUAAAGCCGACGACUUCUUGGAUGAGAUUGCUUAUGAAGCUCUACGGCAGGAGUUGGAAGCUGAAGAUCAAACCUUCACAGGUCAGACGCAGAGGCUUCUUUCUUUCAUUAACCCACUUGAAAUAUUGGGCUCGAGAGAGAUCGAAGAAAAAUUAGACUUCCUCUUGCAGGAUCUAGAUCCCUUAGUUGAACGAAUGGAUGCCCUUGGUUUGAUCAACCGCAAUGUAGAAAGACCAUCAUCGCCUAAAAGACCAACAACUUCUCUGGUGGAUGAAUCUAGUAUUUAUGGUAGAGAUGAUGACAGGGAAGCAAUACUGAAGUUGCUUCAACCAGACGAUGCCAGUGGAGAAAACCCAGGUGUGGUUCCCAUAUGGGGAAUGGGCGGGGUUGGUAAAACCACGCUUGCUCAGCUUGUAUACAAUAGCAGCGAAGUACAAGAGUGGUUCGGUCUCAAAGCCUGGGUUUGUGUUUCAGAAGAUUUCAGUGUUUUGAGGUUAACCAAGGUGAUCCUUGAGGAGGUCGGUUCAAAGUCUGAUUCUGAUAGUCUGAAUAAUCUCCAGCUUCAGUUGAAGAAGAGAUUGCAGGGAAAGAGAUUUUUGGUUGUUUUAGAUGACGUUUGGAAUGAAGAUUAUGAUGAAUGGGAUAGGUUUCUUACCCCCCUGAAGGACGGAUCACAAGGGAGUAAGAUUCUUGUCACAACACGCAAUGAAAGUGUAGCAUCAGUCAUGAGAACUGUUCGAACUCAUCAUCUAGAAGAAUUGACGGAAGAAAGCUGCUGGUCCGUGUUUGCCAAACAUGCAUUUCGUGGUAAAAAUCCCAAUGCUUAUGAAGAGUUGCAAGAAAUUGGAAGAGAAAUAGUGAGAAAAUGUAAAGGCCUUCCUCUAGCUGCAAAAACACUCGGAGGUCUGCUGCGCACCAAAAGAGAUGUCGAGGAGUGGGAGAAGAUAUUGGAAAGCAAUCUAUGGGAUUUACCCAAAGGCAAUAUCCUCCCAGCCUUGAGAUUAAGUUAUCAUUAUCUCCUGCCACAUCUGAAGCAGUGUUUUGCUUAUUGUGCUAUAUUUCCAAAAGACUAUUCAUUUCGAAAGGAUGAAUUAGUGCUCCUGUGGAUGGCAGAGGGCUUCUUAGUCGGCUCCGUAGAUGAUGAGAUGGAAAAAGCAGGUGCUGAGUGCUUUGAUGAUCUCUUGUCAAGGUCGUUUUUCCAGCAAUCAAGCUCAUCAUUUGUGAUGCACGAUCUCAUGCAUGACCUGGCUACCCAUGUGUCCGGUCAAUUUUGCUUCAGCUCCAGGUUGGGGGAAAAUAAUUCUUCCACGGCCACCAGAAGGACUCGACAUUUAUCACUCGUAGUAGAUACGGGAGGCGGUUUUUCAAGCAUAAAAUUAGAAAACAUCCGUGAAGCCCAACAUCUACGCACAUUCAGAACUUCUCCGCACAAUUGGAUGUGUCCUCCCGAAUUUUAUAAGGAGAUCUUUCAGUCAACUCAUUGUCGCCUACGAGUGCUAUUCAUGACUAAUUGUAGAGAUGCAUCUGUGUUGUCAUGUUCAACUAGCAAGUUGAAGCAUUUGCGGUAUUUGCAUCUUUCCUGGUCAGAUUUAGUAACGUUGCCUGAAGAAGCGAGUACUCUUCUCAAUUUGCAAACUUUGAUCUUGAGAAAGUGCCGACAACUUGCUAGUCUACCUGAUCUUGGAAAUUUGAAGCAUUUACGACAUCUGAAUCUUGAAGGAACAGGAAUCGAAAGAUUGCCUGCAUCUCUGGAAAGGUUAAUCAACUUGCGGUAUCUUAACAUCAAAUACACGCCUUUGAAAGAGAUGCCACCACAUAUAGGUCAACUAACAAAGCUCCAAACGUUGACUGCCUUUCUCGUCGGAAGACAGAGUGAGACUAGCAUUAAAGAAUUGGGAAAACUACGACAUCUACGGGGAGAACUUCAUAUUAGGAACCUUCAAAAUGUGGUGGAUGCUCGGGAUGCUGGUGAGGCAAAUUUGAAAGGUAAAAAGCACCUUGAUAAGCUGAGGUUUACAUGGGAUGGUGACACUCAUGACCCGCAACACGUAACAAGCACUCUUGAGAAAUUAGAGCCAAAUAGAAAGGUGAAGGAUCUUCAGAUUGAUGGUUAUGGAGGUGUAAGGUUUCCGGAGUGGGUAGGAGAGUCCUCUUUCUCAAAUAUAGUGUCUUUGAGGCUCGUUAGUUGUAAAAACUGCACCUCCUUACCACCGCUCGGGCAAUUAGCUUCUUUAGAGUAUCUCUCAAUUGAAGCAUUUGAUAAAGUUGUGACUGUGGGAUCUGAGUUCUAUGGGAAUUGUACUGCUAUGAAGAAGCCAUUUGAAUCGCUCAAAGAAUUAUCUUUUAAAUGGAUGCCAGAGUGGCGCGAGUGGAUUUCAGACGAAGGCAGCCGGGAAGCCUUCCCUCUUCUAGAGGUGCUUUCAAUCGAAGAAUGCCCCCACCUUGCAAAGGCCCUACCUUGUCACCACCUUUCACGUGUAACAAGUCUUACAAUUCGUGGAUGUGAGCAGCUCGCGACUCCACUUCCUAGGAUUCCUAGGCUGCACUCUCUCUCUGUUUCUGGAUUCCACUCCCUAGAGUCCCUACCCGAGGAAAUUGAGCAAAUGGGUUGGUCACCCUCUGAUUUAGAGGAAAUUACAAUCAAGGGCUGGGCUGCUCUCAAAUGCGUCGCACUGGACUUGUUCCCCAACUUAAAUUAUCUUUCUAUCUAUAACUGUCCAGAUCUCGAAUCACUAUGUGCACAUGAAAGACCUCUCAAUGAUCUCACCUCUCUCCAUUCUUUGUCUAUCUCGCGGUGCCCUAAAUUAGUUUCAUUUCCCAAAGGAGGGUUACCUGCUCCAGUCUUGACACGACUUAAGUUAAAAGAUUGCUGGAACUUGAAGCAGUUGCCUGAGAGCAUGCAUUCCCUCCUCCCAUCCCUUGACCAUUUGGAAAUAAAUGGUUGUUUAGAAUUUGAGUUGUGUCCAGAAGGGGGUUUUCCCUCCAAAUUACAAUCACUUCGUAUUUUCGAUUGCAACAAACUAAUUGCAGGCCGCAUGCAAUGGGGCUUGGAAACGCUCCCUUCUCUUUCACACUUUGGUAUUGGUUGGGACGAAAAUGUUGAAUCCUUCCCUGAAGAGAUGCUGCUGCCCUCAAGUCUUACAUCUCUUAAAAUCGAUUCCCUAAAACACCUGAAAUCUCUUGACUACAAGGGGCUUCAACACCUCACCUCUCUUAGAGCAUUGACUAUAAGUAACUGCCCUCUGCUUGAGUCCAUGCCAGAAGAAGGGUUGCCCUCCUCCCUUUCUACUCUUG
rnacentral:lncRNA from 1 species